rnacentral:lncRNA from 1 species
AAUAUUAGAAUCAUGGGUGUUUUCACUUAUGACUAUGAAUCUACCUCUCCAGUCGCCCCUGUCAGGCUUUUCAAGGCCUUUACUAUUGAAGCCGCCAAGGUUUGGCCCACAGCUGCCCCUAAUACCGUCAAGAGUGUUGAGGUUGAAGCUAAUCCUAGCUCAGGAAGCAUCGUAAAGAUCAAUUUUGUUGAAGGUUAGAUAUUUCAUUUUCAUUGGCAUUGGCAUUUUUUAGCGUGUUUUACAUGAGUAUAUUGGAUAACAAGUAUUUGUUUGUUUAGGCCUUCCAUUCCAAUAUAUGAAGCACCAGAUAGGAGGACAUGACGAAAAUAAUUUUUCAUAUAGCUACAGUUUAAUCGAAGGUGGGCCCUUGGGGGACAAGCUUGAAAAAAUCAGCUAUGAAAACAAGUUUGAGGCAGCUGCAAGUGGAGGAAGCAUUUGCAAAAGCUCGAUGAAAUUUUACACUGUUGGCGACAAUGUAAUCACUGAAGAUGAAAUCAAGGCUCUCAUUAAAGGGAGUGAGGGAGUUUACAAGCCUGUUGAAGCUUACCUCUUGGCUAAUCCCGAAGCCUGCAACUAAGAUAUAGAUUGCUUUGAAUUCUCAUGCUGCUUUUAAAGAGUGGCCAUUACUUUCAAUGGUGUGUUUUUUAUAUUUUCUCUUUCCACUUAAAACUUAAACUUUCUUAUGAUUAUUUUAAUAAGAGCGGUGGUGGUGAUCGAGCUUUGAUCAUCUUUAUUUUCAUUACUAUCAAAUAAUUUGGGUUGUAUCAUCUUUGACAUAUACUGAAAUAAAAUAAACACCAAUUCACAAACAAAAAAGGUUUUACCUAGUAUAUUGAUGAGUUAAAAUUUAUAAGACUAAUGCACGUAUUGAUGAAAAAAUAAAGUGAUAAAUAGAUAUUAUGCCUACAAGGAUCCAAUUUUAAAUUACUUAGUAGUAACUAUUUAAGUUUUAUUCAAUCCAAAACAAUAAAAUAAAAUUUAAUUAUUAUUAAAAUUAAACUAAGUUGAUUAAGAAGGCUUUAUUAAACUAAAACAAAGAAAAUUUAUAUAUGUUAAAUCCUAUAUGGAAGAAUUAAAUGUUCAUUCACCUCCUUAUAUUCUAUAUUCUAAAAAAAAUUUUGUGUUUGGACAAUUGAGUUACUUAUUUUACAAGGGCAUUAUUGUCAAUAUAGGAGGAUGUGAGUUCGAAUGUGCUGAAGCGCAUUAUCCUCCUAUUAAUAAGUUAGAGAGGGAUUAUAAAUAAUUUUAAAUAUUAUUUUUAAAAGAGCAUAUAUAAUUAAAACAUAUAAAGAGAUUGUAAAAAAGGAAAAAAAAAAAACCUUGUGCGUUUCUUGCUUACCACGAUGGGAAUAGACAAACUAACUAGUUUGGUUGCCUUAGAGAUUGAUCUUAAUUAUUAUCCUUAGUACAAUAAUUUGACAGUAAUUUUAUUAUAUUCUAUUUUCUUUAUCAUAGGGAAUUAUAACCUGUAAAAAAAUUUAAUAAAAUGAACAUGAAUUACUUCAAUUCAUAGUGUUGUAAAUCAUCUCCCCUUUCUAACGUUUGUAUUGGGAGAGCAGGUUAACCAAAACUCCUGAGCCCUACAAAAGGAACGAAGGCAUUAAAAAAACACCCAUAAAUCCUCAUGGAAUCAUUAUAUUAUCUUUGAGAGAUGCUUCAAGGUUGGAUAUUUAAACUUGUAACUAGUAUAUCAAUCACUGAUAAUUAUAGUAAAUUACUCUACUAUUUUCCGUUUUCCACAUAUAUGUGGAAGGCAAUUUCAGAUGAGGAGAUAAAAAAAAGCUUUGUUUGACAUGACUCCUUUGAAAGCUCCUGGGAGCGAUGGUUUUCAUGCUUUGUUUUUCUGAGUCAGUGGAAUGUUGUGGAAUUGCUGUCUGUGAGUGGGUUAAAAGGGUAUUUAAUGGUGGGUCAAUUGAACCAGAUUUGAAUAACACAGUCAUUGUCCUCAUUCCUAAGAUUGCGCAUCUGGAAAGUUUCCAAUAGUUUAGGCCUAUCAGUUUGUGUUCAAUCUUGUACAAGCUAGUCAUGAAAGUCAUUACUAAUCGAUUUAGGUGCAUCUUCCCUAAAUUAAUUGCGCAAGAGCAGACGAGUUUUAUUGCAAAGAGGAAUAUUAUGAAUAAUAUCCUCAUUGCACAGGAAGUCAUUCAUUCCAUGAGAGGGAAACGCCACUAGAAGUCUUGAAUGGCUGUUAAAAUUGUUCUAGAAAAAGCAUAUGAUCGAGUGCGGUGAGAUUUUACCGAGGCUUUGCUAAGACCUGUAGAUAUUCUGGUUUUUUUAUAAAGGUCAUUAUGGAUGGAAUAUCAGGUUCUCCGUGCAAGUUCUUUGGAAUGAGAUUCCAGCAUAGAAAUUUAAGCCGACGAGAGGGAUCUGUUAGGGCUAACUUUUAUCUCUGUAUUUGUUUGUUCUAUGUAUGGAAUGGCUUGGGUAUAGUUUUAGUUUGGCUAUUUCUAAUGGUCAGUGGCAUCCAAUUAGAUUGUCUAGAGCUGGGCCGGAUUUAUCACAUCUAUUCUUUGUUGAUGAUCAGGUAAUUUUUACCAGAGUUGACUUGGGUCAUUCACUACUCCUAAAGGAGAUUUUGGAUAAUUUCUACAAUAUCUCUGGUCAUUGUGUUAAGGCUCGGAAGACUAAUAUUUUUUUCUCAAAAGGGAUUAACAAGGUGGUGGGUAGUGGAAUUAGUAGUUUGCUUGGUUUCCAAAAAGUGGAUAAUCCCGGUUCGUAUUUGGGUGUUCCUAUUUUUUAAGAAAGGGUCACCAAAAGUACUCUUAGAUUUGUGGUGGAUAAGGUUCAAAGUAAGUUGUAUAAUUGGGACGCCAGGAAGUUAUCUUUAGCUCGGACAGAUACUUUAGCACAAUAUGUACUUUUAUCCAUUGCAAAAUAUUUCAUGUAGUCUUUAAUGAUUCUAACGUUCCGUUUAUUUCUUUGAAAAUGGCUUUCGGAAAAUGAUUUUUAGAAAAUGACUUAUUUUUCUGGAAAAGCUAAUAUUUUCUGGUGUUUGGAUGAAUUUGUGUAAAAUAUUUUCUUUUGUUUGGCAAGUUCUUUAAAAAUAUUUCAUAAAAGUCGUUCUCAAUUAAACAAACAUACAUUUGAGAUUUUUUUUUUCAUUGUUUAAUUGAGUUUAUUUUAUAUCUAUAAUUUUAUAUUUUACAUUGUUUUUACAUAUAUUAAAAAUAUUUUGUUAAAUUUAUGUUCAUUGCAAUGAUCCUUUUUUAGUUACAUGACUACCAACUGAGCAUUUUUUUAUUUAAAAAUGUGACAUUAACAAAAUUGACAAAAAAAUCAACAAUGUUAGCAGUUGGACUUGAUUUUCUAAUCUAGAAAGUAGAGGGGCUAAAUUCUUUAAAAUAAAAGUACAUAAACUAAAUUGCAAAUUUGUAAAGAGUAUAUAGACUUAUGACAUAUUUUAACAUUUAUACUACAAAACAUUUAUUAUUAAUAUAUUUAUAAUUGUAAUAAAUAUUUAGUAUUAAAAUAUUAAUAUUGAUAUUUUCAAUAAUAUGUGAAUAAUAUUAUUUAAAAUUAUUAUUUUUAAAAACUACUAUUAAAAUAAAAUUUAAAUAUUAAAUAAUUUAUUAAAAAUAAUAAAUUAUGUUAAUUAUAUUAAUAAUUUAUUAUAUGACUAAAUAUAAAUAAUUAAAUACGUAUGUUUAAUAAUAUUAAAAAAUAUAAUAUUUUAUAUUAAUAUUUUAAAUAUUUUUAAAAAUAAAAAUAAAAAUAAAAUUUAUUAUCAGUAUAAUAAUAUUAAACUUGAUUUAAUUUAAUUUUUAUAUAAAAGUAAAAUUAUCUAUUGAGGAGCUCGUUUCCGAAAAAUGACCUUUUCAAAAGGGUGAGUCAUUUUACAAGGAAAAAGGCUUAUUUUUCGUUGACCUGUAUGUCAUUUUCUGUUGGCCAAGCUAUUUUCUGUGAAACAAACACAGGAAAAUGCAGAAAAUUUUUUCCGUAAAACCUUUUACAUGUAAACAAACGAACCCUAAAUGAGUAUGUGAUGAGAUUGAGCGCUUGGUCAGAUAGUUUAUUUGGGGUUGGUCGAGUGGGAACAAGAAGUUGACGUUAGUUAGUUGGGAUUCAGUCUAUCAGCCUCGUUCUUGUGGAAGACUUGGGUUUCAUCAUUUGGAGGAUCAGAACAAGUCAUUUUUGUUGAAAUUGAAGUUUAAUUUGGUUUUGAACGACAAUGCUUUAUGGGUUAGGAUUCUCAUUUCGAAGUAUGGUAUGAAGGAGAGGUUGCCAGAGAGCAUUUUGAGAAGUUCAAGUUUGUUCCUUUGGAGGGCUCUAUCCAAGGUUUGGUCUUUGCUUAAAGAUAAUCUAGUAUGGUCCAUGGGAGAUGGAAUGAAGGUCGAUUUGUUAUUGGAAAGAUCAUUGGAUUGCGAGUGUAGGACCUUUGAUGCGGCUAAUCCCUUCGCAUGCUAACUUGGAUCCUGACUAUAUGCUUAACGUGACGGUAACGGUGGAUGAGGUGUGAAAUAUUGAUUUAUUUCGAGUGUGGCUGUUUCAAGACAUUGUUCGGUGUAUAGUCAGUAUUUCGACACCCCAUUCUUCAGCGGGUCCGAACAGGAUUGCUAGGAGCCAUCAACCUAUUGGAUCUUUUUUUGUUAAAAGGGCGUAUCACAUGAUUCAGGAGAAUUUUAGGAGGCCUAGAUAUGAGACUUGUAAGAGAGCAUGGAAAUUUUAAGGGGCGCAAAGAGUUCGUUUCUUUAUGUGGCUUACUUUAAAGCAAAGAUUGCUCACAAGUAUGGAAUGUGUUAGGAGAAGAAUUGGUCAGGAUCCUUCUUUCCCAGUUUGCGGCCAUGCCUCUGAAGACCUUCUUCAUGUCCUUAGAGAUUGCUCUAUGGUGAAACAUGUAUGGCUGAGCGUAGUGCCUGUAAAUCAGAGUGAUAACUUUUUCUCUGUUAACAACUUUGCAGACUAUUUAGUUUCUAACUUAUCCUCACGUUUAAAGGUACACUCUGAGGAAGUUUUUUGGUCUUGCUUAUUUGGUUUAAUAUCAUGGUGUCUUUGGAAGAACAAGAAGUUAUUCAUUUUAUAGUGUUUGACUUGGAAUGCUUAAGAGAUAAUUAAAGUUUCAGUAUGUUGGGCUCAACAAUUUUUAAAUGUUCAUUUGACUAUGAUGUUUAGUAGGUGCAUUGGAGCUCUGGUUUAAUCUUUGUUGAAUCUUUGUGUUUUUCUAUAUACUGAUGGGGCAAUGAAUGUGAGUACAAGAUGCACAUCUGCUGGUGGUGUAGUGAGAGAUCAGUUUGGUGAUUGGAUUGUCAGGUUCAAUCAUAAUUUAAGUGUUUGUCUAGUCUUUGAUGCUGAACUCUUGAGUAUUUGGGAUGUUUUACUAUUGUUAUAAGAAAAGGGGUAUGUUAAAGCCUUAAUUCUGGAAAAUUGCUUGGAGGCAGUCAAUGCUAUUCAAGAUGACUAUUUGGGGUAUCAAUUUAGGCCUUGGUUUGAUGAAUUAAGCAGAUUUUAUAGUACAAGGAGCAUUGGACAGCUAGGCAUGUCUCUAGGGAGAGAAAUCAAGUUGCUAAUCGUUUAGUUAAAAUGUUUUCUGUUUAAAUUGAUGGUAUGCAUAGAUUAAUAGGCACGCUUAGGGAGUUAAUUGAUCUCCUUAAACAUGAUAAAGUUGCUAGUGCUUUUGUUCAUUUAGUUUGAUCUUGUUAUAUCUUUUUAUUAAAAAAAUCUCUAACUAACACGAUUUAUUUUGAAUUUAAUAAAAAUAAUUUCUUAAAAUAAUAAUUUUAGACAAUUUUUAAUCAAUGCUUAUAAAAACCGUCAGCACAUCAAAUUAAUUGAACCAUAAGUCUCUGUCAGCACAAUUCAUUAUUCCCUCUAUAUAUUUAAAUAAGCAUUAUUGAAAACAAUAAAUUAAGCAAAUAAGUAGAUAAGUAGAAGACAAACUGAUACAAUAUUUGAACUCACCAAUUUGCGAUUUAAUAAGAAAGUUCUGGCUGCCUAUUUUGACUAGUACCAAUUCAAUGAAAAUUAAUAACAAUGUUGGAUAUAAAUCCAAUUAAAAAAUGAGAAUAAUAAUUUUUUACGCUUCAAGUUCAGUGUAUAAAUAGCAUCCUAGUUCUCUAUCAUCUCACACCUCAACCACUCAAUCAUCCACUUCUUCUCUUCUUUGAACUCAAAGUCCCAGUUAAUAUUAGAAUCAUGGGUGUUGUCACUUAUGACUAUGAGUCUACCUCCCCAGUCGCCCCUUCCAGGCUUUUCAAGGCCUUUACUGUUGAAGCUCCGAAAGUUUGGCCCACGGCUGCACCUAAUGCAGUCAAGAGUAUUGAGGUUGAAGCUAAUCCUAGCUCUGGAAGUAUCGUAAAAAUCAACUUUGUUGAAGGUUAGUUCUUUCAUUGGCCUUUUUGUAGUCUGUUUUACACGAGUAUGUUGGAUAACAAGUAUUUAUUUGUUUAGGCCUUCCAUUCCAAUAUAUGAAGCACCAGAUAGGAGGACAUGAUGAAAGUAAUUUUUCAUACAGUUACGAUUUAAUCGAAGGUGGGCCUUUGGGGGACAAACUUGAAAAAAUCAGCUAUGAGAACAAGUUUGAGGCAGCUGCAGGUGGAGGAAGUAUUUGCAAGAGCUCAAUGAAAUUCUACACUGUUGGCGACAAUGUAAUCACUGAAGAUGAAAUCAAGGCUCUCAUUAAGGGAAGUGAGGGAGUUUACAAGCCUGUUGAAGCUUAUCUAUUGGCUAAUCCUGAAUCCUGCAACUAGGAUAUUGGUUGCUUUGAAUUCUGAUUCUUGGUUUUAAAGAGUGGUCAUUGCUUUUAAUGGUGUGUUUUUUAUAUUUUCUUUUUCCUUUUAAAACCUAAAUUGUCUUCUAAUUAUUUACAUAAGAGUGGUGGUGAUCGAGCUUUUGUCAUCUUUAUUUUCAUUACAGUCAAAGAAUUUGGGUUGUCUUUGACAUAUAUAGAAAUAAAAUAAACAAAUAAACUCAAAAAAAGAAAAAAAAAGGUUUUACCUGGUAUAUUGAUGAGUGAAAAUUCACAAUCCAUAUUAGAGAUGUGCAUUCGGUGGUUGGAACGAUUUGAUUAUUUUAUAACAAUAAUCGAAUAAAUAAAAAUUUUUACUGCAAUUGAAUUAAUCGAACCAAACUUAAAAAGGUAAAAAUGAAACAACCGAACUGAAUUUAGUCAAUUCGAUUAGAUUUAGUUAAUCGAUUUUUGCUUUUUUUGGUUUUUAACUUAGUUGAACUCCACCGAUCCAAAAAUUCUUCACUGUUCGUGUCGGCAUGUUUGUUCCUCACAGAAUGGGAGCAAACAGUAGCCGCCUUACCUUUUGCUAUAAAAAGGAUUUUAGCCUUUGCUUUCAAAAUCAUCCCAAUCUCUCCAAGAAAGUGUGUAUACUUUAGUAUACAUUUGGGUAAUUCCUUUAAUUAAGGAUUUCAUUAGUUUGUAAUCUUUUUAGUAUUAGUGAAGUUAUCAUUAGAUAUUGGAUUUUGAGGAUGUAGAUAAUUUGUUGAAUUUCAUAAAUUUGGUGUGCUCUUAUCUAUUAUCUUAUUUAUAUUUAUUGAUUUUUUCUAUCGUAUUUGAUAUUCAAUAGUAACUUGUCGGGUUAAUCUAUAAUGUUUAGGAGGUGAGAAAAAGUCGAUAGAAAUCGAUCGAACCAACCAAAAUUCAUUUUUCUAAAUUAGUUUAGUUGGUUUCGAGUUUAACUCGGUUACAUUAGGUGAUUAACUCAAGGUAAUGUCGGCUCGAUUUCAGUUUUGAAAUUCAAAAUUAUUUUAAUCAAUGACACUGACUUUACAUAUAAAAAUAUAAUAUAUUUAAUUAUACCCAAACCCAAUAUGCCAUUUACCAUAUCUCAAUCAAGCCAAAAUUAAAUCCAAAAUUUCAAAUACCCAAACCCAAUAAAAAUAAAAUAAUAAUUUAAAAUUAAAAAUUUAAUAAAAACUAAAAAUGUAAUAAUAAUUAAAAAACAUUAAACAAAAAAAAACUAAAAUUCUAACUUUCUAACCCUAAAACCUAAUUUCCCAAAACCAAAAAAGAAAAAUCUUACCUUUGUUGUAGCCCACAGUCAUUCCCCUGACCCUGUGUUUCACCUUUGUAACGAUCCAAAUUUCAGUGGUGUAAGAAAAUACGAUUUUAAAAUCUCAUUUUCGUAAACUGGGUCCGUAAGGGCAAAAAAUAAAAAUUUAGGAAGUUAGUAUGAAAAUAGAUUGAAACUUUGUUAAGUAAUUUAAUUGAUAAAUUGGUUAAUUAAAGUUCAAUGACUAAAUUGUAAAAGUUCAAUUGAUAUUGAGUUUGUAACACCCCAUACCCGACCCGAUCGUCGGAUCUGAACUAUAAGGUGCUACACUUCAUUAACUAUUACCUAAAAUGCUCCUUUUUAGCAAUACAAUAACUCAAAUUUAUAAUGCUAACUCUUACAUACAAAUCUUUAAUUUAGUACUCUUCGGAUGCUGAGUGAAGACAAAUAGACAUUUGCAACCUAGAUAAAUAAGGGAUUUACUACCAUGUUAAGACACAUAAGGAACAAUUUCACUGGAAGUUCCAUUAUAUUGAACUAAUUUAGUGACUUGAAAAUUUGAAAUCGAUUUUUAGUCUUGGUUACAACUUGACUCAGACCCUAAGACUCCGCCUUGGGUCGCCUCGUUGUAUGCACAUUGCUACGACCACAAAAUAAGUUGCCUGAUCUUGGUAAAUUCUGGCUUGGUCACUUAUUGAUUUCUAGAAACAACUACUAAACCUACAAUUCAUAGAAACACAACUGUAAUUUCGAUUGAACCUAGUGAGUGGUCCAUACCUGGCAUCAGCAUAGCACAAAUGAACUACUAUUUCAACAUUUGGAAACCACAUGACUUUCCUUGUGAAGAACACAUCCAUCAAAUCAUGUUGGUGUGGACUUGACUGUGUAACGUUUCAUUGAUGAGAUCUUAGCGAUGUAUGAUAAAGAAUACCCAGAUAGAAACGUUAGUAUGUUGGCAAGUAAUUCCGCAAAUCCUUUCUUUAAUGAUUUUCCUUAAGGACCUUUUCGUAGUUCUUCAAAAAAUACUUUCUACGAAUUCUCACUUGUGUACUCAAGAAAGAUACUCAUGCAUCUAUCUUGUGUUAUAACUAAGUUGAAGAAUAGAUCAUAAAGAAUGCCUUCCACUAUGAACCAUUAUUAGUGCUUGAUCUAACGGCCUCUAGUAGGUGGAUCUACUUUCAACUACAUAGUCAGAUACCAAUGUUUCAAACAGUAUCUUGAACACAAUACUUACUUAGAUAAACAAUUCCUUCAUUUUGGAAGUAUAGGAAAAUACCCUUGUAUCAUCCCCCAAAGAACCUGGCGAACUGUUAUAUAUAUAAUAUGAAUUCCAUACAAUUUGCUUGUAUUGUAGGUUCAAGCAUAGAAUGUGCUACUAGCACGCAGAUUCAUUCUUGGCGUACCUAUAAAAUUAUAUUCGAAUCCCCGAAUGAACCUGCAAGCUCUCACCAAAGUGAAUUCCAUAACUACUGUAGAUGCAAAACUAUAAGGAUAAGUCAAAAAACAGUCAUAACUUGUAUCAGACUCACUUUAUUUGCUAGCACAGGCACAAUGGCCUUCUCAUAAUAGUAGAUCACCUUUUUUUGGACUCAUACAAAAGACAUAGUGUAAAAUCAUAUUUACAAGAUAGUUCCUUAUAUUACAUAGUCCUCACGAACUUUCAUAAAAGAUAGUCCGUAUAGACUUCCAGAAAAGAUAGUCUUGGAUGACUUUCCAUAUAUUAGAUAGUCCUCACGGGCUUCUACAUAUACAGUAUUGUCAUGGCCAUGGUCUUCCAUACUUCCCAUAAAGGGCUCUCAAAUGUCCCACACAAGGGGCUCUCAUAUACUGGUGCACACUAUUCUUCGUACCAUUUAAAAACUCCAUUCUUGGCUCAAUCCAAUCGAACCUCCCUCAAAGCCACCUAAAUAGUAUGCAUCACAUACACGAACCCUCAACCAAUAAUUACUAUUUAUCACACACCAGUCAUUUUAUUGAUUCAUCAUAAGCAUACUUACUACCAAUCAAUCAUAUCAAUUCAAUAUGCAACAAUGCAUCAUACCAAACCUUUCAUUUACUUAACAUAGUUAACUCACAAUCAUUUGCGGAAUUGCAUACCGUAACACAUACAAUCACCAUACAUCAUUAAUUCCUCAUAACAUAAUCAUAAUUUGUAAGCUCAUCACACACUGCAUGCAACAAGACACCUCUACUUACAGUCAUAGAAUGACUUGUCAUUUACAUAACACUAAAUUAGCCUUUUUUAGCACACAAUAUUUAAAAAGGAACAUCCAUUUAAGAUCUGAGUACUGGGACUUACUUGGAAGUUAUCGCCAAAUCCAUCUUUUAAGUCUUUUCCCCUUGUUACACUAGCCUCCUUAGUCAAUACAACACAACAACCAUUUCAGAAUCCAAUAAAACCAUUCAUUAUCAUAAAAACUCUAAUUUUUUUGCAUGCAGAGACCAUUUAAAUGAUUAUUCGUCUCUUUACCCAAAACAAAACAAAAAGAAUAGUCAACUUAAAUCCUUAACUUCCUUCUUUUCUUAAACCCGCUAAUGUAGAGAGAUUAGAAAACUUACCAGCAUGCAAAAUUUCCAAUUUCUAAAACUUAAUCCUCAGUCUCUCCCCUUUGUACACGAACGUUCCUUAAUCUUUCUCUCUUCUAUGGCAAACCAGAGAAAAUAAGAAAAACAAAGAAAAUAAAAGAACAUCCACAGAUAAAAAUGCCCCUCCUAUAUAUCAGACUGAGGGUGGAGUGUUGCAUACUUCAUGGCAAUAAAACUAUUAUAGAGCUUUCUAGAAGUUUAAGUUGACAAGGUUCCCCAAUCUAUGAACACAAAGGCUAAUUUUUUGUCUCGAGUUGCAUCUAUUGUGGGAUUCCAGGAAAGGGAUAAAAUCUUACUAGAGCAUAAAAAAAGUCCCCAUUUCACAUUCAGUAGGACAAGUUUUCAACAUAGACUUUGGAAAUACAUGGAUAACACCAUUAGUGGAAUUCUUAUCCAGUGAUUCAAGACCUUUGAUCCUAAGGAACUUGAUUGCAUUUCUUUCCUAGCCUCUUAGUGCACACUUAUUGAUGUAGUCCUCUAUAAUAAAGCUUUCCUCCAUCCGCUUUUGAGUUGCCGAUGGCCUUUCGAAGUAGUGUGUGUGAUACGGAAGGUUUAUGAGCGCAUUUGUGGGCACCAUCUAGAUGUAAGGGCCAUGGCCUAGAAAGUUUUGCAGUAGUGAUUGAGACGAAAUGAAUGUGUGGAUGAGUGAGGAAUAGGAUUGUAAGUUUGCCCAAGUUGUGGAUUUCACUUAAGGCUCUAGACAAUCGAAAAUAAAUUUGGAUUUCGACACAACCUAAAAUAGAAACAAAUCCAAGUUAGAUCUACGAAUUCAGAUAUUAAAAGAAGUAAUUAAAAUAGAUAAUCAAGAUAAAAAAAUAAUAAAAUAAAUCAAAGAUUUGAAUAAUGAAAUAGGAACAAAAUAAGAUAAAGAAGAAAAUAAAACAGAUAUAUGGAAAAGAUGAAAAUGGUGUGUAGAAGUCGUAAGGAGCCUUGAAAACCCGAUGAAUCCACAACCCCCUUCGAUUGGCAGUAAUUUUCCCUCCAAGAAAGGGCAAGAAAAUGCUUGAAGAUGAUCCCCAUAAUCUGAAUAGAUUGUUAAAACUCUUCUAAAAGAAAACUGAAGAGAAAGUCUUAAAAAGAAAACUCAAAGAUAAUUUUAUUAACUCAAAGUGAAUAAUGAAUGAAUUCAUUGUUGUACAAUGCAAAGGCCUUUAUAUAGGCUAGUUAAAUAAAUCUAAAUAAAAAUCUCAAGUAUACUAGAACUCUAAUUAACCGAAACAAGAAGUAGUUUUAAACUAAACUUUCUUGUUGAUAUAAAACUCCUAAAUAACUUAAAAUAUUUAAUAAUUAUAAAAAAAUUAGAAUAAAAAAAUAAUAAAAUAAUAAGAGAAGAUAAAUAGAAUAUUGGGCUUAUAUAUAAUAAAAAUUAAGCUUAAAACCCAAAACCAAUAUGAUUUAAACUCGAAUUAAAAGCCUGAAACUCGUAAUUUCAGUAAUAAUCCCGUCGAGAAAUUCUACUCAUGCAGUUUUCACUAAAACAAUCAUAACUUGAGUUCUCGAACUCGAAAUCAAGUGAUUCAAAGUGUGUGUCGAAGCUAAAAGAUAUAUCUUAGAACGCUAUGAAGACAUAUUAAUCUAGAAUGUCUAGAACCCAUCCAAAAAUUUGUCACAAGUUGACUAAUCUUUUCAUCUUUAAAAUUGAUAGCUUGGCUAAAUUGACUUUAAUAGAUUUCACCCAUUCCGAGCAUGUUUCAUUCCUCGUUGCCUCGAAAAGUUUAUCCUCACUUACUAACUUUAACCAAAACUUGGUUUGAUUUGGUUGACCUUUGAUCUUGUUGUUGAGCCUUGAGGUAGUGUAAGCCCAUCACAUGUAUCGAUUUGAAAGUUGACAUUUAGACUUGUUUUGUUCCCCCAUUCCUCAAGAAGAUUCGUCCUCGAAUCUUUAGUUGUAUAAAAAAAGGGAUUAGGAUUAAUAACAAUAAAAGCAAACAAAUAAUUACAUAAUCUUUCCUGUGCACCAAAACUAUCUCCAAGAUCAAAGAUAUGAUUUUUGUCUCCCAAAUUAGCUUGGAUCAAGUACCUCUCCUCCAAAAAUAAACCAUCAACACUAAAAAUAUAAAUAUUAGGCACAUGAGUGUUCAAGUAUAAAAUAAUUUGUAACUUUAUUUGAAUACGUAUGGUCAUCCAUAAUAAAUUCCAAAGAUUAGUUAAUAAUUUCACAUAAUAAUCAAAAUCCAGAAGUUUAAUAUUAUUAUGUAAAACAUCAUAUUUAAAGUCUAAGGUAGAAAAUUUUGCUGCAAGAUCAAAUGCAUAAAGUUCUUUAAUAAACCUAUCGAAUGCAACAAAAGUAACCUUUACAAACCUAGAUAAACCCAUAAAAUCAAUUGAACUUUCAAACCAUAGUUUAUUGAAACUUGACCAAUGAGAAAACAUGUUGUAAUGAAAUAUUUUACAAACAAAAUCAGUAAUAUGCUUAUUAAAAACAUUCAAAGUAUGCCUUUUUAAAUCAGAAUGUUUCCUUGCCUUUCUUACCUUGUAGCAUUUGUGGAGAAUUAUCAAUGUUUAACUUACCUCUCUCCCAUAAGGAAAAUCGUCUAUCGAUGGUAUAAUAAUAUAAUUGGAAGUCUGUCAAUGGAUCUCGAAAACCCAAAAAAUUGCGGAGCAACUUGAAAAAAUUUGUUCGAGGUGUUCCCAAUUUCCAAAAAUCAUGAAAUUUAAACUAGAACCUUCCCAAAUAACAAAAAUCUGAUUUGGAAAUUUUGGCAUGAAACUCAACCUAAAGAAUAAUUUUUUAUUUUUCUUUUAUGUUUAUGUUUUUCCUCUUUUUUGAUCACUUUUUUUUUGUGGAAAAUAUUUUUUAAUAUUCUAAAAGAGUGCUAAGAAUCAGCAUGUAAAAUUUUAGAUCUUUUGAAAAAUGUUUACCAAUUGAAAAAUAAUUUUUUUCCAAAAAGUUUUUGCGUAAAAACAAAAACUCUUUUGAGACUAUUUGCUGGAAAUCAAUUUAUAAGAACACAAAGAAUAUCUAAAAUGCCCAAGAAUUUGAUACCAAAUGAUAAGGUGACAGGGGACAUGAUUGUAAGUUUGUUCAAGUCACGGAUUUGACUUAGGGCUCUAGAUGUUCGAAAAGAAACAUGGAUUUUGGCACAACCUGAAACACAAUGAAUCCAAGUCAGAUAAAAAAAUAAAUGAAAAUAAUUGUGUAACACCCCAAAGCCGGCCUAGGAGUUAUGAUCGUAUCUAGUGUGUCACAUUGAAGUGUUUUUCAAAAAAUUUGACUCGUUGAAAAAAAAACUUGUUUCUAAGUUUAAAAUAAAUAAGCAAAAGCCCAAUUAAAAAUAUAAGCUACUUAAAGGCCUUAUUACAAAAAUAAAACCCAACAUUAAAUUAAAUAAAAAUUAAAGUAAAUUUUAAAUAGCAGCAGUUGUGUGGCCACCUCUAAGUCUCUCGCAGCACCGAAUCGCCUAAGGCUUAGGAUUACUUGCACAGUUAGAAGAGAGGGUGAGUUUACGAAAACUCAGUGUGUAAUCCUCUACCAAAUAAUCAGCAUACAACAUGCAGAAUCAGUCUGGGCUAGAGCCCUAUACAGUAACAGUGUGUAGGCCAUAGCCCAAUAUAGUAACAGAGAGUGGGCCUUAGCCCAAUACAAUAACAAAGUGUGGGCCUUAGCCCAAUACAGUAACAAGGCAAAUGCAGUAAUGCAACCCAUCCCAAUCAAGCCAACACACCACUCCGUACCACCAACACACCAUGUAGGGAUAAAAUUGACCCACCCAGCCAACACACCAAUAUCGCAGCAAAGCUGCCAGUAAUAGUAACGCAGCAAAGCUGCCAGUAACAGUAAUGCAGCAGAGCUGCCAGUAUCAGUAACGCAACAAAGCUGCCAGUAACAGUAUUUGUGGCAAAGCCACCAGUACAAUACACUUCCCCCAUAUCAGAAUCCCAACCCUAUGCAGUAUGUCAUAAAUCAUACGUGUAUGCAGUAUGUCAUACUCAGUAACAGUUAUAUAUAUAUAUAUCAUAGAACAAGUCGUUCAUACACACAUUUCAAUUCUUAGGAGCAUAAUAGUCAUUUUACCCUAUGGAGGUGUUUCAGUCAUUUUACCCUUUGAGGGUAUUUCGGUCAUUUUACCUUUCAAGGAUAUUUCGAUCAUUUUACCCUUCGAGGGUAUUUUAGUAAUUUUACCCUUCGGGGGUAUUUUGAUAAUUUUACCGUUCAAGGGUAUUUCAGUAAUUUUACCCUUCGGGGGUAUUUCAAUAAUUUUACCCUUCGAGGGUAUUUCAGUAAUUUUACUCAUCAAGGGUAUUUUGAUAAUUUUACUCAUCGAGGGUAUUUCGAUAAUUUUACCCAUCAAGGGUAUUUCGGUAAUUUGCCCACAAAUCGUACGUAGGGCUCAUCACUCGAGCGAUUGCACGCCCGUGUGGUCUCAAACGUCAUGUUCACGGCUUUUUAGCUUUUGCCGAUUUGCAGUUAAGUGAGGGUGUGAUUACACACCUGAUUGCGAAGGCGCACCUAAGUCUGCGAACACCUAAAAUCUGCAUUCAAACACGUUUUCCAUUAGACGCUAAACAAGAAAGACUAAUCACCUUCUAAACAUCCUUGAUCAAAACCAAUUUAUUACUUGCCUUGACUAACAAAAGAAUGGCUUAGCCACUUGCAAACGAUGUCGACUGAUUCAAUCUUGCUAACAGAUAUCUGCAAUGCUACCACACAUUAAUCGGUAUUGCUUAUUCAUGUGGUUGAAAUCCAUACAUAAUCAAAAAGAGAACCAAGAACAUUUGGCCUUCAUAUAAGAAUACUAGCCUACCUACCUUGGUCGAGGGAUGAGAGGAUGAUUUCAACAAAUUUACAACGCUUACACCGUACCACUUCUCGAGGAAAAACCUUAAUACCACAAUAGGCAGCACAUCGAGAGAAAAGCAUCAAUAAUAAAAAAAUCAAAGUAUUACAGAGGAGGCUAUUUGAUUUUAGGUAAAGAGAAAGAAGGGAACAGUAGCACUUACCGGUAGUCGAUAAUACUUGUAACACAAAAUAAAAAAGGAGAAAAAGAGAAGUGCAAAGAAGAUUCGACACAAAAAGAGAAGAAAGGGAAAAGGAUUCGGUAGAUAGGAUACCAAAGAACUAUUCGGCCACUCCAACAAAAGAAUAAAAUGGAAGUAGGAGAAGGCAGAUGAACAAACCUGAGAGGUUCCCAAGAUCCUUUGGGAAAAAUGGCACAGAAAAAACAAAAGGGGAGAAAGAAAAGCCAAACAAAACUGAAAUUGACCAAAAUUUCAACUGUGAAUGAGAGAAUUCUCUUAAAUAUAGAAACUUUACCAACCAAAAGACCAAUUCGGCACUAGUAACCCCCUAGCCGAAUUUCUUAGAGUGCCAGACUCCAAAAUCUGCACAACUCUUCUACUCAUCAACUCCUCGAUUUUCUCCUCAAAUCUCUCUUGUUAUCACUCCACCGAUUUCUCCUCAACUCCCUCUAUGACCAAUUCAAACUUCCUUCGGCAGUAUUUCACUCCAACUCUGCCACUUACAAGACUCAAGCAGCAAAAUAAAUACCCCAUUGCGCAACCCAAGACUUGAACCCCUGACUUCUCAGACACUUCCAAACACUCCUAAAUCACUUAACCACUGAAGCAGACAUUCAUUUAUGUCACUUUCUGUCACAGCUAAAUAUUUAUGUGCAGUGUUCGAACUGUUCCCUUAUUCAAAACAUAUUUCUUCUAGGCCCAAAAUUUGGGGUGUUACAAAUUAAAAUAAAUAACUAUGAUAAAUAAAAUAGAACAAUAAAGAAGAAAUUAAAAAAUAUAGAUGAAAAAGAUGGAACAUGGAGUGGAGAAGUCCUAAGGAGCCUUGGAAACAAGAAGAAUCCAUAACCCCCUUUAAGUGACUCUAAUUUCCCCUCCAAGAAAGAAAAAUUGACAAGAAAAAUUUUGAAUAUGAUCUCCACAACCAGAAAAGAUUGUUAAAAAUCUCCUAAUAGAAAACUCAAGAAAAAUUCUUGAGAAAAGAAAACUUAAAGAGAAUUUAUUAACUAAAAAGAGAAUUUGUUGAAUAAUAAUGAAUUGAUUUGUUGUAUACAAUGCAAAAGCCUUUAUAUAGAUUAGCUAAAUAAAUCUAAAUAAAACUCUUAAAUAUACUAUAACUCUAAUUAACCUAAACAAGAAGUAGUUUUAACUUGAAUUUUCUUGUUGACAUAAAACUCCUAAAUAACUUAAAAUACUUAAUAAUUAUAAAAAAUUAGAAUAAAAAUAAUAAAAUAACAAGAGCUAAUAAAUAUAAUAUUGUGCUUAUAUAUAAUAAAAAUUAAGCAUAAAACCCAAAUCCAAUAUGAUUUAAACUUGAAUUAAAAGCCCAAAACUCGUCAUUUCUGUAAUAAUUACUAUAACUUGAUUAUUUGUUACAUGACUAGGCGUGUGGGUUUAAUUGGUAUCCUUGAAAUGAAAUGCCUAGGCUUGUUAACAUCUUCCACAUGGGCUUGUCGUCAUAGAUUGAGAUUUUAGGCCCACAAACAAGAUUGGUCUCUUCUAAUUCAUCCUCGCUCUGUAUUAAACUCCAAAAUCCAUCAUCUUGAAGCUUCAACUCUUUUUCUCAAACUUUUUUGUGAUAAAGUCUUAAACGAAUAAGUUGAGUUUUGACUUUAACUACUUGGAUUUAGAUCUCGUGAUUGGGCACUGAGGGAAACUAAGUCCAUCUUUAUUAUAACCUUUGAAUUGGACCGGGUUGCUCGUAUCAUUGCCUCAUCCACAAAAGGGUUCUUCAUUGAAUCUGCAAUAUCAAUGGGAGAAAGGUCAACGACAUUAAAAGUGGCACUAACAUUAUGCUUAUCGAAAAGAUCGAUUUGAUAUGCAUUAUCAUUAAUGUGCUUGAGUACUUCAAAAGUUCCAUCACCACGUGGGUCCAAUUUUUCUUGCUUCUAGUCGAAAAUCCUUAUUUUCUCAUAUGGACCCAAACCUAAUCAUCAGGCUAAACUAUAACUUGCUUACACCCCUAGUUAGCUUUGUUGGCAUUCGUUUCAUUUGUUUUGGCGAUUUGUUGCCUUGCUUUCUCGUGCAUGGAUUUCACUAAUUCAGCUUUCUUCUCACUAUCCAAACUAGAAAUUUUUUCUAUAGGAAAUGUCAUAAGAUCAAGUACAGUUAGUGGAUUAAAACCAUAAACAAGUAAAAAUAGGGAAUAGCCAGUUGUAAAGUGAAUAGAUCGGUUAUAUGCAAAUUCAACAAAUGGAAAACAUUCUUCCCAACUAUUAAGGUUCUUACCCACAACAACUCGUAGUAAAGUACCUAAGACUCGAUUGACUACCUCAGUUUGUCCAUCAAUUUGGGGGUGACAUGUAGUAGAAUAUAAUAAUUUAGUAACAAGAUUACCAUAAAACACUUUCCAAAAAUGGCUUAGGAACUUUACGUCUUUGUCAGAUACAAUGGUGUGGGUUAUCCCAUGUAGGCGCACUACCUCUCUAAAAAGUAAGUCAACCACAUGUGUUGCAUCAUUCAUUUUGUGGCAAGGAUUGAAGUGAGCCAUCUUUGAAAACUUGUCAACAACAACAAAAAUACUAUCUUGACCCUUUCUAGUUCGUGGCAAACCAAGAAUGAAAUCCGCGGAUAAGUAUACCCAUAGUGAAGAAGGAAUCGACAAAGAAGUGAAAAGUUCAUAAGACGUUACCUUAGAUUUUGCUUAUUUACAAGCAAUACAUUUAGAAUAUACCUUUACAACAUCCUUCCUCAUGUGCCGUAAAUAAAAAAUGUUCUUGUAAAAUAUCUAGUGUUUUGGCGACACCAAAGUGUCCCAUUAAGCCCUCAGUACAUACCUCACGAUUUAAUAACUCUCUCAUGGAACAUUGUGGAACACAUAAACUGUUUAGGCAAAAUAGAAACCCAUCUACAAGAUAAAAGUUGUUAAAGGCAACAUUCUGACAAUUAGAAAAAAUAUUUGCAAAAUCAAUAUCAUUUAAGUAUAAAUCCUUUUUAUGUUCAAACCCUAAGACUUUAGCAUUUAAUGUAGUUAUCAAAGAAUAUCUACGAUAUAAGGCAUCAACAACUACAUUUUCUCUACUUGUUUUGUACUUAAUUACAUAUGCGAAUGUCUCUAGGAGUUCUACGCAUCAAGCGUGUCUUUUUCUCAACUUACCUUGUCCCUUUAACCAUUUUAGGAAUUCUUGAUUUGUAUGGAUAAAAAAUCAUUUGGCAGCAAGUAAUGUUUCCAAACUUGUAGAACUUGAACUAAUGUAAGCAACUCCUUAUCUUAAGUUGAGUAGUUUAAUUGCGCCCCAUUCAAUUUUUCACUAAAGCAUGCGAUAGGGCUCUUGUCUUGCAUCAAUACAACUCCAUUUCCAAUAACUGAAGCAUGACAUUCAAGUUCAAAAGUAUUAGAAAAAUUAGAUAAUUUAAGAACAGAAGUAGAACAUAACUUAUCCUUUAAGGCUUGAAAAGCCUUUUCCUGAGCUUCUCUCCACUUAAAAUUCACAGACUUUUUAAUAACCUCAAUUAAUGGGGCAACAAUAGUGGAGAAAUCCUUCACAAAACAUCUAUAAAAACUUUCUAAACCAUGAAAAGAUCCCACCUCAUUAAUUGUUUUAGGAGUGGGUCACUCCCUAAUUGCCUUUAAUUUGUCCUUAUCGACAUGAAUACCUUGAGCACUUACUAUAAAACUAAAAUGGCUAGUUUAUAACAACAAAAAUUGCAUUUAUCAAGGUUGGGAAGUAACUUUUCAGUUCUAGGAAUGUCCAAAAUAAAUUUAACAUGGAAAACAUGAUCAUCUAAAGAAGUUGAGUAAAUCAUAAUAUCAUCAAAAUAUACUACCACAAACUUACCUUAAUAAGGCCUUAAAACAUGAUUCAUUAUUCUCAUGAAAGUACUAGGUGUGUUAGUUAGACAGAAGGGCAUAACAAGUCACUCAUACAAUCCAAACAUAGUUUUAAAGGUUGUUUUCCAUUCAUUCUCUUCCCUCAUAUGAAUUUGAUGAGAACCACUUUUUAAAUCAAAUUUAGUAAAAAUUAUUAAACCUUGUAACUCAUCAAGCAUGUCAUCAAGUUUAGAGAUUGGAUGCUUAUACUUUACUGUUAUUUUAUUGAUAGGGCAACAAUCAACACAUUCAGAAUGAACCAUCCUUCUUAGGCACCAAUAGGACCGGGACGGCACAAGGGUUCAAACUUUCUCUAAUGUACGCUUUUUUUAAUAGCUCUUUCACUUGCCUUUGUAACUUCUUUGUCUCCUUGUGAUUGCUUCGGUAAGCUGGACAGUUUGGAAUUGUUGUACCAAGUUCUAAGUCAAUUUGGUGGUCAAAACCUAGCAAAGUUGGUAAACCUUCAGGUGGCUUAUUAAAAACAUCCUCAUAAUCUCGCAAAACAGAUGAAAAGACACUAGGCAAAAAAUCAUUAAGGUUAGCUAAAGUUAAAAAAAAAACAUCCUCAUCCACAUUAUCUCGUUGUAUGAGCAUUUUCAUCUCCUUGAAGUAAUUUGUAAGGCCCUAAAAAUAAGUCUGGCAGUUUCGGGUAAGUUUAAUGGGUUCCAAGUGAAAAUUAGGAGUUAAUCAGGUUUAUUAGUAAUUUUUAUUAGUUAGUUAGCUUAAUUUCAUUUAAAAAUAAGGAAAUAAUAUUCCAGAAAUAAAAUAUUUUUAGAAAAAUUAAUUUUAUAGUCUUAAAUAAUUUUUGGGUAAAAUAAAUAUUUUGGGUCGAAUUAGAAUUGAAAAAUCAAUUAAAAUGGGGGUUUAAUUGAGAGAAUUCAAAAUAUUGAUUACAUAGGACCAUUUUGCAAAACAAGAGAAAUAUUUGAGUGGUUCUAUGGAAAAUUACCCAUAUUUUUAGAAUUUUGGAGGGAAAAGAUUAUUUAGUAAAAGAAGGGAAUUGCGGGAGUGGCCUGAUGACAAUUUCCCCAAUUUUUGGAAAUCAGGUGGGGGUUCUUUAGUUCAAAAACGCUGCAGCCUCCUCACUUCACACACAAUUAUCAACUGAUUUCUAAGCAUUUUCUCUCAUUUUUAUUUUUCAUUUUCAAAGUCCACAUAUCAAAGAUUUGAUCUCAUCUUUUAUUCUCUCAAAAUUCUCUAGAAAAGAUUUCUAAAGUUGAGAAAAAACUCAUCCGAGUUCUUCAAAGAUCUUGAUCCAAUCUUCAAUAUUGGUGAUUCUAGAUCGAUUGAAGGUAUUUUCUCAAGUCUAAAUUCAUUCUAACGUUGUUUUAAUCAUUAUUUUCAAUCUAAAUUGAUUAAAAUAGCUUUUCAAAUCUUGAUCUCUUAGCUAUUGAACAUGAGAUUCAUCAAUGGUGAAUUCAUGGUUUUGAUUUGGAGUCCAAGUUUAAAUGGAUAUUUAAGCUCAAACUCGUUUGGUUGAUCAUUUUUGACAAAUCCAUUUUUUUAACUAAAAACAUGAGUUGAUUUUCUGAAAAAUUAUGAAACGGUUUGUUUGGUGAAAUUGAUGUUUAGGUUUUGUGUUGAUAGAUUAGGAAUGAUGUUUAGAAAUCAUUUUUGGUGUAGAGAAGGUCAUUUGGGUGUUGAAAUUUGUGUUUCAGAUCGAUCAUGAGUUUUCAGUAAGGCAGAUUGGAGAGGCGUUUUAGAUCUGUGUAGUUCAUGAUUUUUCAAUUUUAUUGUUUUUAAUGAUAACUUGUAACAUGUAUUUUACCUCUGCUUAAGAUCCACAUCGAGGAGGGGCCACUGCUGAUUAGAAUUGAGGUCUAAACACAACUACUUGAUACACUUUGGCUUGAAAAGCAAAGUGUGAAUGUGAGUGGUUUUUAAAGGAAAUUGGUAAACAUGAUUGUUUACAUUCUGAAUUGAGGUUUUGAAUUGUGUUUCUAGUGAUUCAAUUGUAUCUCAAAUGGUUUACAUUUCAAAUUUGAUUUUAAUUUUAUGAAAGCAUAUUUGUAAAUGAUUUAUGGAAACUAUGAAUAGAGUGUUUGAUAUGGUUGAUUUGAAUUAGAUUGAUUAAUAAUUGGAGCAUGGAUUACUAUAUAUUAGAUCACUUAAUGAUGAUUUUAUAGUUGGUUUUAGAUCCAUGGACAAAGACACUUAUUGAGCUUAUCUAUGUUGAUGUUAAAAUUACUAAGUGACAUGCUUUAAAUUAAAUUUUUAUAUCCUGAAUUAAGUGCUUAAAUAUCAGUAUUUAUGCCCUGUGUGUUUGGUUAUAUUGGCAACAUUGCAUGGUGGAUCCAUUAGAUAUAGAUGACAUACCAUAGGAUUAGUGAGUACUCACCACUACAUGUGUUAUUUGUGAGCAUACGGCUUUAUGAGUAUUGACAUUGCUGGAGUGAAUAAGGGAGUGUUGAGCCUUUUUUCUCCACUCAAUCAUUGGAGAUUUCGAGGAAACAUAAAGGAGUGUAUGGCUACACCCCACUGAACCGGAGUAUUGUAUUCGAUAUUUGGAAGAUUGGAGAUCCGUUUAUCCAAUGCAUGAUCACAUGUUUAUAUUUUGCUAUGGAUGUCAUUUGCUAAUAUAAGUGUGUGCUUGUUAAAUAUAAUAUGUUUUCAUAUGCCAUAAUAAAUGUGAUUUUUACUCAUGGAAUAACAUGUGGAAUUAUGAUGUUAUGAUGUUGCAUUGAUGCUGGAAAUUUCAGUCAAUUGAAUGCCAUAAUUCAGCGUGAAAAUAUAAUUGAAACUAUGAAUCAUAUAACUGAAAUUUGAUACAUGAUUUGCCUUGGUUUAAGUAUGUCUUUGGUGUGAUUUACUUAUUUAAUUUAUGGCCAUUCACUGAGAUUUUUCAGCUCACACCCUCACAGCUUUGUGCAGAGUUUUUCUAGCUUUGAGGAUUCGAGGAGCAAGGGCAAGGUUGGUCCAAGUUUAAUUCUACUUGGUAGUAUAGAUUAAGGGCUUUUCUAUAGAUAAAUUCAAGGGAAUUGUGGCACUCAAUUGGGAUAAUUUGAUACACUUGUAAUGGAUGUUUGAGACUUACAUUUGGAUAUUAAUUUUGAGAUGUUAUAUUUGUUUUUUUUUAUGUUUGGUUUUAUGGUUAAAUGUUGAGUGUAGUAUUGUAUGUUGCUAAGUGAUAACAUGGUGAUUGAAAAUAUGGUGAUUGAAGCAUGAAAUUCUCACUAAUACAUUUUAAUCGUAGUUUGUCAAGGAGUGGAUAGCUUUGUGGCUAAGGUAAGUCUAUUGUAUGUUUUAAUUGUUGUUCGUUAAGCAUGAUUUUGAAUGUUUAAAUUAUUAAACACAUGUUGUUUAUUAGUUGUAAUUAGAUUAAUUAGAGUUGUAUGUAUGAUUAAGGUAAUAAAACUUAGCUAAUAUAGCUUUAAUUAAUAAACGAAUUAAGGGAAAAUGACUAGUUAAAAAGAAUAUCAGGGGUUUCACUAAUUAAAAAUAAUAUCAGGGGUUUCAUAAAUUGACUAUAAGAAACUUAGUAACCAUUUAGAAUUAAAAUCAGGUUUGUUUAGCUUUAAGUGCUGAAAUGACCUAGAUACCCUUAGGGUUAAAUUCCUAAAGGAAGUUUUAAAAUGGUUCACAAAUCGCUUUUGCAAAAAGAUUAGAUAGUUAUUAGUUAGAAAUGGGGUGUUAUAAGGUUAGGGUGUGCUUUAGGUGAUUUUGUGCUAGAGAGUCACUUCAGUGACUAAUGUGUCUAUAACAUCCCUAACUCGUAUCCGUUGUCGAAAUAGGGUUACAGAGCAUUACCAUACAAAUAGAACAGUAAACCAUUCAAUUCAUACAUCAAUGCAAAUAUAAUCUAACUACAUUCAAUUACAUUCAUAAUGUCCCUUAAUCGAACCCUCCAGGCCCUAAAAAUACUUUAGAAAUAAUCCAGGACUAAAUCAGAAAUAUUGUACUUGUACAUCUGUUUCAAGUCACAAUACUUCUUCGUACUACCAGGAGGAAUAAAAUACGUAGUACUGUGAGCUUCAGACAAAUUAUCUCUUUUCAAAUCUGAAUCAUUUGGAACACAAAUUCUAUCACUAUAACGCAAUGUACCGUUAUCAGUAAUAUUGUACUCAGUACUGAUGUCAUUCUGAACCAAUUUUUGUUUCAACGUCAACUUUGGAUCUUUUUUUUGCAAUUCCCAAAUCCAUUGUAGAAAUAGGGGUUUGGUUCUCAACUUUGCCAGCAUAGAACCAUCUUCAUUCAGAGCUAAAUGAGCGUUCAACACUCGAAGUGCAAACAAUGACGACUUUAAACUGAGUGCAUCUGCGACCACAUUAGCCUUUCUCAGAUGAAAAUCAAUAACCAAAUUAUAACCUGUCAGUAGCUCUAACUAAUGUCUCUGUCUUAAAUUCAGUUCUUUCUAAGUCAUCAAAUACUUUAAACUUUUGUGAUCCGUAAACACAUGACAUUUCUCGCCGUAUAAAUUAUGUCUCCUAAUCUUCAAAGCAAAUACAAUCGUGGCCAGCUCAAGAUCAUGAGUAGGAUAAUUCUUUUCAUGUGGCUUUAGCUAUUGAGAAGCAUAAGCUACUACUUUUCCUACCUGCAUAAGCACACAACCGAAAUUGUUGAAAGACGCAGCACUAUAAACAACAUAUGCUACCUUAAAUUUAGGCCAAGUCAACACUGGAACUUCUGUCAACAUGUUUUUCAAUUGAUCAAAACUCUGUUGGCACUUCUCAGACCAAAUAAACUCAACAUUUUUCUAUAGUAGUCUAGUCAUCAGUGAAGCAAUAAUCGAGAAGUUUUUAACAAAACGUCGAUAGUAACCUGUUAAACCCAGAAAACUUCGUACCUUAGAAAUAUUCUUCGAAAUUGUCCAAUUCAUCACAGCAAAAACUUUACUCGGAUCAACUCAAACCCCAUCAGCUAAUACUAUGGAACCCAAAAAUCCAACCUCUCGAAUCCAUAAUUCACACUUACUGAACUUUGUGUACAACUAUUUUUCUCUCAAAGUCUGUAACACGAUUCUCAAAUGUUGAGCAUGCUUGGAUUCUAUCUUGGAAUAGAUCAAUAUAUCAUAAAUAAACACAAUAGCAAAUCUAUCCAAAUGAGCUUGAAAAACUCGAUUCAUUAAAUCUAUAAAAGCAACAUGAGCAUUAGUCAAACCAAAUGGCAUUACUAGAAACUCAUAUUGACCGUAACGAGUUUUCGUCUUUGAUGGAUCACAAUCUUUAACCUUCAAUUGAUAGUACCCGGAUCUGAGAUCUAUCUUCGAUAACACUGUGGCACCUUUUAAUUGAUCAAACAAAUUGUCAGUUCCUGGCAAAGGAUACUUAUUAAUUAUCGUGACUGUGUUCAAUUGUCUGUAGUCUAUACACAAUCUCAAAGAGUCAUCUUUCUUUUUCACAAACAAUACUGAUGCACCCUAGGGAGAUACGCUCGGUCGAAUAAAGCCUCUAUCUAAUAACUCUUGCAAUUAUGCUUUCAAAUCUUUUAAUUCAAUUGGUGCCAAACAAUACGUUGAUAUUGAUAUCAGUGUAGUUCAAGGAGUUAGAUCAAUCACAAACUCAACUUUACGAUCAGGAGGCAAACCCGCUAACUCUUCAAGAAACACAUCAAUAAACUCAUUAAUAAUUGCUAGUUUAUCUAACUUCGAUUUUGAAUCUCUGAUAUAAAAAAUGUAUGCUAGAAACGCUUCACUACCUUUGCGUAUCAAUCUCUAUGCAAAAAUAGCUGAAAUGAUUGGAACAGCAUUUUUCGGCCCAUCAGACUUAACUAAAAUCACCUAUUCUAUCUAACAUUUCAAAUCAAUCUAUUUCUGCCUACAGUUUACUACAACAUCAUGCAACGAUAGCCAAUCCAAACUGAGAAUAAUAUCAAAUUCUUGAAAGGGUAGUAACAUCAAAACAGCAGGGAAUUCACAGCUUCUAACUUUUCAUGGACAUUUACAACAAACUAAGUUAACUAUCACACUCUGACCUAGUGGAUUAGUAACUUGAAUAUCAUAUUUAGUAGAUUCAACAUAUAAUUUCUUUUUCAUUACUAAUGCAGUGCAAAUAUAAGAAUAAGUUGACCCAAGGUCAAUCAACGCAUACACAGUAACAUCAAAGAGAUAAAAUAUACCAGCAAUCGCAUUAGGAGCAGUACCUUCCUUUCUGGCUCGAAUGUCAUAUGUGCGAGCAUUUACUCUAGCCUCUGAUCAAACAACAGUGUCCUUUACUCUUGUACAAGUAGUCCAGUAGUACUAUUUUGGCCCGGACGUCUACCUUUCUGAGAUGUAGACAUUUGCUUCUCAUUUUGUUCUUCAUUUUCUUUUAACUGUUUAGGACAAUUUCAGAGAAAGUGAUCAGUCGACCCACAUUUAUAACAGAAUCCUGACUUAGUUCUAUACUAGCUAAGAUGAAAUUUUCCACAAUGUCUACAACUGGGCUUCGGAGCGUUCCGUACACUUCCCAUACUAUCAACUAGUUUAAUAGGAGCUUUAAAGUCAUGCUGAAUCGAUUUACGUUUGUUCGGAUGUUCAGACACUGAAAUAGCUCGACUAAAGUCUUAUUUAGUUUUCUUUGCUGGUGAUGCGGAAAACGAUUUAGAAGAACUUCUCUUGUGAAACUCUCGAAUCCGUUGAUCUCUUUUUAUUUACGAUUGUACACUUCUUCCAUUUUCUAUGCACGACCGAAUAAAACAAUAAAUUCUUGAAUUUCAUUACCUCCGAUCAUCAUUCGGAUUUCAUCAUUCAGGCCAUCUUCAAAUUGGAUACAGAUCUCUUCUUCAAUGGGCACAAUCUCUCGGGCAUAGUUACUAAGAUAUACAAAUUCUCUCUUGUACUCAACCAUCGAUUUAUUUCCCUGAUGUAACAUAAGAAAUUCUGUCUUUUUCUUGUCUAGAUACUAUUUCUCGACAUACUUCUUUUUAAACUCGUUCUGAAAGAUAUCACAGGAAAUUUUCUCCCUCGGUACCAAAGCUACCAACGUUGUCCACUAACUGUACGAUUCCUCUUUUAGUAAUGCAAUGAGACAUCUAAGAAAAUCAUCAGGAGGGCAAGCCAUUUCUUCGAAAACGCGUAAGAUUUUCUAAAGCCAAUACUCAGCUUUAACCGAAUCAUCUUCUGAUCUACCUCGAAAUUCUUCAGCACCACACUUUCUAAGUUUCUCAAUCGAAAUACUUCAACUAGGCUCAAUCACGAGAGGAGCUAGAGGUGCAACUGGAGGUAUAACAUGAGGUAUAAAAGGGGGUAAAGGUCAUUGACCCAGAGUAUUCAUUUGCAUAAACUCAUUGAACCAUUGGUUCAUAAAUCCAAGGAACAUGUAUUUAUGUUUAUGCUUCAGUGUUGGAUGAAUUGAAACAUUACUACUCGUCCCAUGAUUAAAGGUCGGUAAAUUACUAUUAACCUCAUCAUUGUCGACAUGAUCAGAUCCAUCUGACAUCUUUAUAAUCUAAAAGAAAAACAAAGGUUAGAUCGGAUAAAACACAUCACACUAUCACAAAUUUAUAUGGCAGGUAAUUCUAGGCAUUUCACAUGCUACGUUUAGUCUGAGAACUGACUAAACCGUAGCUCUGAUACUACUAAAUGUAACACCCCUAACUCGUAUCUGUCACCAAAAUAGGGUUAUGGAGCAUUACCAUACAAACAAAAUAGUAAACCAUUCAAUUCAUACAUUAAUGCAAAUAUAAUCUAAUUAUAUUCAAUUUCAUUCGUAAUGUCCCUUAAUCGAACCCUCAAGGCCCUAAAAAUAUUUUAGAAACAAUCCGGGACUAAAUUGAAAACAUUUGGAAAGUUUAAGAAAAAAUUAGAAAAUUUGGAUUGUAGGGGUCACACGGCCGUGUAGCCAGGCUGUGUGCCUCACAUGGUUAAGACACACACUCGUGUCUCAGGCCAUAUAACCUUCAAAAUAGGGACACACGACCGUGUCCCAGCCUGUGUACUCACCUAUGGAACUCUCUGAGCUGCAUUACACGACCAAGCCACACGCUCGUACGCUAGGCCGUGUAACGCUCAGAAUAGCCUUACACGCCCGUGUGCCAGGCCGUGUUCUAGGCUUUGUAACUGUUUGACUUGUGAGCCUUAAACCUAUAGGGGACACACGACUGUGUCGCAUGGUCGUGUGUCACAGACGGCUGAGUCAUACACCGGUGUCUCAGGCUGUGUGGACCUAAAAUGAACCUUAUACCAUAGGUUUACCAUUUCAAACUUACUUGGAUCCUAGUAAACUAUUUACCAACCAAAGCACCUAUUGAAAAUAACAUUAAUCAAGCAAAAAACAUACCAAAUCAAUCUAUUAAGUGUCUAACCAAUGUACCCUUAUUGGUACCAUAAGUAUAUACAAUUUUACAUCAAAAUAAAACCUCAAACACAACUUAUCAAUUCAUAAAAUUAACACGUAACCAAUGUACCAUUCUAUUUUCAUUGAAACAUCUACCUCAUUCACAUUCAUUAUAUAAGUUAGCAAUUCAUACAUAAUAUCUUACUUAGCAUUUUACUAUUUUCAAAACAUUAGUAAUAUCAACACAGAAGCCUAUUACAUGCCAUAUAAACCAAAUCAAACAUUUCAAAAACUAUCGAGUUAAGCUGAAUAGUGUAACUUGAGUGCUGAACUGAUCAUCCAACCUUUCGAGUAUCUACAAGAACAUUAAAUAACAAAAGUAAAAUAAAUGAAGCUUAGUAAGUUUAAUGUAUUUAAAUGAAAAAUGUUACCGAAGUAAUUACAACAAUUCAAACAAUAACUAUUCAACCAUGAAGGUUUCAUGUCAUCCACAAUCUCAACUAAAAAAUCACAUACAUUCAAUUUAAUGCUCAAAUGUAUAGCAAAUCCAUCAAAUUCGUUAAACAAAUUACCUUACUGAGAUUUUCAAUUCGAAGAAUGACUUACGGAUAGAAGCGCAUCGUCAAUCCAACCAUAACACGCCAGAUGCUCAUAUGAGCGAAUCCCUCCAAAACACACCAAAUUCUCACAAGAGCUAGUCCAACUGAAAAACGCCAAUGCUCAUAAGAGCUAGUCCAACCGAAAAAUGCCAAUACUGAUAAGAGCUAGUCCAACUAAAACACGCCAAAUAGAGAGUAUAACAGGAGACUUCGCAACAAAUACUGAACCUCAAUUUACUCGGGAAAUAAAUAUAUACAUCCCUCUAAAACCAUCUCCACUCGAAUCCCCCACAACACACCAUAUCACGAUUAUACUCUAUCCCGCAUUCAAUUCAACCCGAACAUCAAAUUCAAUAACAUAUCUCAAAUAAUCUUUCAUUAUCAUUAAUUGAAUAUAUAUAUAUUGGUAUCAUGUUAUACUAUUCAACAAUUGAUAUAGAUGUUAAAUUUUAAACCGUUCAAACUUACCUUGACUGAAUUGUAGUAGUUGUAUAAGUUUAGGGACUAUUUCGCUAUUUUUCCUUUUCCACGAGUGUCUACGAGAUCUUGAUCUAAAAUGUAAAAUUUCUCAAAUAUCAGCUUACAUUUCACAUUUCAAUCCAUUUUACAACUAAUAACCUUUUAUUUUUCAAAUUUACAUAAAUACCCUAAACUUUUAUAAUUUUUGCAAUUUAGUCCCUUAAAUCGAAACUCAUCAAAAUAACCAUUUUUGUCAAAUCAAAAUUCUAUUCAAAUAUACUAGGCCCUUCAACAAUCCCUAAUUAACAUGAAAUUCACUAUCAAACCCUAAACUUUUGUCAUUUUCACAAUUUAAUCCUAAAAUCAAAAUCUAACAAAAAUCACUUUACAAAAUCAUUGUUCAACAUAAUCAAAGAUUCAAAUACAAGGUAUCACAAGUCAUUUUGAAAGUUUGAUAAAAAAACACAACACUCAAAAAGAAAAAAAAAACCUCACCGUUAUGCACUCAAAAAUAAAAUAAAAUUCUCAAUGAGGUAAGAAUUAAUCUUGUGAGUGUUUUAAAAGUGUUUAUAUCAAUUAAUCAUAAUGUAUUAUAACCAAACUAGCAAAGAAAACCUAGUAGCACUAGGACUCUAAAAUUAGCUAGACACCAAAUAAUUAUGUUACAUGAAGGAAGGAAUGUGUAGCGUGCUUUAACCUACUAACACAAGAAAUAAUAAAGUGUUAGAAUUUGCAAAGGAAUAAAAAAAAGUGAAAACCUAAGGCUAAGAGUCAAUGAAAAUCCCUAAAACCUGGAAACCUGAAAAAUUGUGUAGUAGCUUGACAAAAUUCGUUCGAGGUGUUCUCGAUUUCAAAAAAUCACGAAAAUUGAACUAGAGCCUUACCAAAUAAUGUAGAUUUGAUCUUGAAAGUUUCCACAUGAAAUUCAACCCACAAAACCUUUUUUAAUUUGUUUAUUUUUCAUAUUUUUCUAUUUUUUUCCACUUUUUUCACUUUUUUUUGAGAAAUAUUCUUUAAUAUUGUAAAAGAGUGGUAGGAAUCAGUAUGUAAAAUUUUAUAUUGCUUGAAAAAAAAUUUAACAACUAAAAAAUAUUUUUCCCAAAAACUUUCUGGGUAAAAAGAACUAUUUUGAGGUUGUUUGGUGGAAAUCAGUGUAUAAGAACACAAAAAACACCUAAAAUGCCCAAGAAUAUGAUACAAAAUGAUACAUACUCAAUGUGUGAAUGAGUGCAAAACAUGAUUGUAAGUUUUUCCAAGUCGCAGAUUUGACUCAGAGGUCUAGAAACUUAAAACACAAACAAAUUCAAGUCAAAUAUAAAAUGUCAAAAAAAUUAAAGGAAACAAUUAAAAUAGAUAAUUAGGACAAAAAACAAGUAAAUAAAUCAAAGAUUUGAAUAAUUAAAUAGGAACAAAAUAGAAUAAAGAAGAAAACAAAAUAGAUAGAUGGUGUGUAGAAUUCCUAUAGAGCCUUGGGAACCCAAUGAAUCCACAACCCCCUUCAAGCGGCUUUUAUUUUACUUCCAAGAAAUAAAAUUUGACAAGAAAAAGCUUGAAGAAGAUCCCCACAAUAUGAAAAGAUUGUUAAAAGUCUUCUAAAAGAAAACUCAAGAGAAAUUCUUAAAAAGAAAACUCAAAGAGAAUUUUAUUAACUCAAUGUGAAUAAUAAAUGAAUUCAUUGUUGUACAAUGCAAAGGCCUUUAUAUAGGCUAUCUAAUUAAAUCUAAAUAAAACUCUUAAGUAUACUAAAACUCUAAUUAACCUAAACAAGAAGUAGUUUUAAACUAGACAUUCUUGUUGACAUAAAACUCUUAAAUAACUUAAAAUACUUAAUAAUUAUAAAAAUUCAAAAUAAAACAUAAUAAAAUAAUGGGUCUGAAAGUGGGCCUUGGUACUCAUAUUAGGGGUACUAUUGGCUCACCAUGCAAAAAGACAUAAAAACCUUCCCCCGCACGCCUGUUGAACAUGUACAUACCAUCUCUAGUCCUUAGCCUUUUGCAAAUGGGGUAUUUACAUUGUAAGACCAUUUCCAUAAGCCACAACACAUAAGAGGUAUAUUGUCAUCACCAUAGAAUAUUUUACGAAAUGGAUAGAAGCAAAAGCAUUAGCCACCAUCAAAGAAAAGCAGGUGGAGAACUUUAUCUUGAAAGUUAUCAUACGCAUAUACAAUAUCCUACGCCUGAUCAUUAUUGAUAACAUGAUGUAAUUCCCAAUAAAGUUCAAUGAAUUUUGUGAUAGCCUCCAUAUAGAUUUGGUGCUUAGUUCAGUAAAAAUCCCACAAAUGAAUGAGCAAGCAAAAGCCACUAAUAAGAAGAUCCUUUAGUGCUUGAAGAAGAAGUUAGAAUACACAAAAGGUAGAUGGUUGGAUAUAUUGCCUAGUAUCCUCAAGUCUUUAUGGACCACAUUAGACUCAGGGACAGGAGAAACCCCCUUUCAAUAUUAUGUUUAGCAUCGAAGUUGUAAUACCAGCUGAUAUUGACCUCAACACGUACCAAAUAAUUCACUAUACUGAGCAUGCCAAAGAAAACAAUCUCUAAGAGAAUCUAGAUUUCUUAGAUGAAGUGAUGAAGCACCACUUAGAAUGGAAAUCCAAGCUUCGUAGGUGGUGCAGUACUCUAAUUCCAAAGUCUACGACAAACAAUACUAGGUGGGAGACUUAAUGAUGAGGAAUGUAGAAGCUAGUCAACCAAUUGGUCAAAAAGGAAAAUUCUCAGUUACUUGGGAGGGACCUUACCAUGUAGUAGCAAUAUUGGGAUGUGGAACUUACCAAGCUCUAAAAGGAUUGUGCGUACUCACAUUUGUGAUGUGGUUUAUGGGGCAUUGAGGCCCAGGGAUAGUUUUUGGAGAGAUAAGGGAAUGUGAGCUACGCUCCAUUCACCAGGAUAUGUAUGUUUGGUGUGUUAGAGAGUGUUAACGAUACGUUUCACUUAUGGGAUAUGUACGACUCUAUGAGUCAUUAUUAGUGUGUUGGAGAUCCGUGUAUUCGAUGUAUGGUGAGAGAGUCCACAUUAUGUUUAAUAUCCUCAAGAUUCAAACUAUCAUAAAACGUGAUUGAAAGUGACUAAAUGUGAUUAAAAUGUGCUUUGAUAUAUGCUUAACUAUUUAGGUGAUUAUUGAGAUAUAUGUGUAAUGGAAUUAAUGGAAGAUGCUUAUACAUGUGAAAUAUGAUAUUAGAGUUUAAUAUGUUAUGAAUAUGAGAUAUGUCUGUUUACAAAGUGGUUAUUCUAAGCAUUCACUGAGCUUGUUCAGCUCACCUACUCCAUUUUAAGCUUUGCAGAGUAGGUGCGUUCCCGGUGUGAGCAGUGUGGCCUUCAAGGGAUUGAUCCAAGUCAUUCUUUAGUCACUAUAGUAGGUAUUGCUAGUUAUUUUUUAUAUGGGAGUUUAGGGCAAUGUGGUAGAUUUUAUAUUGGUUUUGCUACGACAUUUUUGGGGUAUUUGCAAGGUAUUUAUGUUUGGAGGUAUGUGGACUUGAAUAUGAUGCUUGGACUGUUAUUUUGGAUAAUUUGAUGUUUAUUUAACUAGGUGAAUGAAACUUGUUAUUUAGGGUUGUGUUUGAAUGUUUUUAUUACUGAUAUAUGCUGAAAUUCGAUAGUCUGAAGCAGAGGUAUUGAUAUGUGGGUUUUAAAAAUGAUACAUGUGUAAAUUCAAAAGUGUAGGGAGUUAGAAUAUAGAAUUGGUAUCGAUACCUUGGCCCGAGUAUCGAUACUCGAGGUAAAAUAAUAAAUACCUUGCGAAUGGUACCGAUAGUUGUUGACGUUUGGAAAUUUUGGUGAGAAACAGAAUGCAAGUUUGGUGUCGAUUUUUCAUGUGGUAUUGAUACCACUUAAAGAAAAUAUCAAUACCACUCUUUUAGCAUCGAUACCUAUCUAAAAUGUUUUGGAAAAUUAAGUGGUCCCAAUGCUCGAUGUAUGUCCAUUUUAUGUUUGUUCGUCAAAUGUUAGCAUGGUUAAACGUUAAUUUGAGUUUGCAUGUCAUAAUAUUCGCAUGAUUGCUAUAGUAACAAAAGAAAAUAAUGAUGUAUGUGUACUAAAUGUGACAAUUAUGAUGAAAUCGAUGUGAGACGGUAGUGUAGUGUCCUAGUAUUUUGGUUCGACGACUAGGCUGGGUAUAAGGAGUUAUAGAUCGAGUCGAGUAUAGGUUGCUACAGUAAUCCUCCCCCAUGUAUCUGGGAAAAAGUUAUUAUUGCUCCUUUAUUCUGAUAAAUAUUUGUGUUAAGCCAGUGAACCAUUCACAAGCAAGACAAUAUUUCUAUGAAAGAGUAUAUUCUAACACUUACUACUUAGUUCAAUUCACAACAAACAUUUAGAGAGAAUAAUUUGAUUGAAUACUUCAACUAAUGACUGCUCUCCUUACAAAACAAUCAAGAGUCAGAGUAUUUGGAAUUUAAAAAGAAACUAUCAAAACAUAUGUUAUAUAGAGUCACUAUUAUGAAUACCAUUCGUAAAACAUGCCAAGAAGAGCAAAGAAGGAAACAGUCAAAUGCAAGGCAUUAAAGAAACGCAUAAAGUAUUAUUCAUAUAAAGAUAUAGUACAACAUACACCAAUUAUCAAUAUCUAAACCCUCACUAGAAUUUACAAGAGGCUUCUUAAUGGGUAGAUCCUUACCAACAUCAGAAGUAUUGGUUUCCCCCUCUGCUGCACCCUGGACUUCUAAGCUCUCCCCUUUGAGAAUGGUUGUUACACAUUGAGCUCUCAUCCUCUCGACAUACUCUUCCCACUUGUGACCAUCAGGAUAAAAAAAUCUAACUCGAGGUCAUCUCUCUCGUAAGUGUUAACCCAUUGAGUGGUUUAAUAUCUAUGUUGUGGAUGUAAAGAUGGCUAGAUGUAAUUGCAUUCACAUUGCUCUGUCUGCAGCUUCUCCCUCAACUGGGCCAAGGCUUUUUAGGCUACAUCUCAUUCCUUUUUAUAAGCAUUUGCUUGGCCUUUCCAAUACUUGAUGUCAUCCCAGGCCUUUUUCUCAACAGCUUUAAGCUUCCCCUUAGCUAUCUUUACCCAAUCCUCGAUGACUUUGAUCCUUAUUUUAGUUGUACUAGAGGAGUCAUGGAAGUCCACUAUAAAGUGCAUAGACAUCUCAAUAGUAACCCUUGUCCCCUUAAAGAGAUUUUUAAAGCCUGCACAAGUAUCACGUUACAUCCAUCAGGAUAUGAUAACAUAACUUGCAAGAAUUGUUCAUCACUCAUCUAAGGGAAGUAUUAUAGAGUCUGUUGUAUAGGAAGGCACCAAUUGUGUACUACCAAUAGGAGGGUUAGUAGAAGUUUUAGCAUAUUUAUCCUUCCCUUCGCCUCCUGUAAUGGGAGUUCUCCAUCCUUCACCUUUGGGAAGGGUCUACACUGAAUUGUCCUUCACCCUCUUCCCAAAGAAAGAUUUCGCAAUAAUAUUCCUCCCUAAACCAAAGGAGGCAUUUUUUGUAGUGUCAUCCCGUCCCCUUUUGGGAGGACGUUUUAUUGAGUUUUUUCCGCUAUUAAGGGUGCUCGCAGUGUUCGAUUAGGUAUCAAGGAGAUGCAUCUCUUUUUCCCAAGUAUAGUAAGCAAAACAUCAGCAGCAAUAGGGUAUUUGCUACUCGUCAUACCUUCCGAACCUACACAAAGAACAGAAGUUAGAAUAGUAUUAGUAUCAACACAAACAAACGCACAAGACAAACACUCACGUUGUUUUCGUUUCUUAGAAUGAAAGGGGAACACAAGUCCCUCAUUGUCAAUAUCUACAUCAACCUAGUGUAUACCCUUAGAGAGGAAUACUUCCAAGUGUUUCGUUUUAGCUAAACUAUAUUACAAUUUGACCCAUGUACUUACGAACACCACCAUUUUAAUCGUAUAUAUAUAUUUGGUAUUAUUUUUACUAUAAAUGAUAACUCUUUUAUAGGCGGUCAAGUUGUUGGUGUUGUUGUCAGGGAGGUUUCAAAAAUAAAUUUUAAAAAUAUUUUUUACAAUUAAUAAGAUAAGUAGGAACAUUAAAGCUUAUAGGUAUGAUUUUUUUUUAUUUUAUUGUUAGUAAAUUUAGAAGAGGAACAUUAUGGAAACUCUGAUGGGUAGAAAUAUUUUUUUAUAUAAAUUGGCUAAAACCUAGUAAUGCUCAUCUAGUAAUGAGUACAAUUCCAUUUAAGAUUAAUCUAUCACAGUUGGAUUCCUUUAAAUCCAGAAACUCGGAACCUUUAGGGGUUAAAUUGAAAGAGGCCAAAAGUUGGCGAUCUCUACUGAAAAAUCAGGAAAAGAUAACAAUUAAAAUUGGACAAGAUUGAGAACCAAGUAUGGUUCGGUUAGAUUAGAACCAUUCGGUUCCUUAGUGGGGAACAAAAUGAUUAAGAAUGGGUGGAUGUAAAACAGUUGAGGAUCAUGCGGGAAAGGCUAUACAUAGUUGGGAAAUGACUUCUCGGGAGACUUCUUCUCUAGUCUAUUUCAUUUUUCUUCUUUAUCUUCAUCCUUAGUAGCUCCUAGAAGAGAUGGCUAUCAGAAAGCUCUACAUGGAGCGAUAACAAUGGAAUUUCAGUAGGAAAUGAGGGGAGUUCAGUGAGCUGGUAAGGCUCUAAGCCAUUCAUGGUACAGAAUAUUUAGAAACAAAGUGAAGAGUUUCUAGAAACCAUUUUUAAGGGUUCCCAAUGUUUCUAGAAAACUAAGUUUAAAUGGAGAUUUUUUAGUUUAACCCAUGAUUUGGUUGUCAUGCUUAGCUGCCAGGAGAAUGGAAGCUCUAGUGUUUGGGAAAGGCGAAUAAGCAUCAGGUGAGUUUAUGUACUUAAACAUGGAACUAUCAAAUUUUAAUGCAUGGUUUCACAAGUUUAUGAGCAUCCACCAUUUUUUAGUAUACAUGGUAAUGGAAAAUAAUGAAACGGGAUCAAUGACGGGUUAGACGAAGUUAGGAAUGGGAAAAGAGAGUAAAUCUAUUUAAUACUGCCAUAUUGUAUUGCUGAAAGCAAAUCGUGAUGUGUGAAAAGGGCACUUCGGUGUUCAAGCAUCAAGGUAUAUGAUGGGGAAAUAUAGGAAUGGAUAAAAUGAAAUAGGAAGAGUAAAGAUCAUGGCUAUGCCAUGGGACUGAUCGGAGGCAAUUCGUCUAAACUGACUAAGACUAUAGUAGAAAGAUGUUAUGGCAUCAGGAUGAAAAUGAGUAAGACCAUGGCUGAAAGAUGUUAUGACAUCAUGGAAAAUAGGAGUAAGAGCAUAGUUGGACUAUGGAAACAUGGAAACCCAGGCUGUCCGUCGGGACAAUAAUAUUGGGGUAAUAAUGUGUAAGACCAUAGCUAAAAGAAGCUAUGGCAUCAUAGAUAAUCCAAUGAGACAUUCAAAUAGGAUAGUGUAACGGGAUGUUAAUCACGGGACAGUUCUUCAAGGCACUAAACACGGGAUAGUCUGUCGGGACAGUAAGCAACGGGACCAGGUGAGUAAAACCAUGGCAAGGUUAUGGUAGCUUGUGGAGACCAUCAAGAUUCUAAACAUGGAAUAGUCCACUGGGACAGUAAACACGAGCGCUUAUCCAAAAUGGUAAUUGUUGGAAAAGUUAAAACAAGGAAAAAGGUUAGAAGAAUGAUUAAAGUAUGUGGCACAAUGGAUAGCGAGUUGAAGGAAUCUGCCAAUAAUUGAAGAAUGUAAAGAAAAUGAGAAGCCACUACUAGAAUGGUAGGUUUGUAAGCCAGCAGGGCAUACAGGUGGUAACCCCACCAGAAAGAGUUAUGGGAAAGGACAUACUAGUAGUGUCUGGUGUGCAAGCAAAUACAGGAUGGCUAACCAUGGAUCAUAGAUAAAGAUCCGCCAUUACUAAUUGUCAAAAGGUGCUUAGAAAAACCCUGUGAGCUAGAGAUUUGAUAUAAGGUAUAUUUGUUAGUUUACGAAAAAAAGGGUUAGAGAGAACCCAUUAAAUGAAUGGUCGACACCAACACACUACCAAACAUGUUCAUGCAAUUUCCAUCGCUAGGAGAAGAAGAAGAUGAUGAGGAUGAGUCAGAGCCUAAUUCCGACUAAUUUUGAAUAAUUUUUAAUUUGGACAUUGUACUUAAGUUUGUUUCUUUGGGAUGAUGGUUAUUGGUUUGUUUUAAUUUUUUUAAGAACUUUGGUAUUAUAUAUAAAAAGAUAUUGCAUUUUUCUUAGCAAGAGCCCAAAUUUUUUGAUGGGCACUACCUAAAAGGAGUAUUCCCACCAAUCGAGCUGCACAAAUCACGCCAAUCAGGUGUAUCCUCUUUCCUUUAUAUUUUUAUUGUGCAUUAAGGGCAAUCUACUGAAUAAAGUGUGGGGUGACUUAGGAAAAUUUUUAAAAUUUUUUGUUAUUUUAUUUUCCUUUAUUUUAAGUAGUUUUUAAAUUUUUAAUUGCAUGUUUUCUAUAUGAUUGAGUUUGUAGAAAUACAAGUGAUUGGUUAUAAGCAUGUUAAUAGGAUUGUGUGAAUAAAUUGUAAAAAUAGUUUGAUAAUAAUUGUUUCUAAAUUUUUAAUUUUAGACUACUGAGUUUAAUUCAUUACAUUUUGAAUAGAUUUAAGAUGUUAAGUAUACCAUGUGAUAAAUAAAUAUAUAAAAAACAUGCAUGUUUAAUUGAAUUAUAAGCUAUAGAAAUUGAUAGACAUGGCGAAUUUAAUCCAUGUAUAGAAUUACCUAUGGACGACCUAAGGCAUUAUUUGGUAGACAACUUUUUAAGCCAAAAAGCUAUCCCGUAAAUAUUUUCCCUAGUACCUAUUUUGAGCCUUAAUCCAUUCUCUUAAUGAAACCGACAUGAAACCUUAAGCCUAUUACACAUUCUAUUUGAUCCCUUAUUUCUUUGUCCUUGCAUGGAUUUAGACGUCCAACCAUCGAUAUUGAGAGAUUAAGUACAUACAUCUCGGUGGUUUAAUAAAAAUAAAAAAAUUGAGUGAACUAAGGAAUUGUAAGGUAUAGUGAGUAUAAGAUUUUGAGCUUAUAGAAAAAUAAGGCAAAAUGCAAAUCGAUAAAAUAUUGAUGAAAAAUAAAAACAAACUAAUUUGGAAAAAAGUACGCUCAUAUUUGUUCAAAAACAAAUUACGAGCUCAAAUGAUUGUACUCAUGAAUAUUAUACGAUGCCUUAGUAUAUGGAGAAAUAAGGCAGGUGAGAGAAGCAGAUAUAAGGUGGUGAGCUUAUGUAUACUUUGGGGAGUUUUGGGAACAAUAUCAUAUGCCAAACUACCUUCGUGGUGAAUCAUUUUGUCGAGCCUCAUCUUUGAAUUCCAAACCAACCUCAGUUGCGGAACGUUAGAAGCCAAAAAGUGCUAUGUGACUUAGGUAGUACCUUACAAGGAUGAAAUUGUGUCGAGUCUUGAUGGUUUUACCACUUAUAGUCAUUUGAACCUACGUGUAUAUUUGUACAUAUAUUUUGAUGAAACCUUAUACUUAAAAUUGUUUUAUUUGUUUGGCUUGUAACUUGUCGAACUAACCCGUCUAACUUUAGAAAUUGUGAGUCAGUUGUAUAGUACUCUAGAAUUACAUAUUUAUUUACCUUGUCCUAUUAAUAUAUUUCUCUCCAAUUUCCUUUAUCAAGUUAGCUUGAGUACAUUUUCUUUCCUUUGUAUAAUUAUUUAUUAUUUUUCAGUAGUUCGCUUUUAGCUUUUAAUUUGUUUUUGUUUACUUCGCUUGAGGACAAGCAAACACUUAAGUAUGGGGAUAUUUGACUUGUCGUCAAAUGUAGUAGUUAAUUCAGGUUAUUUUCGCCCUUAAAGAGUUAUUUUUCUAGGUAAUUUAGUUUUUAAUAUUAUGUUUUCAUUAUUUAGUAUUUAGAAUUAAAUAUCAGUGAAAUAAGUGUUUUUAACAAAUUUUACGAGUGUUGUGACCCAUUAGGCCAACACAGGCCUCGAGUAGUGCUAAUAUGUUCAACUGAGUGUUUAAGAUGAAUGAUUAUAGGUGUAACAACCCAGUUUUAGUGGUGUCAAAAAUAGUGGUUUCAAGACCACGACUCCAACAAGUGAGUUAUUAUUUUAAUAAUUAUUUAAAGUCAAGCAUUUGAUUGUUAUUUUUGAGUGCAUAAUAGUGAGGUUUGCUUAAUUUUUCUUUUCAUGAGUGUUGUGUUCUUUUUAGGCUUUCACAAUGAUUCACAAUAUUAUGAUUGGGAAGUUGAGAAUGGAUCAAGAUGUUCAAAAUGCUCGAGAUUAGUAACGUGACACUAUUCUAUACACAAUCAACAAAAAUUUAAAAUGUCUAAGUACAAAAAUUGAGCGUCAGAAUCGUAAUUGGGGAGAUAAGAUUGAUCAGCCUUGUCUUCGUGCAAAUAAUGCUUGACGUGUCUCUCGUAAAAAUGAUAAGACUUUGGUUAAUAAUGAUUUUAGGCAACAUGUUUUAGCUAAACCAAAGUUCAACAUUCCACCAUUUUAAGGGAAGUAUGAUCCCAAAGCAUAUUGUGAGUGGGAAUCAAAAAUUGAACUUAUGUUUCAUUACUAUAAAUGUCGGGAAGAGGAAAAAUUCCAAUUGGAAUUGAUUGUCAAAUGAACUACGAAAGGGUAAUUGAAACAUAGGAUGAGUUGAAGCAAGUGAUGUGAAGCGUUAUGUUCCUUCUCGUCACUAUAGAAAGGUCUCAAUAAGACUUCAACACCUUGUUCAAGGUAAUCGAUUUGUUGAUGAGUACUUUAAAGAGAUGGAGAUGCUUAUGCAAAGAGAAAAUAUAUGGAAGGAUGAAUAAACUACCAUGGUGCGAUUUGUAGAUGGCUUGAACAUUUCGAUAGCCAAUGCUCUUAAUCUUCAAACCUAUAUUGAUCUUGAGGAGAUGGUACACAAGGUAAUUGAGACUAAGCAACAAUUUCAGCAACAUAAAUCUCGUCCACUUGGCGCAUCACACUAUUAUCGAGGUACAAGUUCUAAUUCUACUUUCAAGAAUUCAAAACCUUCUUAUGCUAUUAAUAAGUUGCUGCCAAAACAUGCUAUGACUAAACCUUUUGAGUGGAAAAGUAAGGCUCUUACAGAACAUUCUUCUACAUCUUUCAAGCAACUCAUUUCUACUAAUUUUUCACUAAAACAACAAAGAGCUUGAGACAAUGAAUGUUAUACGUGUAAAGGGAGUGGACACUAUAGUCGUGAUUGUGCCAACACGAGACUUUUGUUGAUCAAAGAAGAUGACGAACUUUGUGAAUCAGAAAAAAAUGAUAAUGAGAAUUCUUUCCUUGAAUCUAUAGAGUUAGAUGAAAUAGAAAUGUCAUGCUCUCCUACUGAGAUAUAUUGUAUUGAAUUGAAUAUUCAUAAUACUUGUGAGAGGGAUAUGGGAAGUGAGAAAGAAUCAUGUGAAAAGACAGAGAGAAAAGAGACCUUAAGUGAUAAAAGUCUACUUGAUGGUCCAAAUUUGGUGAGUGAAAAUCCAUAUGAGUUACAAUUGGAGAGUUCUCAAGUGGAAAGAGAAAAUAAAAAGUAAGAAAAUACCCAUUCAAAAGUAAGGAGUGAUUAUGUUUUAACUAACCCUAACUGUAAUGCCACAAAAUUUUUAAUUUCAUUAUUGUGAAAAUAUGACACAUAUUUGUCAGCUUUAGUGGUUAUGUGUUCUUGGAGUGUUUGGGAGGUCCCAAGUUCAAGCCUUCGUUUGGGAAAAUUUUGGUAUUUUGAAUGAAUUAGGCCUUACUCUUGUUAAGUAAGCUUUUAUUUGAUUGUUAGGUAAAUUACAUCAGAAUGGGCAUGCUGGUCUGGUGGUUAAAUGGUGUGUUAUUAUGGUAGAGGUCUUGUGUUCGAAUUCCUAUGCAGGCAAGGGUAUUAUUUUUUUGCUCUGAUAUCGGCAUAAGUUGUGUAAUAGGGGGAUUUUGAGUAGUGGAUGUGUAGUGGGAAUUAGGGGAGAAGAUUAAGGGAUUUUGGGGGUUAUCGGGAUUUUAUUUUAUUUUUUUCCUAUAAUCGAAUUUUGACUCUCUUUUCCAAAAAAAUUAUGCCAUCUAUUCUUCUCCCUCACCUCUUGCCGAAAUUCUCUAAUUUUUUCCAUCUUUCUCUUCUUUUUUUUCUUCUUGAUUUUUCCUUCAUCCAUUUAUUUUCCUUCGUUUUCGCACGCGGUUGGUGCUCGCUUAGUUUCAAUAAGUGUUUCUCUUCGUUUCUGUCAUGAAUCUCUUAGCGACUAAAGUGGUAAUGUUUUUUCGGUAAGUGUUUCCCUUCGUUUCUGUCAUGAAUCUCUUAGUGACUAAAGUGGUAAUGUUUUUUCUCUGUGAUUUGGGCGUAGGAGGAGGCUCAGACUGGUGAAUUCAGUGUUCUCAUCUUAACAAUAGUUAAACUGAGGAUUAUCGUUGGUGGUAAGUUGGGUUUUUGUUCGUUCUUGGUUGUCAAUUCGUUUGUAAAUCCGUAAAAUUGAUGUUGAGUAUCUUGAUUAUAGGCUUUGGAGUGCUCGGGAAUUGUUUUAGCAUCAAAUAAAACCAGGUGUGUACCCAAAAUGACAAAAAAAGGGAUUCAACAAAAAGCUGAAAUUGCUUGCUGUUUGGACAACAGUAGUAGGCUAAUUUUGAAAAAUUGCCAUAAAUUGAGGAAAUCGUAUUAAUGAUGAAAAAAAUAUGGAAUUAAAGUUUAUUGAGUCUAGUUUCUCAUAGAAGAAACGGUGUAAAUAAUGAGUUCGGGUUUCCCUGUUCUGACUUUAGAAAAUCAUCAAAAAUUAGAGAAAAAUAAUUAGGGGUUAAAAUUUACAAGUUUAAAUUAUUAAUGAGUCUAUUUCCAGUAGAAACAAAUGGGUACUUCAUCCAAAUUUUUUACUAAGAGAUAAUUAUUUUUUAGCAAAGAAGGGUCGAAGCUGUCAGACAACAGAACAAGGGUAAGUUUUAAGAUUUUACUGUAUUUAUUGGCUAAACAAAAAAUUCUACAAAUUUUAUGGUAGAAAGGUAUUUGAGUCUAGUUUCAAAAACGUCAAGCGAAUUUUAAUUCGGAAUUCUGUAGCUCAAGAUGUAAAUAAUUUAGUAACAGUGACGCAAGUAGACAGCUUUGAAGGAACACAUAAAUAAAUAGUGAAAACAUAUAUGAAUAUUUAGCUAGCACGGGUUACAUUAAAAAUGGAUCACGUGGCCAAGGCCAAUUUGGCCCAAGUGGGCAACAUGGGCAUGUGAGCCUAUUUUUCUGAAAAUUUUUGUAAGGUUGCACUAGUCGCCCAAGUCGACUGUAGACCAACUGUAGGGUCGGUUGGUGAUAUCUAAAUGUAUGUACUAUGAAUUGCAUAAUGGCAUGACAUAUUUUGUAUGUUGCAUUGCAUCGGAGUGGGUUGAUGAUAUUUGGAGGAAGUGUCUGAAAGGCUAUUCAGCCUAUUAUCUGGCAGCUUAGCUGCAACCUUCUGAUUAUGUGCCACAUUUCAGUACAGCAUGGUGUGUAGGGAUAGGUGGGUUGAUUUAAUCCCCACAUGGUGUGUAGGGUUGGACAGAGAUGGUGUGUAGAGGCUGGUGGGUAGGAUUCUGAUUUACUGUAUUUGCAUUCUGUAUCUAAUAUAGGCCAAGGCCUUAAUGUAUUUCUAAGACUGUAUCUGAACAGGCUAAGGCCCAAACUAAUUCUGUGAUGGGCACAGGCCCAGACUGUAUCUAACUGAAUUAUGUUGAUUAUCUGUAUGCAUGUUUUCUGUGCGGAUUACACACCGAGUUUGUAAAAACUUACCCUUUCUCUAUUUAAUCUGUUCAGGUAAUCCCCAUACUUGACGGGUCAGUGUAGCGGAGGACUCGACCGUGGCCACACGUAAAUUUUAGACUGUUUUCUGUUAAUGUCUAGAAUUUAUUACUUAUUUGGGGUUUUUUAUGUAACUUUUGGACUAUGGACUGGUUGGCUUUAAGUUUGGGACUUUAUACUAUUUUUAUGAAUUUUUUAAACUGCAACUACACAAUUUUUCAAAAACUAAGGUUUUCGUAAAUAAAAGCGAUUUUCCCUAAAUUAAUUGGUUACAAAAGCUUCCGCUAAGAGACAAGUUUUAAAGCAAAUCAACUAGUACUUAUUUUUUUCUGAAUUAAAUAAAAGUUAACUAACUGUAACGGUUUUAACUCGACAAUCUUGUCUUCAAAUCCCAUUUCAUGUGACAUCGCCAGAUUCAGCCUUAACAUCUAGGCUGGGUUUGGGGUGCUACAUUUAGUGGUAUCAGAGCAAGGUUGCAAAACUAGACUGUGGAUUUGGGUUUUAAAAAUUGGUUUUAAAGAAAUGAUUUUUAAAUGGUUUGAAAUAUUUUUGACUGAGUAUGUGGUACACCGAGUCUCCGGCGUCAAUUCUGUAAGUGUUCUAAAAACUAUGAUAAGUUUUUAAAAAUAUGAGUAGCGUAUUCUGAAACUAUUAUAGGUAGUAUAUUGUACUGAGAACAUUGUAGAUAGUGUAUAGUGAAAAAAGUAGCAAAAUUGAAAACUGUAGUAAGACUGCGAUUCGUGAUAACAAACUCUAAACUUCUAAUACUAUUUUGCAUAAAAUAUUUACUAAUAGAUAUCAAAACUGUAACUAAUUCAUAAAACUAUUAACACAGACAAGUUACGAAUUCUAAGAUGAGCGCACGAGGUAUUCGCGAACAGGAUACUAGAGGCCGAGGUAGAGGCUGUAGAGGGGCUCGAGCUGAGUCCUUGUCGUUAGGUAGCAUGCCAAAUCUAGAUAUGUGCGAGACGCCGGUUUCACCUGCUACAGAGGCUGGGUCUCAUGAUCAUAUGGCCAGGGACAACACCUUGUCCUAGGCUAUGCUGAGGAUAUUAGAGAGGGUCACUCGGCCCAACACUAGAUCUGAGAGUCGAAGGUGAGUUACAGGACGACUCCGAUCUAAUAGGGCUGAACUAUUCAGGGGUGUCACUAGAGUCGCCCCUAGCCUGGUCGAGUACUGGAUGGAGGCCACGGAAAGAAUCGUGGACGAUCUAGACUUUACCCUUGAACAGAAAUUGAAAUGGGCUAUUUCCUUGCUUCGCGAUGAAGCAUGCCAAUGGUGGCUGACUGUUAAGGAGGGCACUCAGCCCGAAUGAUUGACAUAAGAUUUCUAUAAGUCUGCUUUCUAAGGUAAAUAUGUAGGGGCAAGCUACAUCGAUGCUAGAAGACGUGAGUUUCUGAAUCUCACACAAGGGGAUCGUUCAGUGGCCGAGUAUGAGGUCGAGUUUCUGAGAUUGAGCCGCUAUGAGUGAGGCAUGGUGGCGACUGGAUAUAAGCACUGUGUCCACUUCGAGGAUGGACUCAGGGAUAGUUUGAGAGUUCUGAUAGCUCCGUAGAGGGAGCAUAACUUUUUAGCAUUGGUAGAGAACGCGAAGAUCACCGAGGAGGUGAAGCACACUGAGCGGCAAAACUGGGAUAAGGAGAGAGGCAAGAAUAAGAGGGAUUCGGAGCCCUCGAUUUCUGGGAUGAGGCCUAAGAAAAAUGACAGAUCUGGUGGGAUAGUUAGAGUUAGGGCCCCUGUUGCAUCUACUGGAAUCACGCUUUGCGGACAUUGUGGAAGGCGCCAUCUGGGUGAAUGUUGGAGGACGACUGGGGCUUGUUUAGGAUGUGGGUCUACUGAGCACUGUGUUGGGGAGUGUCCGCUGAGGACCAAUCAGGUGCAAGUUACGGGUUCUGGUACUGCACAGCCAUCGAGGGUAGUUCAGCAACCGCCUAGGGGCCGUGAUCAGGCUAGGAGUGAUAAUGGUAUGGGUUAUGGGCAGAGAGCACCAGGCAGAGGUACUGGACAGGCUGAAGCGAGAUAAUCGGCCCUAGUUUAUGCUACUCGUCGCCAAGAGGAUAGAGAUGCUCCGUACGUCAUCACGGGUACGUUUCUUAUUUUUGUUGUGCCUUACACUGCAUUGAUAGAUAUAGGAUCUACGCAUUCCUAUAUUGUCUGUUCUAUUUUCAAAAACCUAGAGAUUCUGGUUGAGAGUACUUUUAGUGAGGUGACUGUGCUGAGCCUGCUGGGGCAAUUUGUUACAUUUACCAAACUGUACAGAGAUGUUCCCUUAGAGGUUCAAGGGGCAGUAUUUCAGGCUGAUUUGAUGGAGCUUCCAUUUUGGGAGUUUGAUAUGAUAUUGGGGAUGGACUGGUUGGUCAAGAAUCAUUUCAGUUUGGAUUGUGCGACUAAGAGGGUCGUAUUGAUAACUGAAGGGGGUAAUAUAGUUGUGAUUGGGGAACGCCGGAAUUACUUAGCUAACAUGAACUCUACACUGGUAGCUGAGAAACUGGUUCGCAAGGGAUGUGAUGCGUAUUUGGCCUACGUAAGUGUUUUCGCUGCUUGGGACUCUACUAUUAAGGACUUCAUAACUGUGAGGGAUUUUUUAGACGUCUUUCCUGAGGAGCUACCAGUUUACCUCCAAAUCGAAAGUGGAGUUCUGGAUUGAGCUUUACCCUGGUACAGCUCCGAUGUCUAUCGGUCCCUAUCGAAUGGUACCGAAGGAGCUUACUGAUCUCAAGGCUCAAAUUCAAGAGUUAUUGGAUCAUGGGUUCAUCCGCCCUAGUGUGUUCCCAUGGGGAGCACCGAUACUGUUUGUUAAGAAAAAAAAUGGAUCCAUGAGGAUAUGUAUCGACUACCAACAACUAAAUAAGUUGACUAUUAAGAACAAGUAUUCACUUCCAAGGAUUGAUGAUUUGUUUGACCAGUUCCGAGGGGUGUCUGUUUUUUCCGAAAUUGACUUGUGUUCUGGGUAUCAUCAGUUGAGGGUUAAGGAGGCUGAUGUGCAUAAGAUGACAUUUAAGACUCGUUAUGGUUACUACGAGUUCCUAGUGAUGCCAUUUACAUUGACUAAUAUACCGACAACUUUCAUGGAUCUGAUGAACCGAGUGUUUCAGCCCUAUCUAGAUCAGUUUGUAGUGGUGUUCAUUAAUGACAUAUUGGUUUAUUCGAGGACUGAGGAUGAGCAUGACGAGCACCUUAGGAUUGUUCUUCAUAUUUUGAGGGAAAAACAGCUCUAUGCUAAGUUCAGUAAGUGCGAGUUCUGGUUACAUGAAAUAACAUUUCUAGGUCAUGUGGUGUCUGCUGAGGGAAUUCGCCUAAGAAUGUGUCUGAGAUCUGCAGUUAUUUGGGGUUGGCAGAUUAUUAUCGACGGUUUGUGGAAGGAUUUUCACUGAUCGCAGCACCCUUAACUAAGCUGUUAUGUAAAGGUGUACCAUUUGACUGGACUAAUGCGCAGCAAGAGAGCUUUCAGAAGCUUAAGACUGUACUGACUAAGGCUCCUGUUUUGGUACAGCCUGAACCUGGAAAGGAGUUCACUAUUUAUAGUGAUGCAUCACAUGUCAGUUUGGGAUGUGUAUUGAUGCAAGAUGGUAAAGUGGUUGCAUAUGCGUCUCGUCAACUUAAGACACACGAGGCAAACUAUCCGACGCACAAUUUGGAGUUGGCCGCCGUAGUCUUUGCAUUGAAAAUCUGGAGGCAUUAUCUAUACGGUGAGAAAUGUAUUAUUUACACUGAUCAUAAAAUCCUCAAGUAUCUCCUCACUCAGAAUGAGUUAAAUCUUAGGCAGCAUAGAUGGGUUGAGCUACUUAAGGAUUAUGAUUGUACCAUUGAGUACCAUCCUGGCAAGGCCAAUGUGGUGGCCAAUGCAUUGAGCCGUAGGGCUAUGACCGAUCUGAGAGUGAUGUUCGCUCGACUUAGCCUAUUCGACGAUGGAAGUCUAUUGGCAAAACUUCAGGUCAAACCGACAUGGAUUGAAUAGAUUCGAGGUAAACAGUUGGGGGAUAAGUCUCUCAGGUUGUGUUUUCGUCAGGUUGAGAAUGGUGGCACUACUGAUUUUAGGAUAAACAGUGAAGCAGUACUUUGUUUUUGUUGUCAGAUUUGUAUAUCGAAUGAUGAUGAUUUAAGGCAAUCGAUUCUGAGAGAGGCGCAUGGUAGUCCCUAUACUAUGUAUCCCGGUUGGAACAAGAUGUACCGAGAUCUUUGGGAAUUGUACUAGUGGCCAGGGUUGACGCAUGAGGUUACAGACUUUGUUGGUCGCUGUUUGACUUGUAAGCAGGUUAAGCCUGAGCAUCAGUUACCUUCGAGUUUGCUGCAGCCGGUUAAGAUACCGUUAUGGGAGCGAGUAACGAUGGACUUCGUUAGUGGGUUGCCUCUAACACCCACUAAGAAGGAUUCUGUCUGGGUACUCGUGGAUCAAUUGACAAAGUCUACUCACUUCAUCCCAGUAAGGACAGACUUUUCUCUUCAAAAAUUAGCUAAGCUCUACAUAUCGAAAAUAGUGAGACUACAUGGGGUACCUGUCUUGAUCAUUUUCGAUAGGGAUCCUCGUUUCACGUCUCGGUUCUAGAAUAAGCUUCAUGAGGCUCUGGGUUUAAUAUUAGACUUCAGUACUGCUUUCCAUCCUCAGACAGAUGGUCAGUUGGAUAGGGUGUAGAGGACAUGUUGAGGAGCUAUGUUAUUGAUUUUCGAGGCAGUUGGGAUGAGUACUUGCCGUUAGCGGAGUUUUCCUACAAUAAUAGCUUCUAGUCUAGCAUCCGGAUGGCACCUUACGAGGCACUGUAUGGUCGUAAGUGUCGCACUCCUUUAUGUUGGACAGAGUUGGGCAAGUGACGUGUUCUAGGUCCUGAGUUGGUCUCUGAGACAGAGGAUAAGGUUAGAUUGAUUCGAGAUCAUUUGAAAGCAGCUUCUGACAGGCAGAAAUCUUAUAUGGAUUUGAAGAGGCGUGAGAUCAGGUAUUCUGUGGGGACUUAGUUUUUCUUAGGGACUCGCCAUGGAAAAAGGUUCUAAGGUUCGGUCGCAAGGGCAAGCUGAGCCCUCGUUUUGUUGGACCUUACCGCAUUCUGAAAUGUGUGGGACCUGUUGCUUAUCAGUUGGAGUUACCUCCGAAGUUGGACCGUAUUCAUAAUUUUUUUCACGUCUCGAUGUUGAGGCACUAUCGCUCUAAUCCCAUGCAUGUUGUUUUUAUUGAGGAGAUUGAGGUUAGGCCAGCCUUGACCUUUGAGGAGGAGCCAGUUCAGAUUCUGGAGCGUGAUGUAAAGGUCCUUCUAAAAAAGUCUAUUCCCUAGUGAAAGUUCUGUAGCGUAAUCAUAGCAUUGAGGAGGCCAUGUGGGAGCCUAAAGAUACGAUGCGUCAGCAAUAUCCUUAUCUGUUCUGAUCAGGUAGAAUUUCGAGGACAAAAUUUUCUUUUAAGGGGUAGAGUUGUAAUGCCCCAAAAAUUCUCAUUUCGUUAUUGUGAAAAUAUGACACAAAUAUUUGUCAGCUUUAGUGGUUAUAUGUUCUAGGAGCGUUUGGGAGGUCCCAAGUUCAAGUCUUCGCUUGGAAAAAUUUUGGUAUUUGGAAUGAAUUAGGCCUUAAUCUUGUUCAGUAGGCUUUUAUUUGAUUGUUGGGUAAAUUACAUCAGAAUGAGUCUGCCAGUCUGGUGGUUAAAUGGUGUGUUAUUAUGGUGGAGGUCUUGUGUUCGAAUCCCUAUGCAGGAAAUGGUAUUAUUUUUUUGCUCAGAUUUCGGGAUAAAGUUGUGGAUGUGUAGUGGGAAUUAGGGGAGAAGAUUAAGGGAUUUUGGGGGUUAUCGUGAUUUUAUUUUAUUUUUUCCCAUAACUGAAUUUUUGACGCUCGUUUCCAAAAAAAUUUUGCCGUCUAUUCUUCUCCCUCUCCUCUUGCCAAAAUUCUCUGAGUUUUUCCAUCUUUCUCUUCUUUUUCUUCUUCUUGAUUUUUCCCUAAUCUAUUUAUUUUCCAUCAUUUUCGCACGCGGUUAGUGCUCACUUAGUUUCAGUAAUUGUUUCUCACCGUUUCUAUCAUGAAUCUCUUAGUAACUAAAGUGGUAAUGUUUCUUCGCUGCGAUUUGGUCGUAAGACGAGGCUCGGACUGGUGAAUUCAGUGUUCUCAUCUUAAUAAUAGUUAAACGGAGGGUUAUCGUUGGAGGUAAGUUGGGUUUCUGUUCGUUCUUGGUUGUUAAUUCACUUGUAAAUCUGUUAAAUUGAUGUUGAGUGUCUUGAUUAUAGGCUUUGGAGUGCCCGGGGACUGUUUUCUCAUCAAACAAAACUAGGUGUGUACCUGAAAUGCAAACAAAGGGAUUCGGCGAAAAGCCGAAAUUGCUUGCUAUUUGGACAGCAGUAGGCUAAUUUUGAAAAAUCGCCAUAAAUUUUGAAAAUUGAAUUAGAGGAUGAAAAAAUAUGGAAUUAAAGGUUAUUGAGUCUAGUGUCUCAUAGAAGAAAUGGUGUAAGUAAUGAAAUUGUAAAUCGUGAGAUAUAAUAAUGUUUGUGAGACAAGGUUAGAAUGAAUUCGAGUUCCCCUGUUCGGACUUUGGAAAAUAAUCAAAAAUUGGAGAAAAAUAAUUAUAGGUUAAAAUUUACAUGUUUAUAUUAUUAAUGAGUCUAUUUUCAAUAGAAACAAAUGGGUACUUUAUCCAAAUUUUGUACUAAGAGAUCAUUAUUUUUUAGCAAAGAAGGGUCGAAGCUGUCAGACAGCAGAGUAGAGGUAAGUUUGAAGAUUUUACUAUACUUAUUGGGUGAACCAAAAAUUCUAUAAAUUUUAUGGUAGAAAGGUAUUUGAGUGUAUUUUCAAAGACAUCAAGUGGAUUUUAAUUUGGAAUUUUGUAGCUCAAGAUAUAAAUAAUUUAGUAACAGUGUCUCAAGUAGACAGCUUUGGAGGAACACAUAAGUAAAUAGUGAAACAUAUAUGAAUAUUUAGCUAGCACAGGGUACAUUAAAAAUGGAUCACGUGGCCAAGGCCAAUUUGGGUCGAUUGGGUUACAUGGUCGAGUGGGCCACAUGGGCGUGUGAGCCUAUUCCUCUAAAAAGUUCUGUAAGGUUGCAGGGGUCGCCCAAGUCGAUGGUGGACCUAUUGUAGGGUCGGUAAGCUUUACUUAGACCCCUAAAUGUGUGAUCUGUUUGACCGAUUUCUAUACCGAGCAUGACUUAUGAUAUCUGAAUGUAUGUACUGUUAAUUGCAUAAUGGCAUGACAUAUUUUGUAUGUUGCAUUUCAUCGGGGUGGGUUGAUGAUAUUUGGAGGAAGUGUCUGAAAGGCUAUUAAGCCUAUUAUUUGGUAGCUCAGCUGCAACCUUCUGAUUAUGUGCCGCAUUUCGGUACAGCAUGGUGUGUAGGGAUGGGUGGGUUGAUUUAAUCCCAACAUGGUGUGUAGGGUUGGACGGAGAUGGUGUGUAGAGGCUGGUGACUAGGAUUCUGAUUUACUGUAUCUGCAUUCUAUAUAUGAUAUGGGCCAAGCCCUAAUAUAUUUCGGAGACUGUGUCUAAAUGGGCGAAGGCCCAAACUAAUUUUGUGAUGGGCACAGGGCUCAAACUGUAUCUAAAUAAAUUUUGUUGAUUAUCUGUAUGCAUAUUUUUUGUGGGGAUUACACACUGAGUUUGCGAAAACUCACCCUUUCUCUGUUUAAUCUGUACACGUAAUCCCCACACUUGACGGGUCGGUGCAGCGGAGGACUCGACGGUGGCCACACGUAAAUUUCAAAUUGUUUUCCGUUAAUGUCUAGAAUGUAUUACUUAUUUGCGGUUUUUUAUGUAACUUUUCGACUAUGGACUGGUUGGCUUUAAAUUUGGGACUUUAUACUGUUUUUAUGGAUUUUUUUAAACUGUAACUCAACAAAACACGGUUUUUCUAAAAACUAAGGUUUUCAUAAAUAGAAACAAUUUUCCCUAAAUUAAUUGGUUACAAAAGCUUCCUCUAAGAGACAAGUUUUAAAGCAAAUCAACUAGCACUUAUUUUUUCCGAAUUAAAUAAAAGUUAACUAGCUGUAACGAUUUUAACUUGACAAUCUUGUCUUCAAAUCCCAUUCCAUUCCGCAUCGCCAGAUUCGGCCAUAAUGUCUAGCUCGAGUAUGGGGUGCUACACUAACCCAAAUUUGUUUAAUGGUGUUUCUUCAUUACAGGACUUCAUGGAUCCAUUGACGGACUUUCAAUUAUAUUACUCUACCAUCGAUAGACGAUUUUACUUGUGGGAAAAAGGUAAGUUGAAUAUUGAUAAUUCCCCACAAGUGCUACAAGAUAAAGAAUGUAAGGAAACAACAUAAAUUAAUUUAAGAAGGCAUACCUUGAAUGUUUUUGAUAAGUAUGCUACGGAUUUUGUUUGUCAAAUAUUUUCUUACAACAUGUUUUCUCAUUUGUCAAAUUUCAUUAAACCAUGUUCUGAAAGUUCAACUGAUUUUAUGGGUUUAUCUACCUUUGUAAAGGUUAAAAAUAGUAAUUUUGUUGCAUCAAAUAGGUUUUUAAAAGCAUUUUAUAUAUCUCCUCUUACAACAAAAUUUUCUAUCUUGACCAUUAACGAUGAAUUUUUACAUAAUAAUAUUAAUAUUUUUAUUUUUAUAAUUAUGUGAAAUUCUUGACUUAUCGUUCGAAAAUUCUUAUGGAUGACCGUGCAUAUUCAAAAAAAGUUACAAGUUAUUUUUUACUUGAACACUCAUGUUCAUUAUAUUUCUUUGUUUAGUGUUGAGGGUUUGUUUUUGAAUAAGAGAUACUUGAUCCAUGCUGAUUUGGGAGAUCAAAAUCAUAUAUUUGAUCCUAAAAAUAAUUUUGGCGCACAAGAAGGCUUAGGUAAGUAUUUGUUUCAUUUGAUUGUUAUUUAUUCUAAUCCCUUUUAAUUUUGUGUAGCUAAAGAUUCGGGGACAAAUCUUCUUAAGGAAGGGGGGAAUGAAGCGAGUCUCAAUGCCCAAUGUUAGACCCAUGAAUGUGAUGGGAUCACACUACCUCAAGGCUCAACAACAAUGUCAAAGGCUAAGCAAAUCAAAUCAGCUUUUGAUCAAAUACAAGUUCGAGGAUGAAUCUUUUUGAGGAAACGGGGAAAGAUACAUGCACGGAUCGAGUGAAAUUUAUUAAAUUUCAUUCACUGAAGCUGUCAAUUUUCAAGCUUGGGAAAUUAGUAGACUUGUGAUGACUUUUUCAAUGGGAUCUUGACAUUUAUGGGUUGAGAUGUCUCAUGGCGUUUGAAGAUGUAUCUCUUAGCCUUGAAAUGCAUUUUAAGUCACUCGAUUUUGAGUCUAGGAGCUCAAGUUAUGACCGUUUUAGUGAAGACUAUACGAGCAGAAUUUUUGAACGGGAUUAUGACAGGAAUUACAAGUUUCGGGCUUUUAAUUCGAGUUUAAAUCAUAUUGGGUUCGGGUUUUAGGCUUAAUUUUUAUUACAUAUGAGCCCAAUAUUGUAUUUAUCAUUACUUAUUAUUUUAUUUCAAUUGUUUUAUAAUUAUUAAUUAUUUUAAGUUAUUUAGGAGUUUUAUGUUAACAAGAAAGUUUAGUUUAAAACUACUUCUUAUUUAGAUUAAAUUAGAGUUCUAGUAUACUUAAGAGUUUUAUUUAGAUUUAUUUAGCUAGCCUAUAUAUAGGUAUUUGCAUUGCACACAAUUCAUUCAAUUCAUUAUUAUUCAACUUCUCUUUUAAGUUUAUAAUUUAUCUUUAAGUUUUCUUUUUUUAAGAAUUUCUCUUGAGUUUCUUUUAGAAGAGUUUUAACAAUCUUUUUAGAUUGUGGGGGUCAUAUUCAAACUUUUUCUUGCCAAGGUUUCUAUCUUGAAAGGGAAAUUAGAGCCACUUGAGUGGGGUUGUGGAUUCUUCAUGUUUCUGAGGCUUCUUAGGACUUCUACACGCCACGUUCUAUCUUUUCAUAUCUUCUUUAUUUUCUUCCUUAUUGUUUUAAUCAUAGAUUUAUUAUUCUAUUUUAAUUAUCUUAGUUAUUUAGUUUAAUUAUUUUAUCUAACUUGGAUUUAAUUGCCUUCCAAGUUUCUUUCCGAACAUCUAGAGCCCUAAGUCAAAUCUGUGACUUUGACAAACUUUACAAUCCGCUUCUGCAUUCAUCCGUCUCAUUCUUUAUCAUUUGGUAUUAGAUUUUGGCGUUUUAGGUUUUCUUUUUUUCUUUUAUAAACUGAUUUCUAGCAAACAACCUCAAUACAAUUUUUUUACAUCGACUAGCUACCCAAGUGUUGAGCUAUAAGAAUCCGGUAAGUCUAUGGCAAAUUGAUGAGGUAACAAAUGGGACCAUACCUCUAGCAGGUAUAACGACAGGUAGAAUCUUGACCUUCCUCCACCAUAAUACUUGGGAUGCCUCAUGAGGAGGCCCCUGCACCACAGCAUCCUCUGCAUUUCCUUUUCCGUUGUAGUGCACCUACAUUCACCAAUUGCAUCGAUUCAUCUACAUCCCUUAGGUGUUCAAGGAUUUGCUCUUUAUUACUCCUAGUCAUUGUUGUUCUCCUGGAUUAGUCGUUCUCGCUCUAUUGUUAAUGGUAGAGUACCUACCUUCAUCAUUUUGUGACGUAGACCUACCAGUUUAUCCUCCUUUCUUGACAAGUUUAACAAUUUUUUCGAUGACAUCGCAAAAACAAUGAUGAAAUAAAGCAAAUCUUAAACUGCAUUUACUAAGAAGAAGUUCUAAGUAGCAGAAAAAUAAGAACUUUAAAAUGACAAUGUGGUUUCAAGGAAGAUAAAGUUCUUGAUUUAUAGAUUUUUCAAUGCUCCUUCUUAAAUGCACAAUUUUGGGAACCAAUAGCAUCUUGCCACCUAUAUAGUUUCAAAUACUCUUCAUCAUGGUUGUUUUUUCAUAAAAAUACUUUGCAUUUAUGAUAGUUAUUGUCAGACCCCAAGUUUAGCGGAUCCAAGGUUAAGGUGUAUAGUAAUGAAAUAAUUUGUUUGGCGAAGUGUAAUUCUCCCAAUUGCUUAUUUUGGAAAAUAUGUGCAGGUGUAUACUAAACAUCGUGUAAAUAAGUGAAAAAUCCAUUUGAGAUUAUUCUAUUAUUUAAAAAUAAAAAAAUUUUAAGCAACAUGGUAAUUAUGGUAUGAAUUAUAACCGAAUGCAAAGUACGCCUUGCAUGCCUUAGUACUGUGUUGCUUGGGUUAUAAAGUGACCUGGUUAAGAACCAACUAGAUUGACUGGUCUAACCUCUAUAAUGAAGGAUUUUCAUUAAUGUUUCUCUCGGAAUCUGUAGGUCAUUAAGAAAGACAAAUUCUGAAUUAAGUCACACUUGUUGAGUUCCACUAAGCGAGGUUGGGUUAUAUAUGUGUGAGAAGGGUUCUGAAAUAAGAUUCUACUUUCUCAAAAAUGUUACUCUUUGAUUUUUUUCUUAAAUCCAAUUGUAUGUCUUCCUCAUUAAGCUAGAAGCAAAGGUUCUUAGUUUAACCAGUGGUCAUUCCAUCUCCAGGUAAGUAUUACAGAUGUGCAUGCUAGGUUCUGAAAGUGUAAGUCUGUAAAAGGUAUAUGAAUAGUAAGUUGUAAGUACAAGGCUUUGCGUGGGGGUUAUUAGUUAUUGAGAUGAUAGUAAUUUGUAUGUGAAUGAGUUUUUAUGGUGAUCAUAUGUUCUUUAAGCAGUUGUUGUUGCUGGUUCAAAAAGGAUAUCUAAGUCUAGAGUUUCAAUCUUUAGUGGGUGAGUAUCAGGUGAGUCUCUAUCCUGACUCUUGCAUAUGUAAUGUACAAAUAGAAUGUUGGUGGUAAGCAUGGAAGUAAUGUCUUAUAUGAAAAGUAUGAAUUAGUUAGGAGUGCAAAAAAAAUUGGGUAAGUGAAUACUGAAUAAACUUUCAUUUGGGAUGCCUCUAUUAGGGCAGUUAUAUUGCUAACCAGUGUGACGCCCUCAACCCGACCUGAUUCAAUAGGUCCAAAUCUCAGGUUUUACACAUACACUAAUUAAUAAUCUAAAAAAUUGUUAACAAUUUCUCAUUUCUCUAAUUAUUUUAUUUAACCUUUUAACUAAAAAUUUUAUCAUUUGAUAACCAAAGAAGUGUUAUAAAAUAACUUGUUACAACAGACUUGAUACAAAUCUUUACAAUAUAGAAGUUUAUUAAGGACGAUCAUACAAGGCACAAUCCUAGACUACGGCAUAUUUCCACUGUAUGCAUAAUAGACCUCUUCGCCAUUACGUUGGCAUACUCCUAGCAUCAUCCUUCCUGGCGCAACUUGUGUCGAAUACUUGAAACAACAAUGAACAUGGUAAGUUUAAGAGAUCUUAAUAAACCUUAUCACGGAAUUACCUGGGUGGAUACUUUAUUUUCUUAUAAGAACUUCUAUUCCUCGACCAUCCUUCUGAAUCAUUUAUUUCGAGCGGAUUUCUCUACAAUAUUCUUUAUCUAACUAACUGAAGAUCCUUCCAAACAUUUUGUAAAUACCUUUAUUUCAUAUAUACUUCUCAAAAGAUCAUACCUUCAGAUACAUCACAUCUGGUGAAUACUUAUAUAGAACUAAUUACCAUCAAUUUAUUAACCAAGUCAUUUCUAAAUUCAAUAUCAUACAACCCACACUUGUAAUGCACCACAUAAACCCAUUAGAAGAAUUCCACAUUAAUUAUUUUCAGAAACAUAUAUACUCAGAAUACCCAUAACUUAGACUUUAUACAAUUUCAGAAAAGAUCAUUACAAUCGAAACAUAACCUCAAUAUGACAGAUUCCAAGUAACUUUGAUUCAAUCAUUUCAUAACACAGAUAAUCUCACAUUGACAAUUUCUUAUGCCACACAUAACUACAAAUAUAACCAUAUCUAACGUUGUCAGAUCAUUGUGGUAGAUACCUUCAUUAUCAUAUAGCUACACAGUUCUUUCCAAAAACUUAUUCAAUUAUUUCACAAAUCUUACUCAACUCAUAAACCUGGGCAUAUCAAUACCUUAUCUCAGCCAACCUUAUUACAAAACUAACAAAAUUUAUCCAUAUCUUACAAUAAAGAUAGAUAUACACAGCGUACCAUGCAUGAUAGACCACGCCACAAGGGCCACACAGAAUACACCAUAAAGGCAUCAUACAAAAUCUCGUGUUUACUAUCCCGACGGACUUCACAGAAGGUGUCAUGGGUUUCUACCUUAUGGACUUAUAUAGAGAUUCAUGUACCGUAAUCUUCCAUUUCAAUUCAUACAUCAUUGAGGGCUACACCAUGAAUAUUCAAACAGACAUAUAAUGCCAUGGGUCUUAACCACAUGGUCUUAGAUACAUUCAUGUGUCAUGUUUUGACAAUAUAGUCUCCAUCUUACUGGAGGUUAUAGCAUGAAAGUUUCCAAAUCAUAGCAAGCUACCAUGGGCCUCUACCUCAUGGUCUUACACUAGGUUUCAAUCUAUAACAUGCCAAUCUGGUUAGCUAUAUAACUGCCCUACCAGAGGAUUCACAAUAGAACGUUAGCUCAGUAUUUACUUACCCAGAUAAUCACCUUCUUACAAACUCAUACACCUCCUAUACCAGACUUUUACUUGCAUGCUUAUUAAAUAGUAAUCCUUUAAUAAAACUUUAUGCAUAUUAUUACAGAGCAUCUCUCAUCCUUACUAUACCCAGAGCCUUACCAUUUUCCAUGGACAUGAUUAUCCCAUCUAUGAAUGUGCAUAUAUUUAUACUUCUUAUUUGAACAAUUCACAUAAUAGAGUCAAGAUAGUGACUCACCUUAACUCACCUACUACAGUUCUAAGCUCCAGACUUAUACAUCCCUUUUGAAUCAGAAGUAACAACUACUUAGAAACAUAAAUUUACUAUUACAACUCUUAUACAUACAAUUUACUUAUCAUCUCAAUCGCGGAUAACUUCAUGCAUAACUUGUAUUUAAAGCUUUACUGUUCAUACAACUCUUAUAGUCUUACACUUUUAGAACUUAACAUGCAAAGGCAAAACACUUACCCAAAGAUGGAAUAACCACUAAUUAGAUCUAGAAUCAAUGUUUCUAGCUAAAUGAGAAAGGGAUACAUUUAUACUUUCUAACGAAAGAAUUAGAGAGUAGUGUUUUUAAGGAAGAAGAAGAACCUCCCUCAAAACCCUUCUCACACAUAUAAAUAUGACCCACUUACCUAGUUGGACUUAACAACUGCCACACAUUUUAGAACUUACCUUAUUAAUGGUCUACAGUUCCCGAGAAAAUUAUAAAUAAGUACCUUGUAUUCACAAUUAUCGGGCUAGGCUAUCUAGUUGAUAUCUAACCAAAAUACUUAUGAUCUAACUAGUACAGUACUCUAAACAAACAACAUGUAUUACAGCUUUGGCGCCAACUCAUACCAUACUUAACCUUUAUCGCCUAACACAAACUUCUCCGUAAUAUAUUAGAGUAGCAUGAAACAAAAUCCUUACCUACAUAUCUGGCAGUUACUAAACGCCCGCAUGUAUAUGCCACAAUAAGAAAUUGGGAAGAUUACACUUCGCCAUAUAGACUAUUUUACUACUAUGCGCCAAAACCUUAGACCCACCAGACUUAGGGUGUUAUAACCAAAUUUGUAGACCAUGAUAUGAAAACAAGUGUAAGACCAUGAGGUUGAGACCCAUGGCAUCAUAGGAUAUGAAAACACUCAUGGUGUAUCCUCUAGUAAAACGAAGACUGAACUAGAAGAUCAUGAUACAUGAAAGUGUGUAAAUUCAUGUGGCUAAGACCCAUGGCAAGUAAGAUUGUAUGAAUGUUCAUGGUGUAGCCUUUGAUAAUGUGUAGAUCAAACUGGCAGAUCACGAUACAUGAAAUUUAUGUGCAAGUCCAUAAAAGAGAAACUCAUGGCACCUUUUGGGAAAAAUUAGUCGGAAUAUUAAACAUGUGAUUUUGUAUGUUGCCCUUGUGGUGUAUUUUGUUUGGCCCUCGUGGCGUAUUCUACUAAGUUCGUAUGGUAGAAUAUGAUUAUCCACCCUUAUGGUAUGUUUUGGAUAAAUUCUGAGUGUUCUGUGAUAGAUGUUACUAUGAUAAGGUUAUGAUUCGUCCGAAGUUAAUUUGGUUGAAUUAGAUCUGUGAUGUAACCAAAUAAGUUUCUAAGGAAGUUCUUGAAAAUAAGUGUGUAUCUUUAUGUUCAAAAAAGGGUAUCCACCAUGGUAAUUUGUUAGUUUUGAAUAUGGGUGUAUUUGUGGUUAUGAAAGACAUUAGAAAUUAUCAAUUUGAGUUCGACUGUGUUAUAUAGUGCUGAAAUUUGAGUAUCUGGUAUCCGCCAUAUCUGAAGAAUAAUAUGUCUUAAUCUGAAAUCUUAUGGAAUCUGAGUUGUUUGUUACCUUGGGUAGAUUUGUGUUCUGUAACGAUCUGGAUAAUUCAUUAUCAGUAUAAGCAUGCAUUAAGGUUGAAUUAGAAAAUGAUUGGAUUUGGUAAAUUGAUGGAAUCCAACUCAUCGUGGGAAUCUAUCAAAGGUGUAAGAAUCUACCAGUAAACAGUAUCUGUGACCAGCAGUUCUGGAAUCAGUGUAUGUGUGAAGAGACGGUCUAUAUAAAAUAGGCUCUGAAGGUAUAUUCUUUUAAAAAGUACUUUUGUGUUUUUUAAGAGAAAGAAGAGAUUAAUGAAAUGUCUGGAAGAAUCUCAAGUCAAUCAGGUAAUUAAGAGAGAACUGGUACACUAAGAGUAUGGUAGUUAGCGUGUAAGUCUAAGCCUAUAAUUGUGAAAGCAUUUGCCGAAAAUAGAAGUAAGAUGUUGAGAAUGGUAGCUGGCACAUAGAUAUUCAUUCGAUAUUAUAAAAGUAUCCACCAAGGUAUUCUAUAUUAACUAUCACUAAGUUCUCCUAAAUUUACAAAUGUUAUAUUUAUGUUUUAGGUAGUGUGGUAACGGAAUACGCCGGGAGUGACGACACCAGGAGUGUGCCAAGGUAACGACAAUAUGGACUAUUAAACAUACAAUGGACUAUUUGUAAAUGGGACAUAUUACAGAAUUACACCCUAGGAAACUAUCUUUAGUAAACUUUGUUUUGUUAAUGUGUUGUAACAAAUUUGAUGUAAUAUGUUAUUUCUAAAUACUAUCUUUUGUUUCUUUGAUUUUGAGUCUUUAAAUAAAAUUAUAAGAAUUACAUUUUUAAAUAAGGAGUACUCACCAAUUGUUUGAAAUUUAGCUAAGUGAUUUGUGUUGUAACACCCAAGAUCAGGACUUGGUAAUUUGGGUCGGGUUGAGGGCAUUAUAGUUACUCUAGUAGGAUUCUAGUGCUUCUUCAUCUUCUCUGGUAAUGCAAACACUCUCCCAUUAUUAAAUGCCUAAAUUCAGAUCAUGUCUCACCGAAAGCCAUUCUAUAACCUCCUGUUUAGGUUAGGGGGUUAUUAUUAUAUCCCUCCACCAUGAAGACACAUGUCAGUGCCAGAAACAUCAUUAACUCUCUUAUUGACUUUGAUUGAAGAUAAUCCUCACCUGACCAUCCAUCUAUUCCUUAAGGAAUCUGACCACACUUUCCCAAUGUGAACACAGUUUCAAGACAAUAAAGAGUCUAUUUAGGCAUAACAAUCUCGUACUAAUAGAGUCCCAUGAUAUACGACUAUCAUCCUUUACGCUUUUAGCGAGGCUAAAUGUAUAUCCUACCACGUCAUAGUAAUAGAAAAGAGGAUCUCUCCAAUAAAUACCUUGAAAAACGAGAAAGAAAUGAUCGACCCCUGACACCCUAAAGUUACUUUGAGCAAUUAUUUUCUCAGUCAACCUGUCUUCAUCCCAGAUCUAACUCUCGACCUCCUCUGCAGCACCACGAUCCCCUCCUUAACCUUCUCCCUUACUGUACAUUGUAUAAAUAAGAUAUUUAUAUUCAACUACAUGUUUGGCAGGCUAGUUGAUUUCUAGAUAAUAUUUAAACAUAUUAUAUCCAAGUUGCAUUCGUUUUAUUCUAUUGAAAGUUCACUGUUUGUUUUUAUAUGGUAUUGAUUAACAUUACAUUUAAAAAAAAUUAACUAACCCAAUUUAUUUUGAAUUUAAUAAAAACAAUUCAUAAAAUAAUAAUACAUAAGUUUUAAUUAAUGCUGAUAAAAACCGUCAACACAUCAAAUUAAUUGAAUCCUGGGUCUCUGCAUAUUUUAUCAUUCACUCUAUAUAUUUAAGUAAGCAUUAUUGAAAACAAGAAAAUAAAUAAAUAAGUAGAAGACAAACUGAUACAAUAUUUGAACUCACCAAUUUGCGAUUUACUAAGAACUUCUGGGAUGCUUAUUUUGACUAGUACCAAUUCAAUGAAAAUUAAUAACAAUGUUGGAUAUAAAUCCAAUUAAAAAAUGAGAAUAAUAAUUUUUUACGCUUCAAGUUCAGUGUAUAAAUAGCAUCCUAGUUCUCUAUCAUCUCACACCUCAACCACUCAAUCAUCCACUUCUUCUCUUCUUUGAACUCAAAGUCCCAGUUAAUAUUAGAAUCAUGGGUGUUGUCACUUAUGACUAUGAGUCUACCUCCCCAGUCGCCCCUUCCAGGCUUUUCAAGGCCUUUACUGUUGAAGCUCCGAAAGUUUGGCCCACGGCUGCACCUAAUGCAGUCAAGAGUAUUGAGGUUGAAGCUAAUCCUAGCUCUGGAAGUAUCGUAAAAAUCAACUUUGUUGAAGGUUAGUUCUUUCAUUGGCCUUUUUGUAGUCUGUUUUACACGAGUAUGUUGGAUAACAAGUAUUUAUUUGUUUAGGCCUUCCAUUCCAAUAUAUGAAGCACCAGAUAGGAGGACAUGAUGAAAGUAAUUUUUCAUACAGUUACGAUUUAAUCGAAGGUGGGCCUUUGGGGGACAAACUUGAAAAAAUCAGCUAUGAGAACAAGUUUGAGGCAGCUGCAGGUGGAGGAAGUAUUUGCAAGAGCUCAAUGAAAUUCUACACUGUUGGCGACAAUGUAAUCACUGAAGAUGAAAUCAAGGCUCUCAUUAAGGGAAGUGAGGGAGUUUACAAGCCUGUUGAAGCUUAUCUAUUGGCUAAUCCUGAAUCCUGCAACUAGGAUAUUGGUUGCUUUGAAUUCUGAUUCUUGGUUUUAAAGAGUGGUCAUUGCUUUUAAUGGUGUGUUUUUUAUAUUUUCUUUUUCCUUUUAAAACCUAAAUUGUCUUCUAAUUAUUUACAUAAGAGUGGUGGUGAUCGAGCUUUUGUCAUCUUUAUUUUCAUUACAGUCAAAGAAUUUGGGUUGUCUUUGACAUAUAUAGAAAUAAAAUAAACAAAUAAACUCAAAAAAAGAAAAAAAAAGGUUUUACCUGGUAUAUUGAUGAGUGAAAAUUCACAAUCCAUAUUAGAGAUGUGCAUUCGGUGGUUGGAACGAUUUGAUUAUUUUAUAACAAUAAUCGAAUAAAUAAAAAUUUUUACUGCAAUUGAAUUAAUCGAACCAAACUUAAAAAGGUAAAAAUGAAACAACCGAACUGAAUUUAGUCAAUUCGAUUAGAUUUAGUUAAUCGAUUUUUGCUUUUUUUGGUUUUUAACUUAGUUGAACUCCACCGAUCCAAAAAUUCUUCACUGUUCGUGUCGGCAUGUUUGUUCCUCACAGAAUGGGAGCAAACAGUAGCCGCCUUACCUUUUGCUAUAAAAAGGAUUUUAGUCUUUGCUUUCAAAAUCAUCCCAAUCUCUCCAAGAAAGUGUGUAAUCUUUAUUUGUUUAGGCCUUCCAUUCUAAUAUAUGAAGCACCAGAUCGAAGGACAUGACGAAAAUAAUUUUUCAUAUAAUUACAGUUUAAUACAAGGUGGGCCUUUGGGGGACAAGCUUGAAAAAAUUAACUAUGAUAACAAAUUUGAGGCAGCUGCAGGUAGAGGAAGUAUUUGCAAGAGCUCGAUGAAAUUUUACACUGUUAGGGACAGUGUAAUCACUGAAGAUGAAAUCAAGGCUCUCAUUAAAGGAAGUGAAGGAGUUUACAAGCCUGUUGAAGCUUUACCUCUUGGCUAAUCCCAAAGCUUGCAACUAGGAUAUUGGUUGCUUUGAAUUCUCAUGCUUGCUUUUAAAGAGGGAUCAGAUUUUAACUGUGUGCUUUUGAUAUUUUCUUCUUUGUCUUAAAACCUAUAUUGUCUUCCGAUUGUUGUAAUAAGAGUGGUGGUGGUGGAAUCAAGCUUUGAUAAUCUUUGACAUAUGAAAUAAACAAAAAUAUAAACUGGCAAAAAUAAUAAAAGCUUUACUUGGGUAUAUAAUUUACAGUUUUCCUGACAGACUACAAUUUUUUUCUACACUAAAACCUCGAUAAAUGAAUAUUCGAUAAAUUAAUACUCUUGGUUAAAUAAUAUUUUUUCUCGGUCCCGACUUGAGUCAAGAGGAUAAAAUAAUAACCUGGCUAAAUGCAUAAUAUAAUAAUUUUUAGAAAGAAUCUUUAAGGGCCCAAUGAAAAUAUAAAAUAACAAUUCAUUAAAUAUAUUAAGAUUUUUAUAUACCAUACAUAAAACUAAAAUGCUUUCUAGACAACUCUUACUCUUUUUCAAUUUUAUUCUUUGCUAAAAUAUGCAUCUAUAGUUAACUGCUUCUUCUUUGCAUGUGAAUCAAAUACAGUUUCAUUUUUAACUUUUAGAAGGGCAUAAACCAAAUCUGGUAUAUUCUUCUUGUGUUGCAUUAAAUAAUUUUUCAAGGUAUCAACAACUAGAAAAGCCUCUUUUGGAGAAACAUGUGGCAAAACACUAUUGUCAUCAUCAGUUGGCACAUUCAUUACUCCUUGAAUAAUUUCUUCAUCCGUAGGUGACUUAAUCAAAGAUUCAUUUUCACUUGGAUAACUGCUCAACAUCCAUGGCAUUUCUAUAGUGUAAAUCUGAAAUUACUUCUUUUAAUUUAUGAAUGUCUUCAACAUCACCAAUUUCUUGUUCGAGAGGCAUAUCCUCCUCGGAUCGAAUUUUGCAAAGUCGGAAACAAUUUGCAAUAGUUGUAGGCUUCACAUCAAUAUUCACUACAACAAAACAGGUUUUUAGCGGCAUUUUUAGUAGCGUUUGGACCAAAAACGCCACAAAAGUUAUAAAUUAGUGACGCUAAUAGGAAGACGCCACAAAAGGUUAGAGCUAUAGCAACGUUUAUGAGAAAAGCGCCGCAAAAAAAAUUAUUUUAAACAAAAUUGAGCCGUUUUGCUUCCUGUCUAUUUAUUAUUUAACUAGUUUUUUUAUAUUAAAAAAAUACAAUUUAUUUUAAAUUGAAUGUUUAAAAUCUUUAGAAAAAAUUAAUGACAGAGAAAAAAUUUGAAAGUAAAAACAUAGAAAAAUAUAUGUUAAAAAUGAAAAAAAUUAAAAUACUAUUAUUUAAAAAUUAUUGUUUUUAAUUUAUAUAUUAAAUAAUUUUUUAUAUAAUUGUAAAAGAGAUAAUAUUAAUUUUAAUAUAUUAAAAUUAUCAUUAUAGUUUAAAUUAUUUAAGAGAUAAUAGAUAAACUUUAUAUAUAUUAAAAUUAAAAAAAUUGCUAACCCAUGCAUUUAUAGAAAAACAAAAUUAAUUAGUAAAUUGAAAUAGUUAUUUAAAUUUCCUAAAAUGUUGAAAGAACAUAUAAUUACAAAAGAGAAACAAAUUAAAGUUUUUUUUUUUUCAUAUCUUGAAUUUUUUUUAUUUUCUUACAUAAAAAUUAUAUAAAAAUUUCAAAUUUUAUCUAAUUCUUUUCAAUAUUACUUAUAUUUUAAAAAAUUAUUUAUUUGAAAUUGAUAUGAAAGAUAUAAUAAUUCAAUAUAAAAAUUGUAAAAAAAAGUAAUAUUUAAAUAAACGCCGUAAAAAUUUAUUUUAUUUUAGUGUUUAGGGUUUAGGAUUUAAGGUUUACAGUCUAGGGUUUAGGGUUUUAGGGUAUAUGGUUUAGUGUUUUGGGUUUAGGGUUUAAUGUUUUUGGGUUUAGGGUUUAAUGUUUUUGGGUUUAAGAUUUGGGGUUUAGUGUUUUAUAGUUUAGUGUUUAAGGUUUAGGAUUUAGUGUUUAAGAUUUAAUAUUUAUGUUUUAGGGUUAGGGAUUUCGAUAAAAAUGACAAAAAAUCAAUUUAUUUUAGGGUUUAGGUAAGCAAGAAGAUUCUUUUUUUAAUUACUUUUGUACCUUAUAAUAUAUAUUAUUAAAUUAAUAUCAAAAGCAUAAUAAAGUAAAAAGGAGAGAGAAAUUCAUUAUUUCCAUAUCUCCUUAUACAAAAAUCCACCUCUUGGUAAUUUAGAAUUUGGGAAGUUAAGCAGAUUGAGUCUUAGCUCAAUUAGUGUGAGCAUUGUUGUCAACAUAAGAGAACAUGAGUUUGAGUGUGUUGAAAUGCAUUAUCUUCCUGUUUAUGAGUUGGGGAGGAAUUAUGAGUUGUUGUAGACAUAAUAUCAAAAAAGAAUUUGAGAAGUUAAAUUUUAUCAAAAUCAAUUUGGAUAAAUUCUAUCAACUGCACAAAAAUUUAAUCUUGUGGAUACAAACUCUUCAUAAGGAAGUUUGGUUUCAUUUUUUAAAAUUAUUUUCGUACACAAUUAUAAAAUUUUACAAAUUAAAUAUAUUGUUUGAAACAAAACAAACUUAAUUUAAAGGAAUUUAAGAAAUAAUUAAACUAUAAAUAUUUAUUAGUAUCAAAGGCAUUAGCGGCGUUUAUGAUUAAAACGCCGCAAAAAAACAUUUUACUUUAAACAAAACGACGUGGUUUUGAGUGGCAUCUUUAGUGGUAUUAGCGGCACCAGGUGAAAAACGCCGCAAUAGAUCGAGCAUUAGCGGCGCUAGGUAAAAAACGUCGCAAAAAAAUUACUUUAAACCAAACGGUGCCAUUUUAAGUGGCGUCUUUAGUGGCAUUAGCGGUGCUAGGUGAAAAACGCCGCAAUAAAUCGAGCAUUAGCGGCGCUAGGUAAAAAACGCCACAAAAAAACAUUUUACUUUAAACAAAACGGCGCCAUUUUCAGUGGUGUCUUUAGUGGCAUUAGCGGCGCUAGGUGAAAAACGCCGCAAUAGAUCGAGCAUUAGUGGCGCUAGGUAAAAAACGCCACAAAAAAAAACAUUUUACUUUAAACAAAACGGUGCCGUUUUUAUUGGCAUCAGUGGUGCUAGGUGAAAAACACUGCAAUAGAGCGAGCAUUAGCGGGCGCUAGGUAAAAAACGCCAGAAAAAAACAUUUUACUUUAAACAAAAUGGUGACGUUUUUAAUGGCGUUAGCAACACUAGGUGAAAAACACCACAAUAGAUCGAGCAUUAGCGGCGCUAGGUAAAAAUCAUCACAAACGGUCAUUUUGUUUUAUACGAAAAUGCGUCGCUUUGCUCUCCUCCAUUUUAUCCCAACCCAUAUACCCGAAACACCUUAUUUUUUCCCCAAAAAAAUUUCCCCAAAUCCCUAAAUUUUCCCUAAAUCAAAAUCCCAACCCAUUUGCUGCAUCGCCGUCGACUCAACCAUCUGCUACAUUACCGUAACUGUCCCCUCUGCUGCGUCACCGUCGCACUCCUCUACCGCAACCAAUCAGUAAAUUUAACUCCUCUGCCGUCGCUUUUUCAAGAUUUAACAUGUCUAGAUUUUUAUUUAAUUAAAAUUUGACUUAUAAAAGGUGGAUUUUGGGACAUUAGACCCCACUAAGGAGGGGAAUAAGAAAUCUUAGCCCUUGGUUUAUAUUAAGUUGGAGUGAAAGAUAGUGAUUUUGGUUUGUAAAUUUACCUCAAUUGUAUUCGACUAUUGAUAGCAAAUAUAUACAAGAUUACAUCAGAGUGUUAUCUUCAGCUAUUCACAAUUUGAAUUUGAAUUUUAAGUAGAAUAAGAUCCUAAAGAAUAGGAGUGAUAACAAGUCUAGUUUGACUUGGUUAACUCUCAACAGUCCCUCGCAAACGGAUGGGGGAAGUCACCAUCAGUUUGUCUUGAAGCGUAAGAAACCGAGUUGUCGAUAAAGGUUUCGUCAAGACAUCGGCUAUUUGAUCAAUGGUCGGAACAUAGGAGACGAGAAGAUUCUUCUGGCGUACUUGGUCUCAGACAAAAUGAAAGUCCAACUCAAGGUGCUUGCUACGAGAAUGAAAAACGGGAUUCGCAGCUAGAUAGGUAGCGGAAACGUUAUCACACCAUACUUUCGGCGUUGUUGGAAGCUUGUAAUUGAGUUCCCGAAGAAGGCACUGAAGCCAAUAAACCUCCAAAGCAGCUGAUGCUAAAGCUCGAUAUUCUGAAUCCGUGCUUGAACGAGCGACGGUCUUUUGCUUACGAGAAAUCCAAGAGAUCGGAUUGGAGCCAAGAAAGACAACAUAUGCAGAAGUGCUCUUUCGAUCAAGCUUGUCGCCACCCCAAUCAGCAUCUGAAAAAGCAACAAGUGAAGCUUGGCGAGAAGAGCGAAGCACGAGACCAUGAUCUAUUGUGCCGUGGAGGUAACGUAGAAUCCGUUUCAUGGCUUGCCAAUGAUGGAGGCAGGGAGAAUGCAUAAAUUGUGCAGCUUUGUUCACUGCCAUGGUUAUGUUGGGGCGAGUGAGUGCCAAAUAUUGAAGAGACCCAACAACCUGUCGAUAAAGCUUAGGAUCAUCAAAGGUAGAAGAAGUAGUGCCGGUGAGGUCGGCUUGCGGCGUUGAAAGAGUCGAGACCGACGAGGCAUCUUGCAUAUUCGUACGAUGGAGCAAAUAUUUGAUAUAUUUGGAUUGCGUGAGCUGCAAACCACUCGAGAACCACGCAACUUCAACACCCAAGAAAUAGGAUAGUGGUCCUAAAUCCUUGAGCGUAACAACCUUCCCAAGUUGAGUAAUAAACCAUUGUAACAGCGAAAAGGAUGAUCCUAUCAACACCAAAUCAUCAACAUAGACCAAGCAAUAUGCAUACUCGUCAUUACCAGAAUAUAUAAACAGCGAACUGUCAGCCUUGGAACCGUGAAAACCAAGCUAUUGUAAUGCAUUCGAAAGGCAAAAAUACCAAGCUCGUGGCACCUGCUUUAAACCAUAUAGCGAUUUCUUUAUAGCACAUACAAAAUCGGGUUUAGAAUGAUCAACAAAUCCCUGUGGUUGUUCCAUAAAAAUAGUUUUAUCAAGAGUCCCGUGAAGAAAGGCAUUCGAAACAUCAAGUUGCCGAAUGGGCCAAUGACGAUUGACGGCAAUGGAAAGAAUUAACCUUAUGGUGGCCGACUUUAUAACGGGGCUGAAAGUCUCAACGUAAUCAAGGCCUGGGCAUUGAUGAAACCCUUUUGCAACCAACCGCGUACGACAUCUAUCGAAGGAACCAUCUACUUUUGUUUUUACACGGUAUACCCACUUGCAACCAAUGAUAUUAGAUGCUCGAGAACGGGGAACAAGAUCCCAUGUGCCGUUUGAUAGAAGAGCAUCAAUUUCUUCUCCCAUUGCAGCACGCCAUACGUGCUGUUUUGCUGCUUCAGUGUAUGACGAAGGGGCUGGCAGUGUAGUGGACGCAGCAGCAUGAAAAACCUUUAGUUUAAGUGAGCCAGUAUGGAAGCGUAAAGUCAUUGAAUGACGCACGGUAGGUGCCUGAACAGUGGUAAGAGAAGCAUUGGAACUGCUAGAACCUAUCAGGAAUGUGAUAGAGUCAUUGGGAACAAUGGGAGCAGGUUGGGAGGACACGGUGGUGAUGGCAAGAGAUUGAUCGGCAGUCGGUGGGGGGUACUUGGGACAGUAGGGAGCUGCUGGUUGGGGCAUGGGGCUAUAGUCAGUGGGACGGCAGGUAAUGGAUUAGAAUCGGAGCGAUGGCCAAGAGAAAAAAUGGUUGUCGGGGAAGGUGGAGGACCGAGAACCGAUACGUGCCUAUCAUUGGACUUGAAUGGAAAAACCUGUUCAUCAAAAAUAACAUGGCGUGAGUAAAACACUUUAUUGAUGGACAAAGAUAAACAUUUAUAACCUUUGUGAAGAACACUGUAACCAAGAAAAACACAUUUGGCAAACCUAGGCUCAAGCUUAUUUUUGGUGUAUGGACGCAACCAGGGAUAGCAGCAACAACCGAAAAUUCUCAAUGACUUGUAAUCAGGGUCACGAUGAAAAAGGGCUUGGUAGGGUGAUUUAUGUUGUAAUUUUGGAGUUGGGAGACGGUUGAUAGUGUAUACAGCAGCAACAAAGGCAUGAUCCCAAAAUUUGGGAGGGACAGAGGCAUGAUGUAAAAAGGCGUGACCAGUUUUGGUUAUAUGACGGUGUUUUCUUUCGGCACAGCCAUUUUGUUCAGGGGUAUGAGGACAAGAGCUGCGUUGGAUUAUAGCUUUAGAGGCCAAAUAUUUUUCAAGGGCUUAGAAUUCCCCACCCCAAUCGGAUUGGAACUGCUUAAUAGGUAAACCAAAGUAUUUCUCAACAAUAGCACGAAAUUGAAUGAAGCAAUUAUAAACAUCCGAUUUACGACGAAGAAAAUAGAUCCAAGUAUGUUUGCUAUAAUGAUCAAAAAAACGCCACAUAAUAUAGAAAACCAUCACUAGAAGCAAUUGGAGAAGGACCCCACAAAUCCGAACAAACUAACUCUAAUGGUUGUUUUGCUUCAUAAGUAGAAUCCGAAAAAGACAAUUUGUGUGAUUUACUAACACAUCAAGUUUCACAAAUAGAUGAAUCAUGCUUAUUAGAAGCAGACAAUUUAUUGAAACUAAGAACUUUAUUGACAGUGUUUGAGCAAACAUGGCCUAGUCUAGCAUGCCAUGUAGACAACGAAACUGAAUGACAAGCAGGAGAUACUGGAUCAGUGGCUAAACGAUAUAAACCAUUCUCGAUGUACCCUCUAUGUAGAGUUUGCUUCGUCCGUCGAUCCUUAACCAUAAAAUAAUCAUGAAAAAAUUCAACAAAGACAUCAUUAGUGAGUGUAAACUGAGGAACAGACAAUAAAUUUAGGUUAGCCUCAAGAACAUGAAGAAUAUUAGACAAUUUGGAAGGAUGAGAAUUAAGAGUUAAGACAGACGAGCCAACACAAGAGAUAGGUAAGGUUUUACCAUUGUGAGAGUGACUUUAUCGGAACCAGUGUACUCUGAAUGAAUGCCCAAGUUUCCCAAUUCAGAUGUCAAAUGAUGAGUGGCACCGGUAUCAAUGAUCCAUGGCUUGGGAUUUGUUUGAGGAGACGAGCUAUAGUUUGCUGAAGGUUUGGGGUAGGACUCGGCAUAUCUUGGGUUGGGACACUGACGACUUGUGUGGCCACGUCCUUUGUAGUUGUAACAUGUUGAUCCUUGGGCGGGGAGGCAGCUGGGCCACGACUGGAAUAAUUGCCAUUGUGUUUACUGUUACGACCCCGUCCACGAUUAGCGGAAGCAGAAGGCUACCGACCGGCAAAGUUGGCAACGGCAGUAGGAUGAAGAGGUUCUUGAACAACUUUCAAUUGUAAUUCCUCAGAAAGUAAUAAGCCAAACAAAUCAUCAAAGGAUGUUGACUGUAGUUUUACCUCUAGAUUGCGAACGAAUGGUCGAUAAUCAGCACCAAGUCCUCGUAAAAUAUGAUCGACAAGAUCGUCUUCAGAAAUAGCUGCAUUUAGAGCCCCGAGUUGAUCAAAAAUCCAUUUCGCAUGAUCCAUGUAUAUGACGAUUGAAUCAUCGCCACGAGACAAGGCAUGAAGAGAGCCUUUAAGGGUCCGGAUUUGAGCCCGAGAUCCGGAAGUAAAAGUUUGAUGCAGCUUUGUCCAAGCUGCGAAUGCGGUAGUGGCUCCGAUUGCCUGAGAUAGCACGGACUCAGACAACGAGCCAAGGAUCCAGCUAAGAACCAUUUGGUCCUUAAGAAACCACAGCUCAUAGGCCGGGUUAGGAGCAUUGUCAACGGUCUUGGGAGGAGCUGCUGUGCCGUCGACAUGAUGCAUGAGUUUUUGGCUAUAUAAGAGAGGGGUCAUUUGUGUUUUCCACAGGAGGUAAUUAGAGGGAGUAAGCUUGAUGGUGAUUUGAUUUGGCAUGGAAGGUGGAGAGGAAACAGUCGAAUUGGCUAUGAGGAAAAAAAAAAGGAGAGGAGGCGGUGAUUGAAACCUUUUUACUGGCAGUUUGAUACCAUGAAAGAUAGUGAUUUUGGUUUGUAAAUUCAGCUCAAUUGUAUUCGACUAUUGAUAGCAAAUAUGAAAUAUAUACAAGAUUACAUCAGAGUGUUAUCUUCAGCUGUUCACAAUUUGAAUUUGAAUUUUAAGUAGAAUAAGAUCCUAAAGAAUAGGAGUGAUAACAAGUCUAGUUUGACUUGGUUAACUCUCAACAUGGAGUAGAUAAAUUCCAGUAAGGAAAAAAGGAGAGGCUGCUUCUAUUUUCAUCAAGUAGAGUCGGUUAGGAGAAGCGUAAUGCCAAGAGAAGAAACUGUAAGUCUCCCUACUGGUUUUCUUGAAUUUUAAAUGAAACUUAAUUAUCAAAUGGUCACGUAUAUAUACUUCCCAUCCAAUAGGAAAUUCGAUUGUGAGUUGUUGAAGAACCUAAGUAAUAUUUCUUAAGGAGAAAGAGGUAAGAAAAUUGGGUUCAUUCAUAGCAUUCAUGAGUUCAAGUAUAACGUUUGGGUUUUUAUAAAUGCUGGUUUUAGAGUAACUUUUUAUCAUGGAAAAUGGUUGUAUAUGCUUGAAGCUAGAGAAGAGAACAAGGGUGAAAGGAGUAUCAAAGGUGAAGACAAGUUAGUGGAUUGAAGUUUUGUGUUGAACCUAGUGUCGUGGGAAGCUUAUUAAGGUUAGUGUUCUCUUGAAUUUUAGCAUGCUUGUGCGAAAUAAAAUUUAAAUAUUUACCAGGCAUGAUUGUAAAUGUAAAUAAUAUGGAAAAGAAUGGCUUGCGAUAGUUUGUUGAUCAUUUAGAAAGAUUAGCAAAUGAAUUUGACUAGGCAAGUCAUAACCGAAUUAGUAAUAUAGUAUGGUUUAUUUUUGCUAAAUGAACAUGGCAAGAUAAUAUAGAAUAAUUUGAGAACCAUCUUGUAUGCUACUUCAUAAGUUACAAAAGAGUAUAGUUAAGGAGUUUAAUUUGUCAUUAUUUAAAGUAUUACAGAUAAAAAGAUAUUUCAAUUUAUAUCUUAGAAAGAAAUCCAUUAAUCCAUUAAUGCAUGGGAUCCAUUUAUUUUAGUUUUGAUUCUAAAUUUUUAUUUUUAUUAAUAUAAAUAAUUAUUAUUCAAAGAUAUACAAUUAUUCAUUUUUAUUUAUUUAAUAAUAUGUUUCUAUUCAUGUAAUAUAAAACAAUUAAGGUAUUUUAUAAUAUGAUACUUGUUUACUUAUAAAUUUUAAUAGUUUCAAUUAUAAAAACCAGCACAGUCUAAUUAAAUAUUAUCAGAUUUUAGAUCUUUUAAAUUUUUUUCUUUAACGUAUUUCAAUAUUUAUCAAUUUUAAAAUGAUGUACUUAUAUUGGUGUAAAACUCUAAUUUUAUUUAUUUUACCAUUUUUUUGUAAGGUUAAUAUUUUUACAAUCCAACCAUUCAAAUUAUUAAUAUAAUUUCAUUUAUCAUGUAAGGUUAGUAUGCUGGUUUUUGUCUCAAUUCAUAGGAUACUCUUGUAUACUUGGUUGUAUACUUAAUGAAAUUGCAUUGCUUGGUUGUCAACUACACAAUGACCUUGAAUCUCUUAUUAGGGUUUGGGAUUACUUUUAUAUUAAGGGUAGAUAAUUGGAAUUUUAGAUAAAAUUUAUAAAUUUAUAUUAUUUAUUAAAAAAUACAAAUUUAUAAAUUAAAAGAGUAUAAUUAAAGGGUUCAAAUUUACAGUUAAAAUUUAAAAAUGAUAAUCAUAACUUACAUAACUUACAUAAUUUACAUUGACAAAUAAUAAUGUUUUCUCAUAACAUUUAUAAUUAAUCAACUUACUUUCGAUUCAAUAGGUUUGGAGUGGAAAGAAUGUCAAUGACGAAGUUAAAUGGCUUUCCCAAGGGUCCAAAUAGAGUAGUAAAAAGAUAUAGUGUCUUCAUCAUCAAUGGAUUCAGGUUUCAUACAAAAUCUCGCAAAAGAUUGAGGAGGACUCGAAAUUGUGGAAUAGUUGUUAAUUCUUCAAUUACAAGUUAUGCUAGUGCUAGGACUGUAAUCCUGUUAAGGGAAAUGUGGAGUAUUACGUACUUCUUACUGACAUUAUUGAGUUGGAUUACUAUGGCAAACGGAAGGUUGUCUUAUUUCGAAUUGAUUAGGCUGAUGUUAAUACUGCUCGCGGAAUUAAAAAAGAUCAAUUUAGUUUUACAAUAGUGAACUACUCUCGAUUAAUUCACACUGGACAACAAUUGAUAGACGAGCCGUAUGUAUUUUCUUCUCAAGUGAAACAAGUUUUUUACUCGAAAGAUCCAACUGAUGAGGGUUGGUACGGUCCCUAGAGACUUGUUUGACAUGGGCAAUGUAAGUAGAGAUGACAUCGACGAAAGAUCAGAAACUUUGUCUUUUCUAGAACAAAACUUAAAUGAAACUAUCCCUAGUAUUAGUACACAAUUUCAAUGGGUUCGCCAUGAUGUGGAUGAAGAUGUUUACGAAUUAUGAUGUAGUAAGAUUUUACGAUUUUUUAAUUAUAUGUAGUAUUGUAAUUUAAAUCUUGAUCUUGUUAAAUAUUUCAUCUAUUUUAUAUGUACUAUUAUUGUUGUAAUUAGUUACUAAAAUUUCAACUAUUUUAUGUGUAUUGCAGAUAAAAAGCCUAAAAAAAGAUUGUGAGAUCUAUGUAUUGUUCAAAAUCCCCCAAAAUCCGGAAGAAACAAAUAGUGAAAAACAAUCUGCUAUUAGAUCUUCGAAUGUUUCGAAUACAGCUGACGAACCUACAGAAAUUCAAAGUAAUGUUAACUUUAAUUGACAGGCGUGUUGACUUCUAUUAUUGAUUUCUGUUUCAAAUUCUUAUAUUAUAAUAUACCAUUUUUUUCAACUAAAAGUGGUGGGACGUGCAAAACUUGAGGACGUACGCUGCUAAAAGAUUUAUACGAGUUAAAUUCUGUCGAACGUGUCAGAGUAGCUAGAAACAGUCUUGGUCAGCCUAUUGGAUCUGUAACGCCCCAAAAUUUUAAUUUUGGGUAUUGUAAAUGUGUGACACAAAUAUCUAUCAGCUUUAGUGGUUAAGUGCUUUGGGUGUGUGUGGGAGGUCCUAAGUUCAAGCCAUGACUUGGGCAAAUUUUAGUAUUUUUAUAAAUAAAGCCUUAACCUAGCCUAAAGGGCUUAAGUUUAAUAGUCGGUAAUAAAUAACAGAAUGGUCCUGCUGGUUUAGUGGUUAAGUGGAGUGUUUGAUUGAAUGAGGUCUUGAGUUUGAAUCCAUGCUGGAGCGUAGGCAUUAUUUUCGCGCAGUGAUGGACGAGUAUUUCGGCAGAGUGGGAUUCUGGAGUGGUUGUAGGUUAGUAUGAUUAGUGGAGGAAAUUAAGGGAUAAUGGGAGUAGUGGUGAGAUAAUUAAGGGAUUUUGGGAUUCUAUCAAACUCUUUUAGUUAAUUUCGGUUCAUCCAAAAUUCUAUUCUCUCUUCCCCAAAAUUUCUUCCAUCGUUCUGACGUUUAUUCACCCCUUUUCUACCGAAUUUUCAUUGUUUCCUCCCUCUUUUCUUUUGAUUUCUUUUAUGUCUCCAUCGUAAUCGAUGAUUGAACUCGCUCGAUUUGGUAAAUAUUCGUUUUGCCACUUUCUAUUUUUCCGUGGUUGGUUUUAUGAAAAAGGGUUGUUUUGGUUCUUUCGAAUUAGGUGAAAAUCAAGUAGCGGUAGGUGCUUGUGCAGAGAUUUGAACGUUUGGGUUUUCAGUUUGUUGCCAGUCUUGGAGUGCUUGGGAGCGUAUUUACAAUGAAACGAUACUAGGUGUGUACCCGAAACACAAAAAUAAGGGAUUCAGCGAAAAGUCGAACUUGCUUGCUGUUUGGACACCAGCAGUAGGCUAAAUUUGAUAAAUCACCAUAACUUGUGAAAAUUUAAUUAGAGGAUGAAAAAAUAUAAGACUAAAUAUAUUUGAGUGUGGUUUCUCAUGGAAGAAACGAAGUAAGCAAAAAACUUUUAUAUUAUGAGAUAUUUGAAUUUUAGUGAGACAGGGUCAGAAUGAUUUUAAAAUCCCCUGUCCCGAUUUUGGAAAAUUAUUAAAAAUUUUAUAAAAAUAAUUGUGGGUUAGAAUUUAUAUGUUUAAAAUCAUAAAUGAAUCUACUUUCAAGAUAAACAAACGGGAACAUCAUCCGAAUUCUAUACGAGAAGAUAAUUAAUUUUUAGUACAGAAAGAUCAAAACUGUCAGACAGCAGAACAGGGGAAAUUUUAAAGAAUAAAAUGUACUUAUUCGCUAAAACCAAAAAUUCUUAAAAUUUUAUGGUAAGAAGAUAUGUGAGUCUGUUUUUAGGGAAAUUUUUUGGAUCUUAAUUCAGAAUUCUGUAGCUUAAGAUACAAAUAAUUUAGUAAUAGUGACUCAAGUAGACAGCUUUGAAGGAUCAUAUAAGUAAAUAGUGGAAACACAUAUGAAUAAUUAACUAGCACGGGUUACAUUAAAAUGGAUCACGAGGCCAAGGCCAAUUUGGGUCAUGUGGGCCACACAGGCGUGUGGGCCCACACGGGCGAACAUCAUGGACUUGUAGGCCCAUUUUCACUAUUUGACUAAUAAGGUUGCACGAGUCGCCCAAGUCGACUGUGAACCUAUUGUAGGGUCGAUAAGCUCACUUAGACCCCUAAUUGACUGAAAUGAUUAUAUGACUGAUAUGAUUAAGCCUAAUGAUGUCCCACUGAUUUGAUACCGUAUGCCCUGUUUACAUGCAUGAUAUUAUGUUAUAGCAUGUCAUAUAUGUAUAUUGCAUUGCAUUUGGUUAGGGGAUUAUAAUGUUUGGAGGAAGUGUACUGAAAGGCCUCGAGCCUAACUUACUAGCAGCUCAACUGCAAACUACUGUCUAGUGUCGCAUUCGGUACUACUUGGAGUGUAGGGAUGGGUGGGUUGAUUAUAUCCCUACAUAGAGUGUAGGGUUGGACAGGGAUUGUGUGUAGAGGCUGGAUGGGUAGGAUUUUUGUGACUGCAUAUCUGUUACUGCUACUGAUACUGUGAUGGGCUAAAGCCCUACUUCAUGACUGUUUUUGUAUUGGGAUGGGCUAAGGCCCAAACUGGACUAAUAUUGAUACUGAAAAGGGCUUAAGCCCAGACUGUGACUAUUUGUUUCCUGUCUGUACAUUUGUAUGGGGAUUACACACUAAGUUUACGUAAACUCACCCCUUCUGUUUAAUCUGUUCAGGUAAUCCCCAGAUAUAGGCGGAUUGGUGCGGCGGAGAACUCAGUGGUGGCCACACGACUUCAUUUACACUGUUUAUUACCUAUUUAUGAUUUUACUUUUAUUUGGGAGUAUUUUGCUGUAAUUAUGGCCUUUACAAAUUUUGGUUUAAAUUUGGGUUUUAUACGGUUUUAUGAUUUAAAUCUGCUAGUGUUAGGUAAAACUCAGGUUUUCAAAUGAAAUUAAUGUUUUAUCAAAAAUACCACGAAUACGCAAACUAUUUAAAAGCUUCCGCAAUAAAAUAACGUUUUGAAAUUGAAUAACGAUUUGUAAAUGAAUAAUGUUUUGGAAACGAACAACAUGAUUUGAAAUUAACAUAAGGUAAUGAAAAAAAUGGUUAAAUAGAAAAGAGAAUUUAGUGACGACAUAUUUUUCGAAAAACACUACCCUGUGACAUUGUCAAAUUCGGCCAUAAUGUCUAGGCGGGGUUUGGGGUGUUACAGGAUCAGAAGCUCGACUUUUAACAGGAUACUUAGGCAUUGUAGCAUAAAAUGCCAAUCUGUUUCCUAUCAACUACGAGUAAGGGCAUCAUAUGCCUGAUACUAACAAAAAUAAGCUAUCGAUAAUAUUAAGGUAAUAACAUGAAUGUAAUUUAUAAUACUUUGGUUUAAGUUUCAUUUAUAUUUACUUUCUAAAUUUGUAUUUUUUGCAGGAGAGAUUUGCUUUAGAGGUCUCAGAUAAUUAUGUGAAGAAGGCAUUAGGAAAAAAAUGGAGAGACCAUAAAAGUUCUUUAAAGAAGGAAUAUUUUAAGAAAAAUAUAAGCCUUGAAGAGAAAUUGCAAAAUGUCCCGCCAGGAAUGUUGAGGUACCAAUGGGAAGACGCAGUUAGAUUUUGGAAUUCAAAGAAAGGAGAGGUAUUGCGUACUUCCAAACUCUUAUAAUUAUUUUGGUUUAUAGUAUUUACUAUAUACGUAAUAAUAAUUUCAUAAUGUAGGAUCGUGAGCGAGUUGGAACUACAAGUAGGCAAAAACAAAAAUUCACGCACACAGCUAGGUCGAAAAGUUUUGCUUGCGUAGCUGAGACCGAGGUAUUUUGAAUUUAUGAAUUGUGUCAAAUAUUAAUUACUUUCUACUAAAUAAUAUUUUUACUACUAUACUGUAGGAACUGUCAUCUGGUCAAAAAGUUGGACGCCUUCAGCUUUUUGACAUUACACAUAGAAAGAAAGAUGGAUCUCCUAUGACUACUGAAACUGCAGAAAUUAUGGUAUAUUUACUUAAUAAAAUUUAAAUUAUUUUAAAUAUUUAUCAUGUUUAAUUAUAAUGGUUUAAUUCGUCGUUUGUAAUGCAAAUAAUGUUAAGUUAUGUUGCAUUUGUUUUUAUUAUAUAUUUCAUUUCUAACUAUUUGAUUGAUUUAUUAGGAGAAACUAAAGGAUAAAAAGGCGAAGUAUGAAGCGAUCGCUUGGAGUGAUAGUUCUGUUAAUCUUGACGACAUUGAUAACCAAAUUAUUUUUGAAGUUUUGGGUCCUGAAAUGUAACACCCCUAACCCGUAUCUAUCGCAAGAAUAGGGUUAUAGAGCAUUACCAGAGUUUACUAAUUAAUUUUUAGACUUUUCUUUUCAUCAAGCAUUCAUAUUUAUAACCAAUCAAAAUCAAAACAUUAAUGAGCUAACAUUAACCAAUUUCACUUGUACAUGCCAUUGUAACCAAAAUCAAAUCAUCCAAAAUUAUCGAUAGAACCAAUGGAUAAUGUGAUAUAUCUCCAACAAGCUUCCAACUCAAUCGAGCUUCUGAUAAUCAUUUCAAUGCAUCAAAUAAUUAUACAUAUUACCAAUAAUAAUUAAAUUCCAAUAAGAAAACACACAUACAUAUAUAUAAUAUUCAUUACCAAAUAACAUUCACUUCAAUUAAAAUUAUACAGAAUAUAGUUCAUACGAACUUACCAGGCUAAAUUGCAGAAAUACCAAAAUUCAGGGACAUUUUGGAAAUUUUCUAUUUUUCUCAAAUUUCCACCCAAUCUUGAUAUAAAUUAAUAUUUCAUUAAAUUUACUAAUUUAAAUAAUAAAACAAUUCAUUUCAUGCAAUUUGGUCACUUUUUGACAUUUUUACAAAUUUACCCUUAAAGUUUUACUUUUAUUCAAUUUAGUCCCCGAGCCUAAAACGUGCAAAUUAUCCAUGCUAGCUGAAUCUUCAUAUAUAUAUUUUCCUCCUCCUCCUCCUCUCCAUUCCACAUCCUUAAUUUAUAUAAUAUGCUUAUAUGUAACAUUAUCUAUGAUUUUACUAUUUACCUGUAAAUUUAUUCAAUACUGUCCAUUUGAGUCAUAGCCACUAAAUUUUUUUUAUCUUGAAGUACAUAACUCCAAAUUAGGAUCCGCUAACUUUUCCUAAAACUAGACUCACAUAUAUUCUUACCAUAAAAUUUUCAUAAUUUUUGGUUUAUCCAAUAAGUACAGUUUAUUCUUUAAAGUCACCUCUAUUCUGCUGUCUGACAAUUCCGACCCUUCUUCACUAAAACUUAAAUAUCUCCUUGUACAGAAUUUGGAUGAUAUCCCCGUUUGUUUCUAUUGAAAAUAUACUCUUUAAGGAUUUUAUACAUAUAAAUUAUAACCCAUAUUAUUUUUUUACAAUUAUUUUAUGAUUUUCCUAAGUCAGAACAGGGGAACACGAAAUCAUUCUGACAUUGUCUCACAAAAUCUAUUAUAUCUCAUGAUUUACAAUUCCAUUACUUACACUGUUUCUUCUAUGAGAAACUAGACUCAGCGCUUUAAUUCUAUAUUUUGUUCAUCCUCUAAUUUCAUUUCCACAAUUUAUGGUGAUUUUUCAAAGUUAACCUACUGCUGCUGUCCAAAACUGUUUUAGUGCAAAAUGUUAAUUACUAAGUUUAUAACUUCCUUAUUCCCUUUCUCUAUAAUAUUUCCCAUCACUUUCACUUAUUUAUCUUCACUAAUAUAUCAAUAACAUAAGAAUUUAUAUAAUAAAACUCUACUAUAACUUCUUUUCCAUGCUAUUUCAAUAAUAUCAAACCUAAAAAUAUAUUGAAAUCUCAAUGUUCUUACCUUGUCCUACUGAUUUCAACCUUUAACUUGAUUUUCUCUCUCCUCCAGCUUCAAUUUCUUGAAUCCAACUUGAUAUUUUAGCUCCCCAUAGUCUCUUUGUUAUCUUUCUCUCUUGAUGGCUAUGGAAAUUCUUUUGAUUUCUAAGUGAAAAUGGUGAAUUUUUUUGGUGGAAGGACCAAAUUAUAAAGAAAGCAAAAUUUUCUUUCUUCUCUUCUCUUCUAACGUGAAUUGCAUGGAAAAGAUGGUGGGUUGGUUCCUUUUCAUCUUUCUUUCCACUUAUAUAUACUAAAUAAUAAAAUAAUAAAAUAUCAUUUAAAAAAUCAAAUUAAAAUAUUAAUAAACUAAUAUUUAUUUAUUUAAUUAAACUAAAAUAUCUCCAACAUCAUCAUUAUCUUCUAGAUUUCUCUCUCUUCUAAAUGACCAUUUUGCCCUUUAUGAUCUUUUCAAAUUCCAUCAUUGAGUCAUUACUUAAUUUGGUAAGAUUACGAUUUAGUCCCUCAUAAUUCUUCAUCUAUUCAAUUUGGUCCUAAUUCAUCCAUUUUCCUUAGUUUCUAGAUUAUUCCAACCUUAAAAUAUUUGCACUAUUGGUCCUUCAACUUUUUCUUAUUUGCACUUUAACCCCUCAAAUUUUGAGUAUUUACCCUUGGGUAACAAAACUUUUCUCACUUUUGCGAUUUAAUCCUUUCUUGAAUUAAUAUGUCAUAAUUUACUUCUUAAUGUUGACAUAACUCAAAAUUACCCUUUUUAUCACUUUAUUUCCUUAUUUUACUAUAUCAAGAAUAUUAUCUUACUUUUUUACUGUAGUAAUUUUCGGGGUAUUACAUGAAAGGUAUGGUUGGGUUCGAUUUCAAGGAUCUUUUGUUAACCUAACCCAAUAUUUUGGAUCCAGCUCGCAGCAAUACAUGCCUUCGGGGAGUCAGGCUCAAGCUGAAGUUCAGAGGUUAAGAGACCAGAUGGCUUAGAUGAAAGCGAGCAGAGUUGAGCAAAUUGCUCAACUUAAAGCAGAAGCAGCAUCGAGAGAAGUAGAGGCUCAAAGAAAAUAUGAAGAACUCCAGCUACAACUUAAAGCGGAGGAAACAACGAGGGAAGCAGAGCAAGGCAGAAAAUAUGACGCACUCCAGUUAUAGCUUCAGAAUAUGAUGAAGAUGUUUCAGCAGUCGCAUAAUCCGCCAUCUUAGACGUUUGUUUUCUUAUUGUACGAAUAUUUUAACAUUAUAACUUUAGAAAAUAAUAAAUUUUGUUAUUUCAUUUAUUAAUUUAUAUCAUUUAUCUUUUCAUUGGGAUUUGAAGUAUCAUUUAGAUUUGCAGUUUGGUUGGAUAUGAUGUUACAGGAAAUUAUGUUGACAAUUCGGGUGCUAUAUAAAUGAAAAUGAGAUGUUAAAAAUCUGUUAAAGUUAGUGGUGUUUUCUCCACAAACGCCGCUAAAGAACAUGACCUUUUACAGUGUUUUUUAGUAAAAUCGCCGCUAAAGGUCAAGUUCUUUAGUGGUGUUUUUGGGGAAGCGCCGCUAAAAGUCAUGUUCUAUAGCGGCGUUUGUGGGAAAGCACCGCUAAAGGUCAUGUUCUAUAACGGCGUUUUUCUGCAUAAACGCCGCAAAAUUUAGCGGCGUUAUCUAUAGCAGCGUAUUUUGUGGCGCAUGUAAAAAUGCUACAAGUAGUUUAUAAGCACGGCUAUAGACCUAAAAAAAUGCCGCUAAAAACCUAUUUUGCUGUAGUGAUUCCAAGCAACUUUAAUAAAAUUGAUUGCAUCCAAUACAUUAAUCUUUUCAGGAUCUAUUUCUCCUUUCUCGGAACGUUCCAAGAAGCUAGAAUAAAAGCGAUGUCGAUAAUAAAUCUUAACUGCUCUAAUACUUUUAGCAUCACAUGAUUGAAUUUUUUAUGAUGAAUUUAGAGGCAAAAGGAAUAAUUCAACGUUUCUCAAGCCUUUAAUAACCUUGGGAUGGGCUGGGCAAUUGUCUACUGUAAGCAACAUCUUUCUGCUAGUCAUUCUAGCAUCAAACUAGCGAACAAGAUCUUGAAAAUUUAAUCCAAUCAUCCAUUUUUUAUUGGCUCGAUAAUGACAGUUAAGAUUGUCAAUAUUCACAUGUUUAAAACAUCUAGGAUUAGCAAACGUAACAAUAACCCAAAAAGACACUUUAUUUGAACCAUCCCCAUUGCAACCACAGCAGUAAGUCUUUCCUUCUCUUUUUUUAGUCCUUCUAAUUGCUUUGUAGCCAGUGAAUGAUCUGCUUGCAAACGAUAAAAUAAGCCUAUUUCAUUCAUAUUAUAGAUAUCCUUCCAAUCAAUUUUUUUAAUUUAGCUCUUAUUUCAGGUAAAGCAUCUUUAAAAUUCUCCUUAAUAACUUGACCACUUUCACCAAAUCUUCAAUAAGACUUAAUCUCAUGUCUUGCCUUGAACCGUUCUAGCCAACCGAUUGAGAAGUAAAAUUUGGAAUUUGCAUCACCUUACAUUUUCUAUAGAAACAUUUUUGCUUUAGUUUGAAUCAUUUCUCCAGUCAUGUUUACUUUCUCUUGAUAUUGAAGAAACCACUCAUACAAUACCUUCUCUAAUUCAGGAUAUUUGGUUGAUUUGUGCAUUUUAACAUUGCUAUUCUUUAUCUCUUUCGACAAAUAUUCAGAUGACUUUUUAAAAGUAUUAGAUAUUGUUGAUUGGCCAACAGAGAGAUCAAAUGUUUGUUGAACCCACUGUUGCAAAUAUUUUUGACUUGAAGAGGGAUGUUCAUUUUUGUACUCACAUAAUGCUUUUCUCAUCUCAUCUGUCAAUGUAGACUUUUCUACACCUUUCAAAUGGGAAGCCAUGAAAGAAAAGAUUAUAUGAAUUACAUUAUUUUGAUAGUACAUAUGUUUAUUUAUAAUAAAAUUUAUAAUCUAUCCAGUGAAUAUAUACGUAUUGGAUUUUGAAACCAUUAACUAUUUUUUUCUUUUUGUUUACAUGAACCAAUUAAUUAACUCUCUUUUUUUGUUAUAAUUAACUUUGAUUUAUUGCACCUAAAUGCAUAUUGGAUUUUGAUUAAAAAAAACACUCAUGCAUAAAGUAUGAAAUAUUCUCUAAAAUAAUAAAUGUUAAUUUAUCGAUAAAUUAAUAAAAUAUUUAUUUAUUGAUAAACUAAUAACCUCAAUAAAAUAAUAAUUUUUUCAAGUCUCAAGGAUAUUAUUUUAUAGAAGUUUUACUGUAUGUGUUUUGGGUUAGCAAAACUGUGAAUAAGUGUUUUUUUUUUAACUGAAUUUAUAUUCCAAAUCCAAAAGAAAUAUCAUCUGAUGCAUUGUAAUCAUAGUGUAGGCUUCUUCUUUUUUCAUAUAUGUGAGUUAAAAAAAUUAUUUUGCAGACUGUAUGGUUGUAUAAUUAUUUAGCAAAGUAGGCAAAAUCGGCAGGUGAAGUGUCCGACUUCAAAAACCGACGCCCCUAGAAUCCGACUUCAGUGAAGCAAGCAGGAACAACUUGAAUCUUCCACUUUGGGCAAAGAAAGAUGAAAUGCUCAAAUAUAAAAUGGAGUAAUAUCAUGAUAUUCCCUGAAUGUUUAUCAAAAUUUCUAUAGUCUAUCCAGUUUAAAAUUUAUCAAAAUUUCGAUAUGAUCUCUCCACUUGCAAAUUAUAUUUUAAAAUAGUAUGUUGUUUUCUAAAUUAAAAAAAUAAAAAAUUAAAUUAAAAAAAUAUUAUAGGAAUUAAAAAAUAUGAAAAUAUUGAAAUACAAUUACUUUUAAAAUAUGGGAAUUUAUAAUUUACUAGUUAAAGAAAUUAUAGUAACAAUCUUAAAUUAAAACUUAUACGUUGCUUUUAAACUUAAAAAGUAGUUUUAAUAUUGGUAUAUUUUUACGAAUAACAAAAAUUACAAAAUUAUAAUUCAACUCCCAAAUUUUUAAUAUUUUAAAAGAUAGCAGUAUACUAUUUCUUAAAAAAUGAAUAAUCACUUGCUAGAAAAAUUUGAAGAUGAAUAAAGUAAUAAACUUUAAUAUUUUGAAAUACCUAUUUAUUAAUAUUGAAAAAUAACAUCCUAUUUUUAAAUAUAAUUUUAAAGUGGUGGAUUAUAUUGAAAAUUUUAUAUACAUUCACAGGUCAUUUAUGAUGUAAUGUGAACUGUCAUCAUUUUCUAAGGGCGGCAUCUCAUUUGAAAGUGAUUCUUCAAUCUAAAAAUGGAAUCAAAUUUUUAAUAUAGUCCAUCCAAUUUAAAAUUAUAAUUCUGUAAUUUUUAUUAUUACUAAAAAAUUACCGAUACUAAAACUACUUUGUAAGUUUAAAGUAACAUAUAGGUUUCAGUUUAAAAUUGUAACUAUAAUUUCUUUAACUACUAAAAUUUAAAUUCCGAUAGUUUAAAAGUAAUUGUAUUUCAAUAUUUUAUUUUUUUAAUUCUUAUAAUAAUUUGAAUUUAAAUUUUUAGUUUUUUUAAUUUAGAAAAUAACAUACUAUUUUAAAAUAUAAUUUGUAAGCGGACCAUAUCAAAUUUUGAUAAAUUUUAAAUAAACAAAAAAAAAUCAUUAUUUUUUAAAUAAAAAUCAUUAUUUUGUCUCAAUUUUAAAUUAUUAUUGUAAAUUUUACUGCUAACGUUUUUAUCUCAUUUCAACCAAAAUAUAGUGUAUAAUAUUUAUAAUAGAUCAUCUGUAAUUCUGAGUGACUUUUAGAUUAAAUAUAGUUAAAAUAUUUUUUAUAUUAAACUCUUUUUAGUUUAUAAGAUUAAAUAUAGAUAAAAUAAUAUUUUUAUAUUUUUUAUUCUAUUUUAAAUGAAUUGAUUAAUUUUAUUUAUUUAUUGCUUAUUUUUUUUCUUAUGAAAUAUUUUUGUUUAUUUUUUGUUUUUGUUAAUUGCCUUUAUUUUCUUACCGUUAUCAAAUAAAAAGAUAGAAACUAAAUAAUAAAGAAAAUGGGAGAGUAAAGAGAAUAUAUUUUAUUGAUCAAUUGGAAUUUUUACAAUGCUUCUCCAAAGUCUCUAUUAAUAGGCAUAAGAAGUAUAAAUGAAGUAGAGAUCUAAUUUUAAUGACUAUUAGAAUUUAAAGUACAUCAAAGCUUAUCUUGAUCUUGAUGGACAUCCACUUGAUAAGAUAUUCAUAACACUCCCUCUUAUUAUGUCCAUUGGUUGAUAAUGUGUCUCGUUAAAACCUUACUAAGAUAAAAACUUUGUAGGAAACAAAUUCCUGGUGAAGGAAAAAGAGUACACAUAUCUAUAAUACGCAUAAUAAUGCUGCCUUGUUAAAAAACUUACUAGGAAAACCUAAUGGGACAAAACCUCGGUUAAGGGAAAAGUAGUACAGCGUGUACUUACUCCCCCUCAUGAAAACAUCACAUACUUUCUCAUAUUCUACGUAUUCAAUCUUGAAUACUAGUUUUUCAAAUGACUAUUUGAAUGUAUUUGCUAAGCAUUUAUAUCACCAUUCUUUUGAAAGUCAUGACUGAGGGAAAUUUUGGGGGAAAUACAUUUUGAUCUCUUUAGGAGUUUCAACAAUAAUCAUAGCAAAAUUUAAUCAUGAUUCUUCUAUAAAAGUACAAAUAAGUAUUUUGGAUCAUUUUAUAAUCCUCCUUCAACUACUAUUCAAUAUGUCAAAUUUACCAAAUAUGUUCAAAUUAUUUCAAUUCAUAUAAAUGAAUAAUUUCCUGAGAAUUUCAAUAUGCUUCUGCCAUACUAAAUCCUUCAAGGAUUUUAAUAUCACCUUUACUAUAUAGUGAUUCAUAAAAAGUUGUAACAACAACCAUUAGACGGAAGUUAAAUAUUUUAUGAACUGUUAGUUUAAUAAUAUAUCUAAAGGUUAUUGCAUCCACCACAAAAAAAUCUUAUAUCCUUUCAUAAUCAAUAUCAAGGCUUAGCGAAAAACUUCAUAUUUUUAUUCCGCUUUUGCAAAACUACUUCAUUUGUACCCUCACUAGCUUUAUACCUUAAAGUAUUUGGACUAUCGAUAAAAAAAACUCCACAAAUUUAAUUGUACUUGAGUUUGUGUCUUUCUGUUUUGAACAAUCUAUUCCAUAUCUAUAUUUCUUAAUAAAUUUAUUCAAGAUUCUCUUUUUAUUUCAUGAUUUCAACAAUAAUAUUGCAUGCAAAACCAUUAUCGACCACUUUUAUUAUUGGUUCGACAUUUUCUUAAAUUGACAUAACUUAUCAAAAUCUCUAAUUUUCACUAUUUUAAUCUUCAGUUUCAGGUACCUGAAUCUGGUCUGAAAGUUUACUUAUUAGUUAUGUCUUGGGUCUCUUUUGGAGCACCCAUCUUCACUAUAUGACCAUCUAGAUUUAUCAUGUUCUUUUAUGAGAAUUUUUAUAUUUAAAACUUGUAAUGAGUUAUCCUUGUCGAACUUCUGGUUCAAAUAACUCUCUCCCUAACUCAUUACAAGUUAUUAUCUCUCUUCCCCUAAUGUCAGGAAAACUAUCGAAUCAAAAUAGUAAUCACAAAUCAUUUCAUAAUUGACUCUUCAAUACAUUCAAAAGAUCUAAUAAUACAUUGAGACUUGUAAUUAAUAUAUAUUCCCAACUUUCUUUGAGGAUUCACUCAUAUUUGUGUGUUGUGAUGGAGCAAUUAGAACAUAUAUACAUAUACAAAAAUUCAAAGAUGAGAAAUAUUUAGCUCUUGACAAAAAAACCAAUUGUAAUGGGGAAUAUUUAUAACUUAUUGGCUUGACGCGUACAACACAUAAAUCAACAUAAUCUGAUGUUGAAAUAGGAAGUUUAGUUCUCAUAAGUAAUGGUUUAAAUAUUAAUCAAAUGCGUUCAAUCAAUAAUUUUUCUAAACUGUUAUGCGCAAAAAUAACAAGCUUAACACCCCAAACCCGACCUAGACGUUAUGGCCAUAUCUGGUGUGCCACAUCGAAGUGUCUCUAAAAAAUUUGGCUUGUUGACAAACUUGUUUCUUAUUUUCGGAAACCUCUUUUUAAUAUCUAACGGGGCAUUUAUUCAUAUGCUUACCUUGUUAACUGCUUCUUGUUGUAUUAAGUUGAUUUAAAACGCGGAAGCAUUUCUAAAACUCUAACAUUUAAAGCUCGUGUCUUUGAAAAUAGUAAUCAAUUUGAAAAUCCAUUUUCAAAUAAUUAGCAGUAUAAAAUAUGAAAGUAAAAACACAAUUAAAAUUUAAAACCAAAUAAAAGGUCUUAUUACAAAAACAAAACCCAACUUAUUAAUUAAAAUAAAAAUAAAAGAUAAAAUGAACAGCAGUGAUUGGGUGGCCACCUCCGAGUCCCUCGCUGCACCAAACCGCCUAUGGCUGAGGAUUACCUACACAAUUAGAAAAGAGGGUGAGUUUACGAAAACUCAGUGUGUAAUCCUCUACCAAACAAUUAGCAUACAACAUGCAGAAUCAGUUCCGGCUUGAGCCUUAUACAGUAGUAGUGUGUGGGCCAUAACCCAAUACAGUAACAGAGUGUGGCCCUUAGCCCAAUACAGUAACAGUGCAAAUGCAGUAAUGCAACCCAUCCCAAUCCAGCCAACACACCACUCCGUACCACCAACACACCAUGUGGGGAUAAAAUCGACCCACCCAGCUAACACACCAGUAUCGCAGCAGAGCUACCAGUAAUAGUAACACAACGAAGCUGCUAGUAACAGUAUUUAUAGCAAAGUCACCAGUACAAUAUACUUCCCCUAUAUCAAAAUCCUAACCCUAUGUAGUAUGUCAUGUCAUAGAUCAUACGUGUAUGCAAUAUGUCAUACUCAGUAACAGUCAUAUAAAUAUCAUAAAGCAAAACGGUCUGACAUAGCAUACGGCCAUAACAGUCAUUUCAUCUCUUAAGGGUAUAACGAUCAUUUUAUCCUAUAGGGGUAUUUCAGUUAUUUUACCUAUCGAGGGUAUUUUAGUAAUUUUACCCUUCGAGGGUAUUUCGAUUAUUUUACCUAUCGAGGGUAUUUUAAUAAUUUUACCCAUCGAGGGUAUUUCGAUAAUUUUACCCAUCGAGGGCAUUUCGAUAAUUUUACCCAUUAAGGGUAUUUUAGUCAUUUGCCCACGAAUAGCACGUAGGGCUCACGACUCGAGCGAUCGCAUGCCCAUGUAGUCUCAAACGCCGUGUUCACGGCUUUUCAAGUUUUACCGAUUUGCAGUUGAGUAAGGGUGUGAUUACACACCUUUUCACGAAAGCUAGCGAAACACCUUUUGGCACCAACCUACAUUGAUUUGAAUAUUCGGUCAGCCCUUCAAUAACCAAUAUUUUCAAGUACUUAAACCACACUUAAACAAUCAUCACCUACCACGAUUAUAAAAAAUAUGGCCUACUCUUCUAAGAUUCUUAGCCAAGACACGAUUCCAUGUUCUUGAUUAUUAUCUGUGCAAGCAGCAAUUUUUAUGAAACAACCAUGGUUACUCGAAUAUGAUUUAAGAAAAAUCCAACACCAAAAUCACAACAUUUUUGGCCUACCAACCAACUUACCCCAACGAUCAAACGGUUGGUGAAGGGAAGAUUUGGAACGCCUCCACACACUAGAGAAUCCUCUUUUCUCUUCUCGAGAUUUUAACACCCGAAAUUGAUGAUGAUAAAAUUGGUUAGAAAAGCUUAGGUAUAUUCAACCAAGCACAAUUGAGAAAGGAUGGUAACUAAAAGUACACAAAAGAGCCUUGAAGAAAUCGGUUGGGAUGGGGAGAGUGGGAAGCAGAGAAGAAGAAGAUGGUGAGUAGGUUCGACUUUGAAAGAAAAUAGAAGAAUUGAGGGAAGAGAGAAGAGAAGUGCAUGCACCACUGUUAGAAAAGUAGAGAAAACAGAAUAUGGUGUUCGGCAGAGAAAGAAAAAUGAGACCAAAAAGAAAGUUACCUAUUCGGAAAAUGAAGGAAGGAGGAGAAGUACUGGAAAUUUUGAUCACUUCAAUAGCUAAAACGCAAACCCGAAAGGAACCCCGAAUGGUAGAAAAAUCCCAAAGAACAUUCGGCACCUUGCUUUCAACCCUCUCAAAAGUGAACAAAGAAUUGCCUUGUGCCGAAAAUGCUCCAUUCCUUUCCCCUUAGCCAAAUUUCACUAAGCCUUAGAGUCCCAAUCGGCCAUAACACCCUACCAACCUCUCAGUUACACAACACGCCACCUUGCCACUAGACCACAAGUUAUUUUUGUGUCAUAAAAUAGACACUAAUAUUUAUAAGGCCUAAACGCCACUGUCCAGAUUCAAUUAAGAGCAAAACCAAAAAUUUUGCAGAAGCCAAGACUUGAACCCCCCGACUUCUCAAACACUUCCAAACACUCCUAAAUCACUUAACCACUAAAGCAGACAUUCAUUUAUGUCACUUUCAUACACAACUAAAUAUUUAUGUGCAGUCUUCUAACUGUUCCCUUGUUCAAAACCUAUUUCUUCUAGGCCCAAAAUUUGAGGUGUUACAUGUGUUUUAGCCCUAGCAGCUUCAAAGUUCUGUGUUGCGACAUGGGCCUUCUUGUGUCGCAACACAGUUGUUGUCUCUUGUGCUCCUUGCCCUGAAAUAGCACCAUACACACUCAAAUGGCCUACUAGUUAUUCCCGAGGCCUAGUUGGCCUAAUGGGUCGUCAAAACACUAAAAACAUGCUUAAAAAUGCUUAUUUUGUAAUAAUUUGAAUCUAAGCUACGAAAUAGGAAAAUGCAAUAAAAGAAUAUAAAAUACCUAGAAAAUAAGCGUUAAUUUCCAAAUAUUACUUAAUUUUCCACUGUAAUUUGUGGCAAAUCAAUAUUUUAUGAACUCACUAAACAAGGUUACAAAGACCCUUUAAAUAGGAUAAUUUUGGAGUGUUAAUAUGACUAAAAUGUCUUAGAUUAGCCCGAGUUUAAUUGGGGAAAGAUACUAGAUUUUAACUGGGGGAAAAGACCUGAUUUAUGUGCGAACACGAAGCCACGUCAUGACGUCGUUUAUUGGUUCAUCGUACUUCGGAUCCAAACUCUUGUUGAUUUUCAAGAUUUAAUUCCAAAAAAUUGUUAUCGAUGAUACAUUGGUCAUACGAAUCAAAAUUGGAGACAUCAUGUACGACCUCUUCCAAUGGAGUACCCACUUGAGAUUUUUUCAGAAAAACUCCUCUAAUUGAUCCAACCAUUGUAGGAUUCUCUUUGAUUUGGCUUGGAAUUCUCACUCAUUGCUUUCCUAUUCCGACGCAUAAUCAUAUGAAUCAUAAGGAUUUUCGUCUAACUAUUCAGAUGUUCCCAAUUGUUGCUCAUCUAUCUUUUCCAACAAAGUUAUUGUUUCGUUUCUUCGUUGGUAGCAUAAGCACUUUUUGGUUCUCCAUAAUCCCCCGUUGUUUCUAUACUCCUUCCUUAUAUACUUCAUCUUCAUCCUAAGGGUUCAUCGAACAUCUAAUCCUCUCAGAUAUAUACUUGUUCGGCUUAGGUGGGAGUUCGUUAUAACACUCAGAUUACUCAUCUUUAUAAUUACAAAUCCAUUAGUUUGUCAAAUCUCCGUACAACCAACUCAAUUUGGAUUGCUCAUACACUGACCUAUAAAUAUCAAUGUUCAUAAUUAAAUCUGAUAAUCAACAAAGUAAAAAAAAUAUAUCAAAAUAAAAAUAUUUACUUAACUAAAAAAAUUCAAAAUAAUUAUUUUUUUUCAAAAAAUAAUUAAAUUAAAUUAAAUUAAAUUAAAUUAAAGUUAGAACACUAUCAAGCUAGUUCGUCUUUCGAUUAAUAUUAUUUUACAGUAAUCAACCUAAUAAAAAUUUCACCAUCGCAAUCCCCGACAACGACUUCAACAACUUUAUUGCCUAUAAAUGUGUUAUCGUUUAUAGUAAAAAUAGCACACCAAUAUAUAUAAUUAGAAUGGCGGUGUUCGCAAACGUAUGAGUCAAAUUAUAAUAAAGUAUUGUGUUACAACGGCACACUGGUAAGUAUUCUGAGGAUCGUAUCCAAGGGAUUGCAGAUUGGAGAAACUAAUAUUAAAUUAAUUAUAGAAAAUAAUUACUAAUCUAAUCGAGUCACGAAUUAGAAGUGUGAACCCAAAUUAAUAUUUUAAUUAAACUAAUUAAAUUAACUAACCUAAAUUAACCUCAUGGAUUUUCUUAUCCCUAGUGUCGACAAUGCGAGCCCCUAGUUUAUGAUCAAUUAAAUCUCUAAGUAUCUAAUUAAAUAAUUAAUUAUCCUAGAUUGAGUUAUUUAUCACAUUUAGCUAAGAAUACCCUCCCUAUUCAUUUUCACACCACCUAAGUCAUCCUUCCAGUCUCUUCCUAAGUAUACAAAUACCCUUCCGGUCUCACCGCUCGACACAAGUUAUUCACGAUAGGAUACCUCUCAGUCUCACCUAUCUCGAUAUUCAAUUAGGGCUCUCACUCCCUAAUAUACUAAGUGCUAUUAAAGAAAUAACCAAUUUUGUAUAAAGAAUUACUUAAUAAAUAAAUUAAGUUAUUAAUCGAGUCAUACGAGAUAUGAAAUAAGCACAAUAAUCUAUUCUAAUAUUUAUACAAUAAUUAAUCAAAAGAUAAAUAAAAGAAUAGACAAAUAAAAUAUAGGAGAAGGUCAUGAAUAUAUAUUGAAGCGUGAUCCCAAAGCAAUCUCUACUUGCAAUUGUCUUCACAUCGGAAUAGAAAAGUUUCGACUACAUGAACAUGAAUAUGAAAAGAAAAGAAAAGAAAACUAAAAACUGAAUAGAAAAGUUGUCUGUUUACGUUUGCCCCAAUUCCGGUGACCCUAGGGUUGCUCAUAUAAGGAACCAGCUACUUGGUGGUCAUUCAACCCAAGAUACACUUAGAUACUAAUAAAUACAAUAUUUUGCUAAAAGUUAGGGUCCAAAUAUGGAAAUUUCCCAAAAGUGUCGUCCAAGGAAUCAACCAUAUUUUGGCCUACCAUCGUUGCAUCGCCAGGAUGUGGGAGAGCUCCUCGUCACGAUGUCGCCACCAUGAAUUGCCUCCCAUAAUCAUCACCUCGUCGUGACAAAAGGAAGCUCCUCGUCAGGAUGUCAAGUGCAUGCUGAGUCUUUGGUAGCUUAGUUGGCUUAUCAGGCUUCUUGUCUCACUGCCCAAUCAUCAUUCCUUGUAUUCUUGGAUAUCAAUUGACAUUCUACACACUUAAAUAGCUCAUUAAUCACUCAUAAGGCCUGAGUUGGCCUUACAGGUCAUCGAAAUAGCAAAAAAUGUGUAUAAACGCUUAUUUUAUUAACUUUUAGUUCCUAACCUACUAAUACCGAAAAUGUAAUAUUUAAUUAUAAAAGUGCUAGAAAGCAAACUUGUUAAAUGCAGAAAUGACAUAAAAUAAAUACUACAUUUGACGUCAGGUCACACCCUCCACAAAUUUCCACCUUGACUCAUAUUUAUCAUGUCUUUUUUGCCAAUGCCCAUCAUGGGCUUAACUUGAUCUUUUUAGGAUAUUAAUCAAGUCCAAGCAGUGCUUGAACUUUGCAACCGGAAGGCUUCAAGUUUCUUGAACUGUCAAAUCAAAGUUCACUCGUGUCUGCUUCCCAUAAAUUUAGCGCUCUAUCUUUCCAACUUCUGUACUAUGUAAAGAACCUCUCUUAUUCAAAACGGUCAUACCUUUUUCACUUAUAUGACCAAGUUACCUAUGCCUCAAAUGAGUCGAUUUUGAAUCCGUAACAGACAAGGAAAUUUUACUUUACCAGUCACUGUUGAACUUUGCAUAACAUAAAGAUUACCAGUCUUUUGACCUCUCAUGUAACACCCUAAUUUUUAGGGUUAGAAGAUUUGAGCUUUGUGAUAGGGUUAGUGGCUAGAUGGUACAUUUGAGAUUCAUUUCACGUUUUGAUAUCAGAACGGGCUUGCUGGUCUCGUGGUUGGUAGAGUGUUAGUGUACUUUUAGGUUUUGUGUUCGAACCCUCAUAGGUGUGUUUGGGGAAUUACUUUUAGUAAGUUUUUAUUUUUUUCAAAAGUUAGUUAUUUAUUUUUAUUUUUUUAUUUUAUUUUAAUUUUAAUUUUAGAAAACUAAAAACAUUUCACGUUUGUUUUUCCCAAAAAAUCUCUCUGCACGUUUUUUUCUUUCUUCUCUCCCUCUCUUCUCACGUUAAUUUUUAUCCUUGAGUUUUCUUACUCCGUUGUUUUGUUCUUGCACCAUAUUCAUCUUCAAUCAUUGUGGUUCAUCAAUGGAGUUUGGGUGCUUAUGUUACAAAUCAGGUGUGGGUUCGAAACUCUUUUUUUUCAUUUUUUAAAUUCUGUGUUGAUUCUGGGAAAUUUGACUAAAUGUGUGUGUUUGGAAACUCUAUGAAUUUGAUGUUGAAUUACUGAUUUGAUUCUGUGAAAUUUGACAAAUUCAGUGUGUUCCAAAAUUGGUAAAAACAAGAAUUGAAUAGUAUGUUUUCGAUAUAAUUUGGUAUCUUACUGAGUUACCAAGGGUUUGGGAAUUAUUUCGGCAACAAAUACACGUUCUGCAGCUUGUUCCGAUGUGGUUUCGUGACUACACGGGUGGCCACACGGGCGAUUCACUCAGCUGUGUACAGUUGGGAAUUAGGGUUUUUGGGCAAAUUUUGUUGCCACACGACCAUGUGGUUGAAUUUGAGGAUUUUAGUCGACUUCCACAUAGUCGUGUCCCGUGGGCACAAGGGCGAGUGCAUUUGGGGAUUUUGGGAUUUGUUCUUAUCUUACACAAGUAUGUAUUUUGGACACACAACCGUUUUUAGUGGGCACACGAGUGUGUAAGACCCUCACACGACCAUUUUUGCCUUAUACCUUAAUUUUAGCCAUUUUGGACAAAGAGUUACACGGUCGGAUCACACGACCAUGUCCCUAGGUCACGAGGGAAUGUGGCUUAGUCACACUGCUGUGUACCUCCUUUCACAUGGGUGUGCGCCCCUCCACGUGGGUGUGUUGACCCCUACACGGCCUAGGCUUAUCUACAUGACCGUAACACACAAUCGUGUGGCCCUAUCUCGUAUAUUUUUGUACUAUAUUUAUUUUUAUCUGAUAAUGUUUCUGUGUGUCCCGACCCUUAUCUAAGUCUUAUUAAGGGUCCUCAGGACUUCGUUUCAUCCUAGAUUUGUGUGUAAUUCAAAAUCAUAGCUGAAAUUGAUCGAUUUGUUGUGAGCUAAUGGAUGUUAGGCAAUAAAAGAUUCUGUAUCUUAUCAAUUGAGUAUGUGUUUUUCUGAUUCUGUCUAACUGUCUGCGAUGUGUUCAUCAUUUCUGUGAGAUUGUUCGCAUACAUGCAUUUGUAUAAAUGUUUGGGUUGGUAUAUGAAGAGAAGGAACUCUGAUUUGAUUUGGUAGUUUUAACUGCAACACGUCUGUAUAGUGGUUUACCGCAUAGUACAAUACUUCUGGCAGCUCAACUCAAUACUAUUAUUUACGUGGCUUAGUUCUACAUACGUGGUGUGUAGGGUUGGAUGGGUCUUUUGAGGUCCUAUGUGGUGUGCAUGGUUGGUUGAGCUUCUUAUUACUCAUUCGUGGUGUGAAUAGGGGACGAAGAGGUGUUUGGCUGCAUGAGUGGGAUUGUUCUUCUGUAUGUGCAUACAUAUCAUAUUUCAUAUGUCUGUAGGAUUGCGUGAUUAAUUGCAUAAAGGUUGUGUGCUCGAUGUAUUUUGUACCUAUGUGUAAUGAAUGAUAACUUUGUAAUAUGUCCUUUUUAGCUGGUUGUUGAAAUGGGUUGUUUCUUACACCGAUCAAAUUCUUGUAUAGUUGAGUAUCUACUUUGAAAUGCUGCCCUUGAUUUUGUUUCUGCUAUUGAACUAUUAUUUGGAAUUCUGUUUUGUAACUCUGUCAUUUGUUGCGUUACGAACUCACACUGAGCUAGGGUAGCUCACCCCUCUUAGUUUUCCUUUUUCAGGUAUUUUCGUCUUCUGUAGCUGGACUAGGCACCCCGGAGGUCUCGGACAGCCUCGUUUUAGAACAGGCUAUAAAAGUAUUUUCAUAAAUUCUUAGUUUAUAAAUAAACAGUUUUGAAUUGUGAUUACUAUUUAGAAUACUAUGGUAUGAAUUUUUAUAAUAUCGGGAUUUUAUAAUUGGGAGUUUUUAUGUAACUUAAAUACAAACAUAUUUUCCAAUUUGUUAAACUAAAAAUAAUUUCAGUUCACUUUGGUGAUCAAUGUGACCUCUGAGAUUCGUUCUAAACUUCUAGGCCAGGUUCUAGGGCAUUACAUUUAGUGAUAUCAGAGCCAGGUUUAAAAAAACUUGGCCUCUGUUUUUACAUAUCCGUGUGCGCGCGAGAUUGUUUUAAAAAAACAACCGUACCACAGUGUUUUCAAAUGGUUUGUGUUUUGGAAUAAGUUUUUGUAAGAAUACUGUGGUAUGAAUUUUUGUAAUAUCAGGAUUUUAUAAUUGGGAGUUUUUACGUAACUUAAAUACAGACUUGUUUUCCAGUUUGUUAAACUAAAAAUAAUUUCAGUUCACUUUGGUGAUCAAUGUGACCUCUAGGAUUCGGUUUAAACUUCUAGGCCAGGUUCUGGGAAAUUGUAAGAUGUUUGAGACUCUGAUGCCGGUCUGUGCGAAACUUGGGAAAUUGUAAGAUUACUUCUGUAAACUUAGAACUUCAAUAUUUAGACAUUUAUGCUUGCGUUUGAUUUUGGAAAUUUUAGAUUCUUUGAGCUUAGAUACAAGAUCAAUAUGGAUUCUGAAGGUAAGCGAGAUUGCGGGGAUCAAUUCGGUGAGACUUUCGAGGAGUUGUCUACUUCAUCAAGAUGUGUGCUUGUUCAAGAGUCAAAAGUCAAUGCAAUUUUUCCAACUUCGGGUAGCGAUAACCUGGAGCUCAGUACUGAGGCAUUGACUCGGGUAGUGAGAGAAGUGCUAGAACAAGUGCUCAAUGCUAGGUUAGACAGGCAUAGAAAGCUAGUGCAAAGCAGGUGUGUAGAUUGUGGGAAGAAGAGAGAUCGCAGUAUUUCGAGGUUGGAGACUCAGUCUGUGAAGCAUAAGAGAACACAUUUGAGUAACAAUAAAGGUAUUGCAGAGUGUGCUGGUAGUGGUUUGAGCGUUCCAUUUUGUGAGCACUGUAAGAAGCACCAUCCGGACAAUUUUUGGAAAAAAGUAAGAGUGUGUCUUUAAUGCGGGUCCACAAAACAUUGGAUCCAGGAAUGUCCUCGACGACAUUGAAACAGGUAUGGGUGUAAGUUAUUUGUCAUUGUAUGUUGUUGCUGAAAAUGAUUCGUUCGACUGUUCGUUGGAUAACGUUUGUGCGGGUGUGAUGAAUAAAUAUGUAUCUGUUUCAUUGGUUAAGUGUUCUGAUUGUGUGUUUGAGGUCUUAAGUUUGGAAUGGUACUGCUCGAGUUAGAGUGCACAACGGAAGCGUAGUGGUAACACCCCGAUUUUUGGGGUCAGAAGAUUUCUUUAAGGAGGGGUGAGUUGUAACACCCUGAUUUUUGGGGUCUGAAGAUUUGAGCUUUGUGAUAAGGUCAAUGGCUAGAUGGUACAUUUGAGUUUCAUUUCGCGUUUUGAUGUUAGAAUGGGCAUGUUGGUUUGGUGGUUGGUGGAGUGUUAGUGUACCUUUAGGUUCUAUGUUCGAACCCUUAUAGGUGUGUUUGGGGAAUUACUUUCAGUGAGGUUUUAUUUUGUUUUUCAAAAGUCAGUUAUUUAUUUUUAAUUGUUAUUUUAUUUUAAUUUUAGAAAACUAAAAACUUUUUAUGUUUGUUUUUUUUCCAAAAAAAUCUCUCUGCACAUUUUUUUCUUUCUUCUCUUCCUCUUUUAACACGUUAGUUUUUUUCCUUGAGUUUUCCUGCUCCGUCGUUUUGUUCCUACACCAUAUUCAUCUUCAAUCGUUGUGGUUCAUCGUUGGAUUUUGGGUGCUUAUCUCGCAAAUCAGGGGUGGGUUCAGAACUCUUCUUUUUCAUUUUUGAAUUUCUGUGUUGAUUCUAGGAAAUUCGACAAAAUAUGUGUUCGAAAACUUUAUAAUUUCAAUGUUGAAUUAUCAAUUUGAUUCUGUGAAAUUUGACAAAUUCUAUGUGUUUUGAAAUUGUUAAAAAUUAGCAUUGAAUCGUAUGUUUUCGGCAUAAUUUGGUAUCUUGUUGAGUUACCAAGGGUUUGGAAAUUUUUUUGGCAACAAAUGCAUGUUUUGCAGCCUAUUCCAUGUGGUUUCAUGACCAAACGGGUUGCCACAUAGGCGUGUACUGUACACGACCGGUUCACAGGGCCGUGUGCAAUUUGGAAUUAGGGUUUUUGGGCAACUUUUGGUGCCACACGGCCAUGUGGCUGAAUUUAGGGGUUUUAGUCAACUUCCAUACGGCUGUGUCCCAGAAGCACACGGGCGUGUGUAUUUAAGGAUUUAGGGAUUUUUUCUUAUCUCACACGGGCGUGUGUUCUGGACACACAGUCGGGUCUGGUGGGCAAACGGGCGUGUGAGACCCUCACAUGGUCGUGUUUGCCCUAUACCUUGAUUUUAGUCAUUAUGGACAGAGAUUUGCACGGCCAGAUCGCAUGGCCAUGUCCUUAGGUCACACGGUCGUGUGCCUCCUUUCACAGGGGCGUGUCCCCCUCCACAUAGGCAUGUUGACCCCCACACGGUCGUAGCACACAGUCGUGUCACCCUAUCUCGCAAAUUUUUGUACUGUAUUUGUUUUUAAUCUGAUAAUGUUUCUGUGCGUCUUGACCCUUAGCUAAGUCUUAGUAUGGGUGCUCGGGACUCUAUUUUUGCCUAGAUUUCUGCGUAAUUUGUAAUCAUAGCUUAAAUUGAUCGAUUUGUUGUGAGCUAAUGGAUGCUAUGCAAUAAAAGAUUUUGUAUCUUAUCAAUUGAGUAUGUGCAUUUUGAUUUCGUAUGACUGUCUGAGAUGUGUUCAUCAUUUCUAUGAGAUUGUUCGCAUACAUGCAUUUCCAUAAAUGUUUGGGUUGGGAUAUGAAGAGAAGGAAGUCUAAUCUGAUUUGGUAGUUUUAACUGCAACACGUCUAUAUAGUGGUUUACCGCACAGUACGAUACUUCUGGCAGCUCAACUACAUAUUGUUAUUUACUUAGCUUAGUUCCACAUGCGUGGUUGUAGGGUUGGAUGGUUUUUUCGAGGUCCUAUGUGGUGUGCAUGGUUGGUUGAGCUUCUUAUAGCUCAUUCGUGGUGUGAAUGGGGGACGGAGAGGUGUUUGGCUAGAUGGGUGGGAUUGUUCUUUUGUAUGUGCAUACAUAUCACAUUUGAUCUAUUAGUAGGAUUGCGUGAUUACUUGCGUAAAGGUUGUGUUCUCGAUGUAUUUUGUACCUGUGUGUAAUGAAUGAUAACUUUGUAAUGCGUCCUGCCUUUUAAUUGGUUGUUAAAAUAGGCUGUUUCGUACGCCGAUUGAGUUUUUGUAUAGUUAAGUAUCUACUUUGAAACGCUGCUGUUGAUUUCGUUUCCGCUAUUGAAUUGUUAUUUGGAAUUCUAUUUUGUAACUCUGUCAUUUGUUACGUUUUGAAUUCACACUGAGCUAGGGUAGCUCACUCCCUUAGUUUUCCCGUUUUAGGUUUUUCCGUCUUUUGUAGCUGGACUCAACAAACCGGAGGUCUCUGAUAGCCACGUUUUAGAACAGGCUAUAAAAGUAUUUUCAUAAAUUCUAAGUUUAUAAAUAAACAGUUUUGAAUUGUGAGUACUAUUUAGAAUACUAUGGUACAAAUUUUUGUAAUAUCAGGAUUUUAUAACUGGGAGUUUUUACGUAACUUAAAUACAGUUUUGUUUUCCAUUUUGUUAAACUAAAAAUAAUUUCAGUUCACUUUGGUGAUCAACGUGACCUUCGAGAUUUAGUCUAAACUUACAUCUCAUCAGAACGAGAGCGUCAUGAGAUACCUUAAUGUUGAUUGACUCGAUGGUGAUACUACAACCUAUCAAGUCUAAUUUUCUUAAGGAGAUGAGGUUCUUUUUCAAGUCAGGCACAUGCCUGACAUCUGAUAGUGACAAUGAUUUCGUCGUGCAUCAUAAUCUAAAUAGUGCCAGUAUUGAUUAUCUUACAUGGUGAAUUAUUCCACCAUAAGCACAACUCCACCUUGAACUAGACUAUAUAUGGAGAACAAGUAAUUGUUUGGACAUAUAUAGAAAGAACACCUUAAAUCCAGAAUCCACUCGUGCAGCACCCUAUACCUGGCCUGGCCGCCAAGCCCAAAUAUGGGAUGCCACACCACCGUCUUAUGUCAUAUACAAUUAGUAAAAGUUCAACCUACAGGAAGCAUCAUCCAUCUUAGUAUUCGUAUAGGUUUUAAGUCAAUUAUACUUGUUAGUUAUCAAUGUUACAUGCUAACCAUACAUCAAAUAGUCUUAUAAUAAUAAUUAAACAUGCAUAAGGUCCAUUUAACAAAAUCUAAAAACUGUCACAUAGGUAUCAAUACUGACGCUAGGGUAUUGAUAUUUCCUUUAAGUGGUAUCAAUAUCAACUAGAAAAAUAAUACCAAACUUGCAUUAUGUUUCUCGAUUAAAAACCAAAGUCUCAAAAAUUAUCCGUACCUGUCAUAAAGUAUCGAUAAACUUACCCCGAGUAUUGAUACUCGAGAAAAGGUAUUGAUACCAUAUCUUUAUUCUGACUUCCUACACAUUUCAAAACACAAAGGUAUUGAUUUUAAAACUCGAUUAUUGAUACCCCUGUUCCAGACCUCAAAAAUGCAGCAUACAUAUGCAAUUAAUCCAUUCUAAUUUAGUUCCUAAAUGUCAUAUAUCAAUUACUUUGACAAAUAAUCAUUCAACAACCUAAUUAACAGUUCAAUAUCGCAAAACUGUGUUCGUGCAAGUAACAUCAAUCCAUUAUCAUUUUCAUGAACUCAAGCAUAAUAAUAACAUGUAAUCCUGAAAAACCGAACCAAAGACCAGCAAAAUGUCUAAAAGUUAACAUGGCUAUAAACAAGUCUACCACAUUGCCUUUUUUCCCCAAAACGUAAAUAAAUAUAGAACACCUACGAAAUAAUGCAAAAGUCUUGCUUAGAUCACAUCCCGGAACCACACCGCUCACACUGGCACACAACUAAUCUGCAAUGGUUAGAGAAGGGAGUGGGUGAGCUUAACAAGCUCAAUGAAUGCCUAAAACAACUACCACGCAAAUAGUUCAUCAAGCAUUAACGAAACAACCAUAUAGCAUAACCUUAAUAGUUCCAACUUUAGUGUUAUAAUAUACUUACUUGUGCAUUAUUAUUAGUUCUUUUACAUGGUAAAAAUAUUCAUUUCUAAGCAUAUAUCUUAUUACACAUAUAAUCACCUGUCAUUCAAGCAUAUAUCACAAUAUUUAAAAGCAGGUUUAUAGAUAAAUUACAUAAUGGUCACAUACUCAUUUAGGCAUACAUCAUGUUACACAUAUGUACAUUUUAAGAUAAUUUGACACUUGAGUUAUGAAACAUAAAAGUGAGUUCUAUCAUCACUCAUUGGAUACGCGGAUCUCCAACACACCAAACAUAGACUCAUAAAGUCAAACCUGUCCCUAAAGUGAAGCAUAAAGCUAAUUCUCUUUUAUUUCCCCUUUUAUGUCCCGUUGAAUGGACGUUAGCUCACAUUCCUUUAUCCCUCCAACAUGUCUCAAGGCCUCAACACCCAAAAUCACUAUACAUAUAGGUGAGUCCUCACAAUCCUAUGGCAUGCCAACUAUAUCUAACGGUUUCAAGAUCACAAGGCCAAAAUAUCCAAAGUCAACCACAUAUCACUUACCGAUUAUUCAUGUAUAAUCACUGCAGAUUUGCAUCUUUAGCAACACAUUAUCACUAACAUUUAACAUAUACAUGUUAUACUCUCACAACAUUUAUCAUAACCACAUAUCACAUUUUAUAGCAUCUUAUCUCAAUUCACAAGAUAACGUAGGUAUGAGAAAGCUUACACUCAAAAUUUCGAGUAGGGAUUUAGGCUACUACUAAAUUCCCAAAUAAUGAAUCAUGUCCACGAGUAAUUAUUCCAAACACUCACCAAUUACGCUUUUGCCGAAAAGACAAAAUCUUAAAACUAGCUUUUCCUUACCUUUAUCUCUACUCAUAGAACUUCAACACAACAAAUUCACACAACAAUACAUCAAAAACUUAGUCAAUGACUUGUUACAAGCAUACAAAACAUAAGCCUAAACUAAGUUCUCAUGUAAUCGAAACCUUUAACAUAACCAACUUAAAACUAAAAUAUCUCAGUCUAUACUCAAUCAUUUCGCCUAAAACCAAUUUCGUUUAUCUUAUAAUUCGCCUACGACUAAUUGUCAACCUUUAUAAUACAAUAAAAUACUAAUUUCAUUGUAUCAACUUUUUCGACAUGUUUUAUGCCUAUUUUCUAAAAAUUUAUUAAAACUUAAGAAUUCUUUAACAAAACUUCAAAGUAAGUUUACAAACCUUCUAAUAAAUUUAAAAAAAGUUGAAAACACUUUGAAACUAAGUUUUUAUGCAAAAUCCCAAAAUUCACCAUUAAAGACCUGAUUUUUGGCUUUUAUUUAAAACAUGCAAUUUAAUGGCUAAAAACUUGGUUUUAAAGACUAUAUAACAUUUAAACCUAAUUAGAAGUUGAACCAUUACCUUAGAUAAAGAAAAUCUAUGCAUUUCAUCAAAGACCCAAAAAACUCGAAAGCUUAACGAUGGAGGAACUAUGGUAUUUUUGGGUGUUUUUCUUGGUUUUUUAUAGAGAUUUAAGGUUUAAUGGUGAUAGAAAUAAAAAAGGAUUAGAAAUUGGAGUUCAAAAUUGAUUGAAGUAGCAAGGGAGAAUUAAGGGACGACGAACACAAAUUUUGGGGAAAGUUGACGUGAAAAAUUGUAGGUGGGAAGGAAUAAAUAGGUCGGUUUUUAAAUUUUGGUCUAUUUGCUUUUUAAAAACUCACAAAUUUGAAUCUUUUACAAAUCAGUUCUACUUUCAAAAUUAAAGGUAUUUUAAACUCAUUUUCAAAAAUUGAUUUAAUUUUCUAAAAACCAUAGUAAAAAACAUUACUGAUAAACCAUGUCGCAAAAUUUCGAACACUCCAAGGAUAAAAUUUCUAAAAUACCCUUAAAACUCCUAGACCCUAUUUUGGGGUGUUACAACUCGAAUGUAAGUUUAGACCUUCCAAUCGUAGACACCGACAACCAAUUAUCACCUUUUUACCUCAGCCACACUAGUAUUAACUACCUCAGCCUUCCAUUCCUCGUCGCUCUUAGAAGCCCUUCUGUUUCUAUUUUUCAAACUAUAACAUUAUGCCUUUAUGUGACUCAAUUUCUUGUAGUAGUUAGAUGGCUUGUCAUGAUUCCUCGACUUCGAUCUUGACCUAGAAUUAUUCUGAUCUGCAUCCUUAGACUAUUGCUUGCCUCUAGUGACCAAAAUUGACCACAACUUGGACAUUCACUACAUCUCGCACAUGGGCACAACUCGCAUGUUAGCAUAGAUCGCAUAUUGACUACAACAAACAUAUGGGCGCAUCACGCACAUUAGUGUAGCUCGCACAUGGUUACGGUUCAUUUAUAAGCUUAGCUUGCAUAUUGUCAUAGCUCGGGCGUUGCCACAGCUUGUGCAUACAUUGCAGAUACAGUUUCCAUGCAACUUAUUGUAACAUUAGCACGCACAAUUGUUUCACAAUUUCAGUCCGCACAUACGCUACAGUGUCAGUUCACUUAUAGAACUUAAUCUAAUUAGCAUGCACAUACCUUAUAUAGGCAGUUCGCAUAAGGAACGUAAUGUAAUUAGCACAUACAUACUUGGUUUAGACAGUUCACACACGGGCCCUUAAUAUAAUCAGCACGCAUAUACUUGUUUUAGACAAUUCACACAUGGACUCUUCCUUGUGCUAGCUUAUGAUCCUUUCAUCUCUCCGAAGAGCCCAUAUUUCAUUUAUACCAACGUACCUUCGCAAAUCCUCCUUGUUAAUUUGAAUGCAUUCAUGUUCCCCUGUAAGGUCGGGGUCUUUUGCCAAUCUCAGUUUGCAUUUACAUGCCUUACUAGAGGAAAAACACAUAUCAGUUCAUAUCAUUAAUCUCCAUUCGAUUCUCCCAUCACAAUCACACUUCAACAGUCACCUCCGUUUCCCUUAUUUCCUCCAUUUUGGAUAUUGAGCUUGUGCACCAAGGAAGGAGUAUCCAUUUUGAUCUUUUACACACAAACAAUUUCCAUAUUUAUAGCUCUCCCACUCAAGAAAGCACAUCCAAUGAUUAAUUUACGUAGGUUGGUACAUUUCUAUUCAUCGAUUCUAACUAGUUUAUGGAAAUAAGCUUUACAUAGAUUUAAGCAACACGAAAUUAGUAAACCAAAAGACAUAGCAAAACUUUACCUAGUCAGACGAAAACUUUAAGUAAUUCAUUAAUUAACAAGUAUAAGUUAAGGGAACUCACAAAAGUUUCCAGAAAUGUUUCUGUUUAUUUUACAGGUUCCUUUGUCACAUCCAAACUAGAAGAUAAAGAUAAAAUUUAGAUUUUAAUGCAUAAUAAGAAUAGGGAAAGCGAACCUAUAGUGCCUUAAAUUUAUUGUUGAUAAGGAAUUAAAAAGAAUAGACCACUAGGCUUAAUUGUUAAGUGUUAAGCAAGUUAAAGUCCUAGGUUCGAACUCCCUUAAUUGCACCCAUUUGCUGAUUUUUUUUUCCAGUUUCCCCUAAUGUUUGACCAAAACCCUUAAAAAUAGUUUUUUAAAGGCUAAUGUCUAGAAUGAGUUUGUUGGUUCAAUAGUUAAGACUUAGCAUCCCCUUCGAUCCCAGGUUCAAAACCUUUUGUGCGCUUUUAGCUAAAAUAUUUUAUUUUCUUAUUUUACCCCCAUAAAGUACCAAAUUUUCAAACCAAGCCCAAAUCGAAAACUAUAUUUUUUUAUUUUAGACUUUAAUUUAAAUCAAUCUUAAUUCUAAACUAAUUACUAAUUCUAUUUUAAUUAGGGAAGAAUUUUUAUAAAUAGCCAAUUUUUUCAAAACCUAGAAUUCUUAUUUAUAAUUUUUUUCAAGAAAAGCUCUCAAAAUUCUCUCUUCUUAUUCAUUACUGAAACCCUCAUUGCAAUUAGGGUUCUUAAAAGUUCAAUAUUGGCCUAUUUUCUCCUCCAUUGUCAAACCACAUUACUUAACCAAAGAUUUCAAGAUUUUCUAUUGCAUCCGUCUCCUCCUAGUGGUUGCAAACCCUAUAUACGAACAUGUUAUGUACAUGCUAGCUGAAUUAGCAUGUUAACAACCUAAUGUUAAUACAUCGAUACAAGUUUUUAGUUUGCAUGAAGAAAUUGUAUAUGUGAAAUUGAUAUGAAUGAAUGCAUGAAUACAUGACAUUAUAUGAUAAUAUGAAAUAAUAAAUGUGCUUGACAAGAAUAGUAUCAAUUGUUGAUAAAUAGCAUGAUAUGCUGAGUUUAUGUGCAUAAUUACAUGAAAUUGAGUAUGGAGGACGGAGGAGUUUCGUAGGAGAAAGUGGCAAUUGAAGUCCACACCGAAAGUUAGUACUGCAUGAAGUAGGUGACAAUAUCAUCGAAAUUGGGUAAAUCGGAAUGAUAGUUUAAAAAGGCCAUCAAAAUCGGGCAACUCGGGAUGGUAAGUUAUUGUAAUAAAAGUCAUCUUCACAGAUGACAAGUGAACGACCAUAGUCACGGGGAAAUUCAGGAUGGUCAAUUAUUGAUAUUGGUUUUAGAGUGUCGAGCGAUGCUCGAGGGCGGAUAUGAAGGAUGGGUGGGAACUUAAAAUUAAAAUUGUAGUGCAUCAUGAACAUAACCUAUACAUGCAUUGAUUUAUUGAAUAUUCCUUACAUUAUGCUUAAUCUGCUAUGAUGUUAUAAAUUGUAUGUUUUAUUAUUUGAACAAUUAUAUAUAAUGGUUUAAAAAUUAGACUUGCAUUGGGCUGCCAUAAGCUCACUUUCCCCUUUCCUUACCUCUCAGGUAAUGCAAAAAACUAGGACUAGGAAUGGCAUUAGAGGAACCUCGAACUAGCAUCUCAAUUUUUUUAUUUAACAGUUUCCAUUAAAGCUUUCUUUAAUUGUUUUAUUGGUUUAUUUAUCGGGUUGUAAAUUAUUAAUUAUUUUUUUAUUUUAUAACUAUGGUUUGGGAUUAUUUAGCUUAUUAAUUUCUAAGCAUGAUACUUGGUUAAUACCCUGAUAAUUGCAUUCUAAUUAGUUUAGAAAACUAUUAUUCUUAAUAAUGUUUUCCUCUACUUUGCUAAAAACUUAAAGUUUUGAUAAGUCUUUUUAAACCUUAACUGUUUUUCUCAAAAAUUCACAUUAAUAAUAUUGUAAUUGGAUUACUAAGUAAAGCCGGUGUGAUUAUUGAUUUUUUUAUUAAAAACAAAAUAGUUAUUUUCAUACAAUUCAACUCAAGCAUAAGAAUGACUUUAUUGGAUCACUUUGGUGAUCAAUGUAACGCUGUUGACUUAGCCAAAACUCUUAGGCCAGGUCAGGGGUGUUACAUCUUUUCCCUUUCUACUAGGGCCUUCCCCCACUUCUUUAGUCAAACACAUUCAAUACCUCAGUUACCAAACAGAAACAACCACAACAACAACCAAGUCCUUAUCGAAAAUUGAGAAAUCUAACAACUAUUGCAACAUGCAACAAUUGCAAAGGAGAAUACUCCCUUCACCCAUACUUUCAAUUUAGUCCUAUAUAAACAAUUUCUAAAAUUUUACUGAAAUUAUGGUUAAAGAAAGACUCAAGAAAGUUACUAGCAACUACUUGAAAAAGAACAACUUCUAAGCAAGUUAAAAUCAUGAUUUCCUUCCACAAACAGCUAGAGUUAUAAUCUUCAAUUUCUCAACGAAGGUACACAGGAAAGGAAAAUGGAAUUGAAGUCUUCUCCCCUUUUUCCUCUCCCCUCGACCUCCUACUCUACUCUUAGAAUAAUUUAAGAUUAAAAAUAAUUUAAUCAGUCAAUGCCCUUAGCCAACCACUAAUAGCAACACAUGCACACACAAUUCCACUACCCACUAACUAUUCCCAAGGCCAACAAGUCUCAUGCACGAUGACACAUUUCCCUUCCCAAGGCUUAAUACAUGCCCAAACACGUGUCAUACACACCACGAGGAGUUAAGGUAACAACGAGCUCGCAAAAUAACAAGCUCUUUGUCUAAAGAGCUCGGGGAGCAGUGAAUAACUAACGAGCUCACAAACUAGUGAGCUCACAAGGCAGCAAAGACAACUCGCCACAUACGAGGUGGAGGCUUGCGAGAUGGUAAGACAAUAGCGAAGCAACUCAUGAAGGGAUGUUCAAAGAUAAAACCAGUCUAAUUCUCACGAAUUAGACGAGCUCACACAGGUUCCUUACCGUUCCCACUUGAUUAACAUUCCAAAAUACAGUUCUAAAAAUUUGGGGUGUGACAGGUGAAAAGUUGGUUGACUUGCGAACUGAUACGGACUACUUGACCCAGUAAAAAAAUCAGUUGAACAUAUUUUGCACUGGUUUGGCCAAUUGGUUCCUAGAACAAUUGGUUUGAUUGGUUCAAAGCAAAUAAAUUAUGAAAAAUAAAAAAAAUAUUAAAAUAUAUAAAAAUCGGUUCAAUUUGCAGUUCAACUGAUUUUAGCCUACUUCAACCAGUCCAUGCCAGUUCGCAGGUCAACUGGCUUUUAAAAUUUUUAAACAUUUUUAGCCUUCAAGAUUUACAUUUUUUUGUCAAUUUUAUCCAUACCCUUUAAAAGUACAUAAAUUUUUAAAAAUGAUUAAUUUUUUAUUUUAAAAAAAGCAUAAAAAUUGAAAAAAAGUAUAGAUUUUUUUAAAUAUAAAAAUAUUGUAACGCCCUAAAUAAUUUAUUUAUGUUUUUGUAAAUCCUAACAUAAAUGAGUAUUUGCUUCAGUGGCUAAGUGCUCUGGAUGUGUGUUUGAGGUCUUGGGUUUAAGUCCUACUUUUUGGAAAAAUUUUGUUAUUUUUUUUAUUCUAGCCUUAUCUCUACUGGAUAGGCUUAUGUAAUAUUGUCUGUAAACUCAUAUAAGAAUGAGCCUGCUGAUUUGAGUGGUAAGGAGUUAGUGUGUUGGAGGUCUUGUGGCUGAAUCCCUGCCCGAGCUUGAGUGUUAAUUUUUGUUCCGGUUGUCUAUUAGUGGUUCGGUGGAGUUGGGAGUCUAAAGUAGUUGGAUGUGGUUAGUGGGGAGGAUAUUAUGGGAUGUGGUUGUUAGUGGGGAAUUGAGAUGUUAAUCAAAAAUCAAUUUAUUAUCUUUUUAUUUUAUUUUUUAAAAUUUUUUUCUCUCUCUUCCCAAAAGUCUGACGUUAGCUUUCUUUUUCUCUACCACAUUCUUUUUUCUCUUAUUUUUCCUACAAUUCUAUCUUUGAUCUGCUGUCGUAUCAGUGUAUUUCAGAAUUUUGGUGUUUUACUUGCAGUUGGGUAAGUAGGGAUUUCACUUGUCUGUAACGAUUCUUGUAAGUUGUUAGGUUUAUUCAUUUCGUUUGAAUUUCUAAAUGGUGUGAAGUAAGGGAGUUUGAUUUUCUGCGAUGUAUUGCGUAGGAGUUGUUGGUGAACCUACGAAUUUCGCUCCUAUAGCAUAAAUCACAGUAGGGGUUGUUCUUAUCGGUGGUAAGUGUGUUUGCGCAAUUCAGUUUUACGAUGUUAAAUUCGUAUUUGAUUGCUAAAAUGGUGUUGGGUAUUCUAUUUUUAAGUGCUAGUGGUCUCGGAAGUGGUUUCGCAUCAAAACUGAACUAGGUGUGUAUCUCUAACACGAGAAAACGAGAUUCAGAGAAAGCAAAAAAUGGGGUUUAUUGACACCACACGGGCGUGUGCCCAAUUGUGUACGAGACACGACCGUGUGACUGGCGAAGGUGUGGCCAUGCUCAUGACACGGCCAUGUGACGGUGUGAGUAUGGUCGUGUGGGCCACAUGGCCUAGGCCAGGUUAGGCGUGUGGGUCACACGGGCAUGCCUCUCGGGCGUGUGGGUUUUAGGCCAUGUCGUGUAGGCCACACGGGCAAGGCCAAUCUGGGCAUGUGGGCCCAAAAUUUUAAAAUAUUCCCUAGGGUCGCACGGGUCGUUCUGAUAGACUGCGGACCUACCGUAGGGUCGAUAAUGGCUAACCAAACCAUAAUUCAUGUGAUCUGAGUAGGACACCGAUACGUAUGUCUAACUGUUCUAUUUGAGUAUAUAUAUGUUAUCUAUAUACAAGCAUGUUAAGCAUGUUAACUCUGUUAAUUUUGUAUUCUGUAUUUGUGUUUGGGGUGGUAUUUGCAUAUGUGGAGGAAGUGAUCUAUACGGCGACCUUUCGCCUAUAUUGAUGUAGCUUGACUGCAUAUUAUUCUAUCAUGUGUUGUAUCGACACUAUAUGGUGUGUUGGGAUGGGUGAGUGUUUUUAACCCCACAUGGUGUGAUAGGAUGGUCGGAGAUGGUGUGUAGAGGAUGGGGGUAGGAUUCUGUAUAUCUGUUCUGCUUAACUAAUUUUGAUAUUUGUAUCUGUUAUGGACUUCGGUCCGAAUUUGCAACUGACGGUAUAUGAAAUUCUAUAUAUGUUGCAUGACUAUUUCUAUUGGGUUACACACUAAGUUUAUGAAAACUCACAUCUAUUUGUCUGUUCUGUUCAGGUAAUCCACAGACUUAGGCGGGUCGGUGGGUCGGAGGUUCAGCGGUGACCACUUUAUCGAGAUUUUUUUAUUUUAUAAUAAUGGUUUUAUUUUAAAAUCUGGCUUUCGUGAGAGUUCUUUAAUUUUUGGACUCUCCGGACUUUUUGGAUUGUUUGGUUUGAAUUCUUGGGUUUGAUUGCAUUAUGAUUUCUAAACUGCGAAGAUUCAACAAAAUACUGAUUUUACGUGAACAAAUGUUAUUUUUGGAAACAAGAACAUGGUUUGUUUUAAACGAUUUUCAAACUUUUGCUGUGAAAUAAUUGGUUAUAAAGGACAACAUAUAACGGUUUCAGUAAUAUAUAAAUGAAUAUAUUUUAUAAUACUUGAACGUUUUAUCAAAUAACUAAACAUGGUUUUAUCGAAGUAUAGGUGGUUUCAAAACCCUUCUUCGUAGCACUCCCAGAUUCGGCCAUAGCUCUAGGUCGUGUUCGGGGUGUUAUAAAAAUAUUUAAAAUAUAAAAAUAUUUAAAAAAUAAAAACUCUUGAAAUUUCAAAAAUCAAAAGAUCUUAAAAAUAAAAAAAAUUCCAAAAUUUAAUGUUAUAUAAAUCAGACUGGACCGAUUGGAUCAAGAAUCAAUUGGGGUAUAUUGGUACAAACAGGUUUUUAUAAUUUAUAAUUUAUUGUUUCUAAUAAUCUAUUUACUUUGAACCUGUCGGACAAAUCGUUUUGGGAACCAAUUGGUUAAACUAGUUUGAAUUCAGUUCAAUUGCUAGUUCAACCAAUUUUUAGCUUGGUUCAACCAGUCCAUACCGGUUUCUGGGUCAACUUUUUUUUUUUGCGUCUGGUCGGACCAAUACCCCAACCGAUUCCUGGUCCUAUUGGCUAGUUUGGUCUAGUUUAGAUAAUAUUGAAUUUUUGAAUUUUUUAUAUAUUUUUUUAUUUUAAAGUGUUUUUUUUUCUAUAUUGUUUAUUUUUAGAUUAUGAUUUUUUAUUUAAUAUAUGAAAAAUAUUUAAUUUUUAAAUUGUUUAUAUACUUUUAAAGGCUAAGAUCAAAUUGAAAAUAAUUAUAAACAUUGAAGAUUAAUAGUAAUAUUUAACCUUUGACACCAUUAAUUCUUUAAAAAAAAGAAUAAAUAUUUUUAAAUAAAAAAGUAAAAUUAAAUGGAUAAAAUAAUAUUUUAAAAUAAAAAUAUAAAAAUUGAAAGCAUAUUCUAACUAUUUUAAAUUCCAGACUUGGAUCGACCAAAACCCCAUUUCAAACUCUCAAAGUCUUUGAAGAACCGACUAAGAAAUUAACAAAAUGUAAAUUCAUAUUUAUUUACUUAUUUUUCUUAUUUUCUUGGGUGAGGGCCUGAUUGGAACGUGAACAAACAAAAAGAUUGUUAUAUAAUAAUCUUAAAAGAAUUUGUGUAGUAUUUUUAAAUUAUUCUGUUAUAUUCUGCUUUUUUACUCAAAAUGAGAGAGAAUUUAUACGGUAAUUCACCUCCUUUAUCAGUGCAAGAUGUUAAGGUGUAAGAUAUUCUAUAUUCUAGAAACAAAUUGUGCAUUUCUGUAGGUUGGGAAAAGUCAAACUAGGUAGUUAGGUUGCCGUAGACAUUUGAUCUUAAUUAUUAUCCUUAGUACAAUAAUUUGACACUAAUUAUAUUAUAUUCUAUUUUAACAACACUAUUAUUAUUAUAAUCAACUACGUUUUCUGCAGGCUACUUGCUUUCUGGAUAGUCCAAGUCUUCCCACGAAUUUGCCAUUAAUUCCAUUCUAUUCUAUUUUGUUUACUUUUCUCAUUACGAUAAUAAACUAGUUAAUUGAAGUUGCAUUCCUAUUUCACCUUAAAAUUUCAUCCAAUUAUUACUUUGGUAUUAAAAGAAUAUUUAUGAUCACAAUUCUAUAAAGUAAAUAAUAGUAAUUUAACUUGAAAGUUUGUCUAAACCUUAGAUUUACCUUAAUUUCAUUUGAAUCAAUUAGAAAAAAGAAUAGAAUGUUAAAUAAGUAAAGGGUAAAUGUAAGUCAAAAUGAAUAGCAAAUAAUUUCAACUUUCUAUUUUAAUUCUAAUUUUUUUUUAUUUUUAAUCAACUUAUAAUUCUUUAAAUUUGAAAUAAAUCAAAUAAAAAAUAGUCUAAUAACUUGUACUUAAAUUGAUCAAACUCAAAAGCAUCUAAAUUUAAAAUAAUUAAACUCAAAAUGAACUCAAAUCUCAAAUAAAAAUGAUUGAUUAAAGAGACAAUUAUGACAACUACGAAUUCAUCUGCAUGGAAAUUUAUGGCAAUGGUAACAUUAGUUUGGAAUCUAAAACGAUUGAAAAAGAAAAACAUAAACAACUUUAUACAAUUUAAUUUAAUUCUUUUAAGUCUUGACAAGUCUUGAAACAACUAAUUCCAUAUACAAUAUAAUUUCUGGAAUUUUUUUUAUAAUGAUUGUAUUUUUUUUUUAUCGUGAAAAACUAAAAUUUUUAAAAAUAAUAGAAAACCAUCCAAGUUGUUAAAAAGUACAAUAGAUAUUUAUAUAUCCAUAUUGUUCCAUGUUUUUUUCUAUAUUUUAAAUGAUUUUUCUUUUUCUUUUUGAAUUUUCACUAUUUUUUAUUUUAUGUUUUCUAAAAAGAAAAGCAUUUUUUUUAGUUCCAGGAAAGCUUUUAAUUUUUCUUUAUUUUUAAAUUUUUUGAGAUUUUCCUUUUUCCUUUUUUUUUUUUUUGCAAUUUUCUCUUCUUUUUACAUUUAUUUAAGAAAAAAAGAAAUUUGGGUGACGUAAAGUGCCACAUCAUUUCUUUUAGCAGCAGCAAGGGCUGAGGUAACUUCAGAUAUCAAAUUGAUAAAUCCUUUUUCACUACACCAGAAUAGGCUUUUAGCGGCACUUUUUGCGGCGUUUGGAACAAAAGCGCCACAAAAAAUCGAGCAUUAGCGGCAAUUUAGCGAAAGUGCCGCUAAAGGUAGAGCAUCAGCGGCGAUUUUCGGGAAGCGCCGCUAAAAAUAGGAAUUAGCGGCGUUUUAUAUAAACCGCCACAAAAAACCUAAGAACAACGACGUCGUUUUUGCAAUUUUUUAAACCUUUAGCGGCGUUUUUAUCUAAGCACCGCUAAUGCUCGGGUCUUUAGCGGCGUUUUUAUCUGAACGCCGCUAAUGCUCUGGCCUUUGGCAGCGUUUUUAUAUAAGCGCCGCUAAUGCUCGGAUCUUUAGCGGCGUUUUUAACUGAGCGCCACUAAUUCUCUUGUCUUCAGCGGCAUUUGAAGCUAAGCGCCACUAAUGUAUUUACCUUUAGCGGCGUUUUUGCCGAAGCGCCUCUAAUAGUAACAAAAAUCUUAUAAGUUGAAAUAAUUAAUAUUUUGUUCUAUUUAUUAUAUAGUGGUACAAUUUACAUUUAAAUUAUAAUUAACAAAUAAUAUUGAUUACUAUAAAAAGUUUUUAUUAAAGAGAAGUCGUAUAUAUAUAACAGCUAACUAUUUAUUACUAAUUUUCAAUUACAGUUGAUUUAAACUACUUUACGAGAGAAAAUAUAUUAAAUUAUGAAUAAAAUAAAAUAUAAUAAAACUUAAAUUGUUGUAUUGUAAAGAAUAAAUUAAAAAUAGAAUUAACUUUUCAUAAGAAUAAUAAAUUUUGGUCGUAUUGUUCGACUAAAUAAAUCAAAGGAACUAAUAUAAUACACCAAUUUAUACAAAAUAUAUAUAUAUAUAUAUUAACAAUUAAUUAUUGACUAUAUUUUAUGAUUAUAUAUAUUAAAGANNNNNNNNNNNNNNNNNNNNNNNNNNNNNNNNNNNNNNNNNNNNNNNNNNNNNNNNNNNNNNNNNNNNNNNNNNNNNNNNNNNNNNNNNNNNNNNNNNNNNNNNNNNNNNNNNNNNNNNNNNNNNNNNNNNNNNNNNNNNNNNNNNNNNNNNNNNNNNNNNNNNNNNNNNNNNNNNNNNNNNNNNNNNNNNNNNNNNNNNNNNNNNNNNNNNNNNNNNNNNNNNNNNNNNNNNNNNNNNNNNNNNNNNNNNNNNNNNNNNNNNNNNNNNNNNNNNNNNNNNNNNNNNNNNNNNNNNNNNNNNNNNNNNNNNNNNNNNNNNNNNNNNNNNNNNNNNNNNNNNNNNNNNNNNNNNNNNNNNNNNNNNNNNNNNNNNNNNNNNNNNNNNNNNNNNNNNNNNNNNNNNNNNNNNNNNNNNNNNNNNNNNNNNNNNNNNNNNNNAUAGUUAUUAAUUAUUUAAUUUGUAUAUAUAGGACCAAAAUAAUCUUGGUAUAAAUAAAUAAACAAAUAAAUAAGUAGGUAAUUAUGUAUUUGUUAAAUAAAUAGGUAAUUAAUUAUUUAAAUGUAAGACACAAAAAAAAGGGAAAUUUAGCGGCGUUUCUAUAUAAAAACGCCGCAAAAGGUAGCCUUUACCGGCGUUUUAGUAAAAAACGCCACAAACAUUGCAAUAUACGACGUCGUUAUGUGUUAGGGAAUCAGUUUCUAUUGUGGCGUUUUAUAGGUAAGUGCCGCUAAUAUUCUUGAAACUCUAUCAGAACGGCGUCGUUUCAGUUGAAUGAUGUACUCUAUUACUGGCGUUUUUGGGGAAAACGCCGCAAAUAUGUCUACAAUUUUGUGAAAACGUCACCGUUUGUUUAUGUAAUUGAAAAUUUAAUGUUUAGGGGUUAGGGGGAUUUAGGGGUUAAGGGUUAUGCUUUAGGGGUUAGGGGAUUUAGGGGUAAGGGGUUAGAGGGUUAUGGAUUUAAGGUUUAGGGUUUCAACGGUUAUGUUAGAGUUUAAGUUUAGAUUAAUUAGUUUUAUUAAUUUUUAUAUUAAAUAUGUUCUUAUAUAUUUCUAAAAUAUAUAAUAAUAAAUUUAAUAUAUUGAAACUAUGAGUAUAUAGUUUAAAUUUAUUUAUUUAUCAAUAAAAUUAAAUAUUAUAAAUUUCAAACUUUAUACAAAAAAAUAAAUAUUAUAAAGAUAAUAUUACAAAAAGUUUUUACUAUUAAUUAUUGUUUAAUCAAUUAUAACUAUUUUAUGAUUAUUAAAGUUUAGGAUUAUUUUGGAUGGCCGUGCUAUUUUAAGGAUUAGGGGGUAUGGAUUUAAGGUUUGGAAAUAUAAGGGUUAGGGGUUUAGGGGUUACGAGUUACGGGCUAAGGGUUAGUGGUUUAGAAUUUAGGGUUUAGGGUUUCAGGGGUCGGAUAAGGGUUUUAGGUUAGUUUAGAUUAAUUUCUUUAAAUAAUAUUUUAAAAAAUCAAUUUAAAGUACCAAUUGAUAUAUUUAAAUAUUAUUUUAAAUAGAAUUAAGUUUAAUAAGUUAAAAAAUAGUUUGAUAUAUUUUAUAUGGAUGGAUAUAUUUAGGACCAAAUACAUAAGAAAUGAAAUAAAAAAAAACAAAAAAUGACAAAAAAUCUAAAAUUUACAAAACGGCGCCGUUUUCGAAUAGUUAAAGUUUUAGUGGCGUUUUAGGGGUUAAACGCCGCAACUGUGGGAAGCAGUAUUGGCGUUUGUUCAAGAAACGCCGCAAAAGUGUCUUUAAAAUUUGAGUAAACGACGCCGUCUGUCUACAUGAUUUUUAACUUAUAAAAGGUUUAUAAUUAAUUACUUGAAACGUCACCGUUUGGCUUGUUGUACGUUAAGUAGUGUGGCGUUUUGGUGAUAGCGCCGGAAAUUUUGGAAUCAAUAGCGGUGUGUUUUCAGUAAACGCCGCAAAAGGGUAUUAAAACAAUGUCUAAACGGCGCCGUUUCUGUAUUCAAAUUUUAACUUAGCAUUUUCUCUAUAUUAAUUCAACGGCGUCGUUUCUGUUAAUUUCUAGUGGCGUUUUCGCGGGAAACGCCGCAAAAGUGACUUAAAAUAUUAGCUAAACGACGGCGUUUAGCUUAAGCAAAUUAUUUUUUAGUGGUGUUUUUUAUAGAAAAUGCCAGAAAUAUGCGUUAAAGCUUUAUUAAACGGCGCCGUUUCAGAUUAUAACUUAAAUUUUUAGUGGCGUUUUUUGGAAACGCCGCAAAUAUACAAGCAAUAGUGGCGUUUUCCUAAGAAACGUCGGAAUGGUGUCUUAAAAUUUUGGCAAAAGGACGCCGUUUCUAUUCAUCGUGUUUUAACUUAUCAUUUUCUCUAUAAGGCAGAACACAAACAGAAACAGAAGCAGAGAGGACAAAACGAAAGCGAUAGAAACGAAAGAUAAAAUACAAAGGAAAAAAGGGAGAGGAGAACUCAUAAAUCAUCAGAAACGAUGCAACAGUUGAGUCAAUCUUGACAGGAUACUAUCAAAGUUGCGGAAUUUGUGGUUAAAAGGUAAGUUUUUUUUCUUUUAAAACAUUGUAUCUUGAUUUAGGGUUUGGGUUCAGUGGAAUUUGGGAAUUUGGGGUUUAAAGUCCAAGUUCAAUCACCAAGCUUUGGCCAGUUUGUUUGGGAAUUCGGGGAAUUUGGGAAUUUUUGCGUGUCUAGGGUUUGGGAAGAAGUACCGAUCAUGUGCUUCCUUUCUAGUUUGUUAUUCUCAUUGUUGAAGAGUUGAAAAUAACAGUUGUUCUUAUGUUCAAGUUUUGUUCCCCAGAAUUAACACUGCAUUUGGCCAACUGUUAAAGAAAGGAGAACUCAAAAUUAUGGAUUAACCAUUUGUUACUGCCUUAUUGAUCAGCUCGUAUUUAGGUAAGUUUCCUGAUAUUAUUUUAAUCAAAAUGUCCUUACUUUUAUUCCUUCUGAUUUCAGAGUUGAAUUUAUUUAGUUAUUACUAAAAAGGGGUAAACAACUGAACUAAAACUGUUGCAUCGUUUACUCUUCGACAAUCUCUAAUUUUAGUUGACUUCACUGUGAAUUUCCUCAAAUAAGCAUCACAGUUUUGUGCAACGGCUUGGAAAUUUUUGUGCAUUUUAAAAUGUCUACGAGAAAAACUUAUUGGGUGGGGCUGGACAAAGCCUAAUUUAUUCAUAUAUUGUUGAGGCUUUGGAGUAAUUUAGUAUAAAACUGCAUCUACAGGUAAAUGCUUUAGCUGCUCUUCCUUCUUUAUAUAUUUUUAAAUUUUUCUCCAUGUUGCAAUAAAAAUUGUUGAAAGUAAUUUUCUUAGAACGUAAUCGAUUUUCCAGCACUCUGUAAUUAGCUCUGUAGUUGGUAAACAAUGUUAAACUAUGUUACACGGUUUUUACUGCUCUGUUCCUACAUGUCUGUUCUGCUUUGUUCCUACACCGAGUUCCUACAUGUCUGUUUUGCUUUGUUCAAUGAGUCAACUUAGUUCUCUGUUGUUUGUUUCUUACACACGAGAUUUGGAUAUUGUAUAUACAUUGUAAAAAUGGACUGCCCGAUUUAAAAGAAUGUUAAAUACAUGACUUACUAAAAUUAGCUUUUACUGUUUUAUUUAAUUAUAAAUAUAUUAUUAAUUUAUUUAACGUAAGGCAGAAAAUUAAAUUUAUUUUCAAUUAUCUAAUAAAUAUAUUUUUAUCUUUCACCAAGUUUCCACAUUACGCAAAACAUCUUUCAGAGGUUCUGUUUUUCGUUUGUUAAAUAUCUUUAGAAAAAUGGUUAGCUAGGGCCUAGAAAACAACAUUAAAGUUAUUAAAACUAAUAUGGUUUUCAAUUUAUGUCUCGGGUUGGGUUAAUUAGUUUUAGACUAAAUAAUUAAAAUUUCAAGCUUUUUUAUUCUUUGUAUAUUUGAUGUUCAAUCUCCAAAUUUUUAUUUUUAAUAAUUUAGUCUCUUUAUUUUUAGAAUUUAAAAUUGGAGUUCAUUUGUUAACACUAUUAAUAUUUUUCUAUUAAAUUUGUUGUUGUGACAUUAUAAGAGUUUAACACAUUCUAAUGGACUUGAAUUUAACAAAGAAGUUUAAUGAAAUUAAAAAAUUUUAAAAUUCUCAUAAGCAUUUUAAUUAAAAUAAGAUAUUUCAUUUAACUAAUAGCAUUAUAAACAUUGAGAUACCAAAUUAUGUCAAAAAUUAAAAUAUAAAUAUAAAAUCUCAAAUUUAAGAAUAGUAUAAGGACCAAAACUAAAAUUUGACUAAUUUUAUAUAUCAAGACAUUAUAAAACUAAAAGAACUAUAGUAAGAAUAAGAGAGAAGAGGAGACACAAAAGUGAAAGGAUAAUUCUACUUUUUCUUAGCUUCAAUAAGCUUGUACAUAUCAUUUAAUUAAUUAAUAUACAUAGAUUACAUAACUUACAUUAAUUUUAUACAUAAAUUACAUAACUUAAUGAAUUAAUAUUAUACAUAACUUACAUUAAUAUUAUACAUAAAUUACAUAACUUAAUUAAUUAAUUAGGACAAACUCAAAUUACCUAANNNNNNNNNNNNNNNNNNNNNNNNNNNNNNNNNNNNNNNNNNNNNNNNNNNNNNNNNNNNNNNNNNNNNNNNNNNNNNNNNNNNNNNNNNNNNNNNNNNNUUAAUUAAUUAAUAUACAUAAAUUACAUAACUUACAUUAAUAUUAUACAUAAAUUACAUAACUUAAUUAAUUAAUAUACAUAAAUUACAUAACUUACAUUAAGAUUAUACAUAAAUUACAUAACUUAAUUAAUUAAUAACUUACAUAACUUACAUAACUUACAACUUACAUAACUUACAUUUUUUUAAUUAUUCAUAAAUUACAUAACUUACAUUAAUAUUAUACAUAAAUUACAUAACUUAAUUAAUAUACUUAAAUUACAUAACUUACAUUAAUAUUAUACAUAAAUUACAUAACUUAGUUAAUUAAUAUUAUACAUAACUUACAUAACUUACAUAAUACAUAACUUAUAUGACUUACAUAACUUACAUAGCAUAAUUUUCAUAAUAAAUAACUUACAUAACUUACAUAAUACAUAACUUAUAUGACUUACAUAACUUACAUAGCAUAAUUUUCAUAAUACAUAACUUACAUAAUUUUCAUAAUAAAUAACUUACAUAAUACAUAACUUACAUAGCUUAAUUAUACUUAUUCCUAAAUCCUAAACCCGUGCAAUUUAUUGUCAAGAUUAGGCUUCAAGAAAUAAGAAAUGGACCGGUCUUGGAUGAAUUUGUCAAGGUUAAGCGACGGUUAUCAAAAUGGAGUACAAACUUUUCUAAAUUUUGCAUUUCAAGAUGCAAGUCAAGAGAACAUGAUUCUUUGCCCGUGUAAGAAGUGUGUCAACAUAAACUGGCAUUAUCGUGAAGUUGUAUACGAGUAUCUAAUUGUUGAUGGGUUUGUUCGUGGUUAUAAACAAUGGUUUUUUCAUGGAGAAUGCCCGCCUAGUACUUCCUCUUCAAGGAUGGAUGUAUCUUAUGAUAGUACUGCUUACCAUCAGUCUGUUAGAGGGGAUGACAUGGAAGGGAUGUUGCGAGAAGCAUUUAAUAUUCACAGUCAUGGUUUACAGUCGUUCCCACCCGACUUUGUGCCAUCUGAUGAUUGUAAUCUCGGUGGAAAUGCUUUUAUCGAACCCGGAAGAAGUGUACAUCAUGAAGAGCNNNNNNNNNNNNNNNNNNNNNNNNNNNNNNNNNNNNNNNNNNNNNNNNNNNNNNNNNNNNNNNNNNNNNNNNNNNNNNNNNNNNNNNNNNNNNNNNNNNNAGUUCUACGCGCUACUUAAUGAGAUGAACGAAGAACUAUAUGAGGGAUCGAAAUUUUCAAAAAUGUCUUUCUGCAUUCGUCUUUUCCAGUUAAAAUGUUUGGGAGGGUGGACCGGGAACUCAUUGACAAUGCUGUUAGAGUUUUUGAGAGAAAUGUUUCUGUUUGCAAAAAUCCCUCAGUCAUGCAAAGAUAUGAAGAAAAUGAUAAAAGACUUAGGUCUUGGGUACAACAAAAUCCAUAGUUGCCCGAAUGAUUGCAUGUUGUAUUGGGGCGAUCGGAGAAACCAACAGUGCUGUCAUGUAUGCGGCGAAUCCCGUUGGAUAAAUAGAAACACGGAAGAUGGGAAUGAUGAUGAAAAUGAUGCACAGCCAAGAAAGAAGCCGGUCAAGAUUUUGCGGUAUUUUCCGCUGAUACCAAGGCUUCAAAGGCUUUUCAUGUCGUCGAAGACAGCGGAGUCAAUGACGUGGCACCAUGAAGGACGAACCAAUGAUGGAUUAUUAAGGCAUCUGGCAGAUUCUUUAGCUUGGAAAUCAUUUGACAAUAAAUUUUCAAGCUUUGCAAGCGAUCCCAAGAGUGUGAGGCUUGGCCUAGCAUCUGAUGGAUUUAAUCCUUACAAGAUCAUGAGUACUGCAUACAGUACUUGGCCAGUAGUGCUUGUUCCUUACAAUCUGCCUCCGUGGAUUUGCAUGAACCAAUCUUCCAUUAUCUUAUCUAUGAUUAUCCCUGGAGAGAAAGGGCUCGGGAAUGAUAUCAACAUUUAUUUACAGCCACUUAUUGAAGAGUUAAAACAAUUAUGGGCUGGUGUCGAGACAUACGAUGUGCUGAGAAAGGAGAACUUUAAUUUACGUGCAGCUUUGAUGUGGACCAUUAAUGACUUCAUCGCUUAUGCCAAUUUAUCCGGUUGGAGUACCAAGGGUUGUUAUGCGUGCCCUUGUUGUGCUGCACAAACAUGUUCGCAAUGGUUAUACAAUGGGAAGAAGUUCUCUUACAUGGGUCAUCAUCAGUGGUUACCGAAAAAUCAUAGAUUUAGAUUUCAGAGUUCGGCAUUUGACGGUACUGAAGAGUUCAGAGAAGCUCCUUCGCAGACAAGUGGAUCUGAAAUCUUGUUAAUGUUGGAAGAUAUGAAUUUCAGUUAUGGGAAGAUGAAUCAACUGCCAAACACGCAAAGAAAUAGAAGAUCAAAUGAUGAAGCUGAUGAUAACUCCGAUGAAGAGGAUGAUCCUAAUGAGGAGGACUUGUGGAAAAAAGAAGUAUUUUCUUUGAGUUGCCUUAUUGGGAGCACCACCUUUUACGACACAAUCUUGAUGUUAUGCAUAUUGAGGAAAAUGUCUGCGAGAACAUUGUCUGUACAAUUUCCAGAUGCGUAUGCAUUAAAUAUAUCUUGAUGUGUUAGUGUUAAAGAUCGAAGACUAUAUUCGCUAAAAUUACAUGACUAUCACAUCUUGAUGCAAGAUUUACUGCCAGUUGCUCUACGUUGUUGUAUUUCGAAGAAGGUGACGUCUUGUAUAAUUGAACUAUCCAAUAUAAUGAAAGUCAUUUGUGGCAAAGUUUUGGAUGUUCAAGAACUUCAGAAGGUACAGGAUCGAGCCGCUUUAACUUUAUGCAACAUGGAGAAAAUCUUCCCACCUUCCUUCUUCACUAUUAUGGUUCACUUGAUAAUCCAUCUCCCGCAUGAAGCAAUUCUUGGCGGACCCGUUUUCUAUCGAUGGAUGUAUCCCAUAGAAAGGUGUUAAUUACAAUUUUUAAAAUUUUCCUUCAUUCACCUAUAUGCCUUUAGUUACAACUUUUGAUAAUGUUGUGUAUCGUGUUUAGGUUCCUGUCCAAAUUAAAGUCUUAUUGCCGCAACAAGCGUUAUCCAGAAGGAUCGAUUGCUGAAGGCUACUUGGCAGAGGAAUGUAUGACCUUCUGUUCAAGAUAUUUGGAAGAUGUUGAAACAAGGUUGAAUAGACCAAAUAGAAAUGUUGGACUCACGGAUCAUAACUUUGCCGAUAAUUAUUUGUUCCAAAGUUUUGGAGAACCAAUCGGUAAAGUUGAAAUUGCAGAAUUAGAUGAUUUAUCGUGGGUACAAGCACAUCAAUAUGUUCUGUUUCACCACGAUUCAAUGGAACCUUUACGCAAGUAAGUUCUAGAAAUUUGAUAAAUAUUCAUCAUUUAAAAUUUGUUUAUAGUCUAACAAACUAAACAUAUUUUUAACAUAGUGAGUACAAACAAAUAUUGAGAUCUCAUUCGCGCUCCCGAAGAACACAACAUUGAGAUAUCAAUAAGUUGUUUACAGAAUCUUUUCAUGAAUGAUUAAGCCAAACGGUAUGUAAUUGAAGCUUUCACCGACAAAUAAUAAUAUUUACUCAAAACAUUUUUAAUUACUCAGUUUACUUUCCAUUCAAUAGGUUUGGAGUGGGAAGAACGUCACCGACGAAGUUAAAUGGCUUUCCCAAGGUCCAAAUCGGGUGGUUAAAAGAUGUAGUGCGUUCCUCAUAAACGGAUUCAGAUUUCAUACAAAAUAUCGCGAGAGAUUGAGGAGAACGCAAAAUUGUGGAAUAUUUGUUAAUUCCUCAAUUACAAGUUAUGCUAGUGCUAGGGACAAUAAUCCUGUGGAGGGAAAUGUGGAAUAUUUUGGACUUCUUACUGACAUAAUUGAGUUGGAUUACUACGGCAAAUGGAAAGUUGUCUUAUUUCGAGGUGAUUGGGCUGAUGUUAAUACUGCACGUGGAAUCAAGCAAGAUCAAUUUGGUUUCACAAUGGUAAACUUCGUUUGAUUGAUUCACACAGGACAACAAUUGAUUGAUGAGCCGUAUGUAUUUUCUUCUCAAGUCAAACAAAUUUUUUACUCAAAAGAUCCAACUGAUGAGGGUUGGUACGUUGUACUCCGUAACAUCCCCAGAGACUUGUUUGACAUGGGCAGUGGAAGUAGAGAUGACAUUGACGACAGAACACAAACUUUGCCAUUUCUAGAACAGAACUUAAACGAAAACAUCCCUAGUACUAGUACACAAUUUCAAUGGGUCCGCCAGGAUACGAAUGAAGAUAUUUACGAAUUAUAAUGUAGUAAGCUUUUACGAUUAUCUAAUUAUAUUUACGAAUGAUGAUAUUUCAACUAUUUUAUAUGUGAUAUUAUUGUUGUAAUUGUAUACUAUGUUUUCAACUAGUUUAUUUGUAUUGCAGAUAAAAUGCCUAGAAAAAAAGUGCGAUCGCACCGCAUUGUUCAAGGUACUCCAAACUCGGCGGAAACAACAGCACUGAACAACAGACUGCUGUUGGAUCUUUGAAUGUUCCGGUUACACCUGAGGAACCUAUAGAAGUUCAAAGUAAUUUAACAUUUAAUUUACAUGUGUGUUGACUUCUUGUUUAAUUCUUUUAAAAUUUCGUAUAUUACAAUACUUUUAUUUUUCAGAUGAAACUGGUGGGACGCGAAGAGUUCGCGGACGUACGGUACUGAGCGAUUUAUACGAGCUAGAUCCAGUCGAGCGUGUCCAAGUAUCCAGUAAUAGCUUUGGUCAGCCUGUUGGAUCAGAAGCUCGCCUUUUAGCAGGAUACAUGGGCAUUCUAGCACGGAAUGCAAAUAUGUUGCCAAUUAACUUCGAGUCAUGGCAUAAAGUGCCCGAGAGUAACAAGAACCAAGCUCUCGAUAACAUAANNNNNNNNNNNNNNNNNNNNNNNNNNNNNNNNNNNNNNNNNNNNNNNNNNNNNNNNNNNNNNNNNNNNNNNNNNNNNNNNNNNNNNNNNNNNNNNNNNNNNNNNNNNNNNNNNNNNNNNNNNNNNNNNNNNNNNNNNNNNNNNNNNNNNNNNNNNNNNNNNNNNNNNNNNNNNNNNNNNNNNNNNNNNNNNNNNNNNNNNNNNNNNNNNNNNNNNNNNNNNNNNNNNNNNNNNNNNNNNNNNNNNNNNNNNNNNNNNNNNNNNNNNNNNNNNNNNNNNNNNNNNNNNNNNNNNNNNNNNNNNNNNNNNNNNNNNNNNNNNNNNNNNNNNNNNNNNNNNNNNNNNNNNNNNNNNNNNNNNNNNNNNNNNNNNNNNNNNNNNNNNNNNNNNNNNNNNNNNNNNNNNNNNNNNNNNNNNNNNNNNNNNNNNNNNNNNNNNNNNNNNNNNNNNNNNNNNNNNNNNNNNNNNNNNNNNNNNNNNNNNNNNNNNNNNNNNNNNNNNNNNNNNNNNNNNNNNNNNNNNNNNNNNNNNNNNNNNNNNNNNNNNNNNNNNNNNNNNNNNNNNNNNNNNNNNNNNNNNNNNNNNNNNNNNNNNNNNNNNNNNNNNNNNNNNNNNNNNNNNNNNNNNNNNNNNNNNNNNNNNNNNNNNNNNNNNNNNNNNNNNNNNNNNNNNNNNNNNNNNNNNNNNNNNNNNNNNNNNNNNNNNNNNNNNNNNNNNNNNNNNNNNNNNNNNNNNNNNNNNNNNNNNNNNNNNNNNNNNNNNNNNNNNNNNNNNNNNNNNNNNNNNNNNNNNNNNNNNNNNNNNNNNNNNNNNNNNNNNNNNNNNNNNNNNNNNNNNNNNNNNNNNNNNNNNNNNNNNNNNNNNNNNNNNNNNNNNNNNNNNNNNNNNNNNNNNNNNNNNNNNNNNNNNNNNNNNNNNNNNNNNNNNNNNNNNNNNNNNNNNNNNNNNNNNNNNNNNNNNNNNNNNNNNNNNNNNNNNNNNNNNNNNNNNNNNNNNNNNNNNNNNNNNNNNNNNNNNNNNNNNNNNNNNNNNNNNNNNNNNNNNNNNNNNNNNNNNNNNNNNNNNNNNNNNNNNNNNNNNNNNNNNNNNNNNNNNNNNNNNNNNNNNNNNNNNNNNNNNNNNNNNNNNNNNNNNNNNNNNNNNNNNNNNNNNNNNNNNNNNNNNNNNNNNNNNNNNNNNNNNNNNNNNNNNNNNNNNNNNNNNNNNNNNNNNNNNNNNNNNNNNNNNNNNNNNNNNNNNNNNNNNNNNNNNNNNNNNNNNNNNNNNNNNNNNNNNNNNNNNNNNNNNNNNNNNNNNNNNNNNNNNNNNNNNNNNNNNNNNNNNNNNNNNNNNNNNNNNNNNNNNNNNNNNNNNNNNNNNNNNNNNNNNNNNNNNNNNNNNNNNNNNNNNNNNNNNNNNNNNNNNNNNNNNNNNNNNNNNNNNNNNNNNNNNNNNNNNNNNNNNNNNNNNNNNNNNNNNNNNNNNNNNNNNNNNNNNNNNNNNNNNNNNNNNNNNNNNNNNNNNNNNNNNNNNNNNNNNNNNNNNNNNNNNNNNNNNNNNNNNNNNNNNNNNNNNNNNNNNNNNNNNNNNNNNNNNNNNNNNNNNNNNNNNNNNNNNNNNNNNNNNNNNNNNNNNNNNNNNNNNNNNNNNNNNNNNNNNNNNNNNNNNNNNNNNNNNNNNNNNNNNNNNNNNNNNNNNNNNNNNNNNNNNNNNNNNNNNNNNNNNNNNNNNNNNNNNNNNNNNNNNNNNNNNNNNNNNNNNNNNNNNNNNNNNNNNNNNNNNNNNNNNNNNNNNNNNNNNNNNNNNNNNNNNNNNNNNNNNNNNNNNNNNNNNNNNNNNNNNNNNNNNNNNNNNNNNNNNNNNNNNNNNNNNNNNNNNNNNNNNNNNNNNNNNNNNNNNNNNNNNNNNNNNNNNNNNNNNNNNNNNNNNNNNNNNNNNNNNNNNNNNNNNNNNNNNNNNNNNNNNNNNNNNNNNNNNNNNNNNNNNNNNNNNNNNNNNNNNNNNNNNNNNNNNNNNNNNNNNNNNNNNNNNNNNNNNNNNNNNNNNNNNNNNNNNNNNNNNNNNNNNNNNNNNNNNNNNNNNNNNNNNNNNNNNNNNNNNNNNNNNNNNNNNNNNNNNNNNNNNNNNNNNNNNNNNNNNNNNNNNNNNNNNNNNNNNNNNNNNNNNNNNNNNNNNNNNNNNNNNNNNNNNNNNNNNNNNNNNNNNNNNNNNNNNNNNNNNNNNNNNNNNNNNNNNNNNNNNNNNNNNNNNNNNNNNNNNNNNNNNNNNNNNNNNNNNNNNNNNNNNNNNNNNNNNNNNNNNNNNNNNNNNNNNNNNNNNNNNNNNNNNNNNNNNNNNNNNNNNNNNNNNNNNNNNNNNNNNNNNNNNNNNNNNNNNNNNNNNNNNGGCGUUGUGGUCGAAGCGCUGCUAGAGAUCAGGGUCUUUUGUGGUGUUUGUGGGAAAAGUGCCGCUAAAGGCCUAAAAAAGCGCCGCUAAAAGCCUGUUUUGGUGUAGUGUUUAAGUACCGAAAUAAUAAUUGAGUACAAUUUAGGGGUAAAUAGUAUAUUAACCAUUUAUUAUUUUAAAAAUUUGUUUUAUGUUUCCAUAUUUAAUGAUACCAAUUAACAUGAUAUUUUAUUAAAAAAAUAUACAACUAACCGAAUUAUUUUGAAUUUAAUAAAAACAAUUUCUUAAAUAAUAAUGAAAUAAUUUUUAAUCAAUACUUAUAAAAACAGUCAACACAUUUCAUUAUCCUGUAUCCAUUCUAAAUAUUUAAGUAAGCAUUAUUGAAAACAAUAAAUUAAGCAAAUAAAUAAAUAAGUAGAAGACAAACUGAUACAAUAUUUGAAGUCACCAAUUUGCGAUUUAAUAAGAAAGUUCUGGCUGCCUCUUUUGACUAGUACCAAUUCAAUGAAUAUUAAGAAAUUAACAUAAAUCCAACUAAAAAAAUUGAGAGUAGUAAAAUUCUUACGCUUCAAGUUCAGUCUAUAAAUAGCAUCUUAGUUCUCUAUCAUCUCACACCUCAACUCAAUCAUCCACUUCUUCUCUUCUUUGAACUCAAAGUCCCAGCUAAUAUUAGAAUCAUGGGUGUUGUCACUUAUGACUAUGAGAAUACCUCCCCAGUCGCCCCUGCCAGGCUUUUCAAGGCCUUUACUGUUGAAGCUCCGAAAGUUUGGCCCACGGCUGCACCUAAUGCAGUCAAGAGCCUUGAGGUUGAAGCUAAUCCUAGCUCUGGAAGUAUCGUAAAAAUCAACUUUGUUGAAGGUUAGUUCUUUCAUUUUCACUUUCAUUGGCCUUUUUGUUGUCUGUUUUACACGAGUAUGUUGGAUAACAAGUAUUUAUUUCUUUAGGCCUUCCAUUCCAAUAUAUGAAGCACCAGAUCGGAGGACAUGAUGAAAGUAGUUUUUCAUACAGUUACGAUUUAAUCGAAGGUGGGCCUUUGGGGGAUAAGC